rnacentral:lncRNA from 1 species
AGAUGUUAGAACCAAACUUUUCCCAUCUUCAUGUGCUGGAAAAGAAUUUUUACAGUUCAUGAAUGGAAAGCCAUAUAGAUAGUAUGCAAAACUUGAGACUAGUCUGUCUUGAGGCUAGUCUGUACAAACUACACACACCUGAUAUUCAUUUUUCGAGGAAAUAAGAAGACCAGCAAGCUUCCUGUCAAGCUGAUUUAUAAUCAAAUUAUGCAUCCCCAUGUAGUACUCCAACUCAUAACAUAAAGCACGUAAGUCUCAUACUAAAAAAUAUGAUAGUUAUCUGCUUUUGCUGCAGAUAACAAUAUCGGAUGUCAAGUGCUAGCAGUGAUUCCAAUUGACUUGCCUAAGAGCAUAAGUUAAAACAUCAAACAGAAAGGUGGUCUCCUGCCUCCCCAAUUCUUUUCUUCUGGAUAAGUGCCUCCCCAACUCUGCAAUUCUGCGCACUUCAUUUAGUUCAGCCAUAGUGGGGUCUUUAGGUACUUCCAUUACUUAAAAAAAACAAAAAAAUUGGCCUUACCACAUUUUCUGUUGAUAAUAACUUAUUGUGGAGAAUGAGUCUAUAUAUAAUGUUAAAAAAAGAAAAAAGAACAGGGCUAUUCACCACAUCAUAUGGCAGCAUCGUGUAUCCAUUUGUUGGCUAAAGUCAUUUUGGCGAGAGAGCACUUCUGGGAUGAAAGCAUACUGUGGGUAACACAAAUUCGAUAUGAGUAAUAAAUGCUCAAGGGCAUUCAUUGUAGACAGGAGCACCCAGAUUCAAGUCUUUUUCCCUAAAAAGUUACAAUAGUACUUACCGGCAUCAUCUUCAAUGAAUGUAGCAUAGAGCGUGAGUUGACGGAGGUGAUGGCAAUCUUUCAUUGUUGGUGGUAAUUGUGGAAGGCAAUCAUGAUUGACAUUAAGAUUACACUGCACCAAAACGUGAAAGUUGAAUGUGCAAAAUUUACCAGACACUAUACGCAGGUCAGGUGAUCUAAUAUAAGAAUGAGCAUAUGCUCGUGGAGGUGAGGUUUCAAAGUGGGCUUUUUAACAGUGCAUGGAAUGUUGAAGUUGAAGCCGCAUAUUGCGCAGAGAAAGACAGCAUCAACGCUUUUCACAACAUGCGUCAGUGAGUGUUCUUCCCUGAUGCGGGAAGAAGUGGAUGUGCCAGGGUGAACGGGGUGUUGCAUAACCGAGGGCAAUUCAGCACAUGAUUUAUGGAGCAGAUGAGAGCAGCCUUGCUCCAGCAGGUCAGUAGAUCUAAUAUAAGAGUGAGCAUAUGCUCAUGGAGGUGAUGUUUGAAAGUGGGCCUUUUAAAAGUGCAUGGAAUAUUGAAGUCGAAGUCGCAAUUUGCACGGAGAAAGACAGUGUUAACGCUCUUCACAACAUGCAUCAGUGAGUGUUCCUUCCUGAUACAGGAAGAAGGAUGUGCCAGGGUGAACGGGGUGUCGCAUAACUGAGGGCAAUUCAGCACAUGAUUUAUGGAGCAGAAAAGAGCAGCUCUGCUCCAGGCAGUGAUACCUUUGGACUUAUUCAUCACAAGCCUUGCACACAACAUCCUUCAUGUGACCCAGCUCCAGCGGCAGCGGAUGAUUGUGAAUUGGAGAAAAGAAGCGGCAAUCCAGACAAGCAUAGACCUCACCUAGUAUGCUCCAUUCACAAGCUUUGCACUCAAUUCUGGUUUUAAGCUUCACGUGGAAGGACCCCAGUCGAUGCUGAUGGGCAAAAUUUUAAAAAACUGAGCCUUCCUCGCCCUCAGAUCUUGUGAACAUAGAAUUAUAGCCACAGAGUCUAUAUCAAGACUGAAAUUGCAUUCGCUGACCAUAUGGCAGGCACUACAUUGGAGGUCUACCGAUUGAUCAAAAGCAAGAGAGAGGGUGAUCAUGGAGAGACGGGCAUUGUGUCUCUGGGGAGAGAUUCGGCGCAGCUCUCAUGGGGAAAGAAUCUACACGUGUAGAAUCGAUAGACCUCCUCACAGGCUUCGCAUUUGAUUCUACUUUUCGUCCCAAGAAGAUCGUGUGAGGGGAUGCUAAUGAGCAAAAUGUUGGAUGGUCGCAUUCUCAGAAUCCUCAUCAGGCUCUGUUGUGACUAGGCAGGUGAAGCAAUAUCGGGCCGUGCAGCAACGCUUAACCAUCCGAAUGGCAAGAAGGAAGCCUGCUCACAUGCAUGGCAACUCCGACGAUCCUUGUCAUCGUUGCCACCUAGGCGGUCCAGUCGGGGUAGCAGGUGAGACGGGUGUCCUUGGGCGGACAGAAUGCUAAAUUCAGUGUGACUAGACAAUUCACAGCAGUGGGCUGAGCUGCAGAUCGGAGACCAGCACGCGAGACAUUCCAAGCAAGUGCAACCUUCUUCGCUCAGGUUUCGGAGAUUCAAUACAUGAUCACCAGGGCAAAUUAGGAAAUAAAAAAGCGUUUUGAAUGGAGUUAUAAUUACCGACCAGAAAAAGAAAAGAAAUGAGUUAUAAUUGCUGAGUUACAUCAACACGAAGCGAAUAAUGUGAAAUGAAUCGUACCCUACUUCCAUAUAUUAUUUGACUUUUGUAUUUCAGUGUUAAUCUGUACAAUUUUUUCUACAUAUAUGCUUUAAUGCAAUAGUUAAAAAAAACUAAAGUGGCCCAUGAAAAGUUUCAUUUCAUUUUUCAUUUAGUAGUCAGCUGCAAUUAUAAUAUAAUUAUACAUAAAUAACCGAUAAAUAAAACUCCAAACAUUGGAUAAGGUCAUAAAGGUGAAAUGCACCUUCGGCUUGUCUAUACAUUUAUUAGAAAGUUCUUACCCAACUUAAUAUAAAAGUAAAUUACUUAAGACAAUAUUGCGAUAACAGUUUUCUAUGUUGCUAAUUAUUUAUUAAUCUAUAAAAAUACAUGUUUGGCGGCAAUCUUGAAUUCCAGGAUAUCGAAAAAGAGUUAUAUUGAUGCUCCAUAAGCUAUGACGAUAAGGUUCACCAAAGCAAUAAUUGUAAUUAAAUCUGUAAUUUUCUAUUAAAAUCUCUUAAGAGAACUCGAUUUCAUUUGCAAAAAUUAAAUAAUUCUACCCAUUGGUUAUUCUUGAAAUCAAAAUAUAGAUUGAAGUUAUUAUAGACCCAGUUUAUAUGUUUCCAUCCUACGAUUUCGGCUAGUUGAACCAAAUUUAGAUCCGGGGUCAAAAUUUGGCGUUUGGAUAAACUAUAUGAAGACUAAGACCCAAGAGAAACUUUCUAGAAAGAAAAAACAACACAAAGAGGUACUCUUCCGAGUAAUUAUAAGUAAACCUAUCCAAAUGAUAGAAUGCAUUGCAUUUGGAUGAAAUCAAGAUUAUGAUGCAUGCGCAUUUUUCAUCUAUGGUGAUCUCUUCAUUCCACCAAUUUGUACAUUCCUUUUGCUAAAAUUUUGAAUUUAUUAUACUAAUCAAAGUUACGAUUGGUCUAACCUUGAUUUUGAAUCGAGUCACGUCCUUUUUCUGAGGCAGCCAAAAAAAAAAAUGAGGAGAGAAUGAUCUCUUUUCUCCUACGAGGGUGUUUGUGCGUACAUAUUACGAGGGUGUUUGUGCGUACAUAUAAUCCUCUUUUCAGUGUCUUUUAAGGUGUUUGUGCAUACAUAUAAUCCUCUUUUGAGCGACUUUUCAAUUUCCUCUCUCCCCUCAAACCCCACUCCCCCCUUCCUUGUGAUGGAGUUUCCAAAGGGUCUUAGGGGAGGCUUCAAUGUUCACAAAGAUAUGGUUGGACCAUGUAGCAUUAUAUGAUAAUCCUAUGUCUACUCGUGGGCAAAAAUGGGAUCAUUGUGAGAGUUGCGGAUUUUCUGUUAAACAAGAAAAAAAAAUUGCCGUGAAAUUGAGAUUUUGUUAAAGUCAUGCUCUGUGACACUCUAAAAUUUCAUUACAACAUAAUUUAAUGGCUUAAAAACGUCUAGAAUCGACCCAGCAACAUAAAAAUCCGUACAAAGCCUAUUUUACUGUUUAACUACGGAAACUCCUUCAAUUAGAUAAAUAAAAGUUUCGAAUCCUUAUCGAUUGCUAUGAAAUAGAAAUAAUCUGGCUUGACCAAGCCUCUCAAACAUGCACGCAGUGAGAGUCCCCUUUUGUCUCCUCUCUGUCUUUUUCUCAGUUUGUCCAAACUCUGCUUUCCUUCUUUUUUUGUCUUUUGGGUUCUUCUUGGCCAUACUCUAUUUUCUCUCUUUCUGUUCUUGCAAUUCCCUUGCGACGGCAUCAACAGAAGCAAGAUCAAAGGAAGGGCUUAAACGAGACACUUGGGCUUGGGCUUCAUGUUUGGCUCUUAUUUAUUAUUUUUUGCGAGCCCGGUUAUUGAAACUUUAAUCUUGCACAUAAAUCUUUAUAGGUUAUUACGUAUUGAUGCAAACUACGCGGAUUGAGAAUAAGGUCUUGGGUCAUCUUGCGCAGCAGCCCUAAUCCCCUCCCCUCCUCGAGCUCGCGUCCGUGUUGCGCCCGCUUUAGUAGAAAUCUUAGCAGCAGCGCAAUCACCCGGUAGCUACCCAUUGGAAGACCGAGUUACCCAAGUCGUCUUCUCACUUUCCAAUUUUGCGAUAUGCAAAUGUUCAGUAAUGGGUCUGGUGAGACCUCGGGCCUUGCCAACCUCUAGCGAAGUAUACUCAUUGAAUUUUUUUGAUAAUUUUCCUCUGAAAAGUCAAAUUAGAGUUUUCGCACCAACGGCGGAGCACGUUUUUUAAUGCAUAAGUUUAUAACCACCCCUGACUCCUCUCUCUCUCUAUCUUUUCAAUAUUAUUUAUUAUUUAUUUGUCUAAGAUAAUAAUAAAUUGAGAUUUCUACUUUUUUUCUAGUUAUCAAUUUAUCCAUAAAUGUGCAUGUUCUACAACAAUCUUGACUUCCACAUUAUUGAAAAACAAUUACAUAUGAUAUGAUGCUCUGUAAGGCAUGUGGAUAAGGUUCCCCAAAGUAGUAGUUACAAUUAAACUUGUAUUUUUAUUAUCUUUGAAUAAAACUCAAUUUCAUUUUCAAAAAUUUAAUAAAUGUCCACAUUGUUUAUCUUGAAAACAAAAUAUAGAUCUAAGUUGUUAUAGACCUAGUUCACAUAUACAACCUACGACUUCCACUAGUUAGGCUGAAUUUAGAUGCAUAGGUCAAAAGUUGGCAUUUGUAUAAAUUAUGACGAGUAAGACCCAGGAGAACAUUUCAAGAAAGAACAAACAAAAUAGGGAGGUACUCUUCCGAGUAAUCAUAAGUAUAAUAAGAAAUGAUAGAAAGAACUACAUUUGGGAAAAGGAAAACCACAUCGGUGUAGAGCUCAUAUAAAAAGGUUCUUGGAAGUCUUUCUAUCCUAACCUAACUUUACUAGGAGCUAUAAUGGUAAGAUUGUGAACUAAGUAGCAUCACCAUUGACACGCGACACGCAACACAUCAUUUCUCAAAAAUAGAGAAUUUUCACAUGUUGGGACAUGUUGUAUGUAAAAUGAUAAUUUUUUAUUCAUUAUUUUAAUUUGAUAAAUUCAAUUGCAUUCCAUUCCAAUAAUCCAUAAAAGUUGAAGGAAGAAAAAACAAACAAUCCACAUUCUACUAUUAAAUUUAACAUUUAACAAAAUGUCAAAAUAAUAAUAAUAAUAAUAAUACACAUUCCACCAUCAAAUAUAACAAGAAGUCUUUAUUUCCCCUUUUAUUUUUAUAUUUAUAUUUUGACCUAUCAUUUAUUGAAAUUUUUGAAAUUAACCCCAGAAUCACGUGUCGAAAUUCCAUACUCGUAUGUCAGGAGAGUUGAUUACGUCUCAGAUUUUUCGACACUCAUUCACCACAUGUUAGAACGUGUCGUAGUGUCGGACAAGACACAAAUGCUUCAAUGCUUCUUAAAUUGUGAACCAAAUUAUAGUGGUACAAUUGCUUUUGCUGCCAAUGUCAUCUCAGUAGCAAAAAAGCCAUGGAAAGAUCAUGAGGUACAUUACAUACUUCAAAACACCAACUUACCCGAAACAAGUAAAUUGCAACGAAUAUCAGAACUCCUGGGUCAAAUUAUUCCCCUCUGACUUAUCAGUCAUGAGGAAAUGAAAGGCAUGAGGAGAAUCAGAAAUGCAAUGUGGUCAUAGCAAAACCAAUCGCAUAAUGACAAGUUAACAGGGAACAUGCAAGAGCAAUUUAGCAUAAAUAUUGCAGUACUUUCAGCUAGUUUCGGGAAACGAAACACAUUACAGAGAACAUGAAGCAUCCCAGAACGUCUCCUUCUGUUUUGUUGUCUACACUGCAUAAUCUGAAUAAUCAUAAUUUACGGCUUCAUUACGAAAAUUCCUGCACUUAGAUAAAUAAAAGUUGUUGCUACCAAAUAGAAGUAAUCCGUCUUGUCGAGUUCUUCCAAGCGUGCAUGGAGCGAAAGCCCCCUUUGUUUCCUCUCUCUUUUUCUCCGUUUCUUUCCUUUAUUUCUUUUCUUUUCUUUUCUUUUUUUGUUCUUCUUGGCCAGGCUCUGUUUUCUCUCCUUUCUGCUCUUGCAAUUUCCCUUGCAAUGAAGCAAAGACUAAAGAAAGGGCUCAAACAAAACACUUAAGCUUGGGCUUAAGCUUGGGCUUAAUGUUUUGCUCUUAUUUAUUAUUUUUUGCAAGCCCGUUUCUUGCAACUUUAUUCAUGAAGAUACAUAUUUUAGGUUACUAUGUACUGAUGGAUCCUAUGUGGAGUGAGGAUAAGGUCACUCGAAAUUAAAGUUAGCAUAUCACUUUUUCGAGAAAAAUCAUAAAUCUAUUAUAUUUGUGUCAAUUUGAAUUAGUGUCAAUUCAGUCUCUCCCCCCCCUUGGGUCAAAGAAGACCAAGAAAAUCUCGAUUCAACAUAAGCUUGGGGUGCUAAUAAGGAGGACCUUGCUGGGUUCGUUCAAUCAACAAGCCUUAACGCCCUUGAGACGGGAUCAACUCCUUUUAUAAAUAUGAUACCACCAAAGUCAAGCAACACUGACUUCUUCCUAUUACUACGCUCCGUACCCUGGCUAGAGAGCAUGAAUGACUCUUCCCAGGAACGAUCAGAUGCAAACCUGUUAAAAGCGCCUUUCCCAUGUGGAAGAAGUUACUUGUGUGCCUUAUCCUUUUAACUAAUUUUGAUCGAAAAUUACUGAUAUGGACAUUAGUUGUCCUACAUGGCAUGCUUAGCCCUAAUAUGGAUAAUUUUUUAUUUAUAGUAAUUCAAUUUUUUUAUUUGUUAUUAUUAUUUUUUUCUUUAUUUCUUUAUUCUUCCUUGGCCAUUGCCUGGUGGGUUGGCCUCACCUAGGUGAGGGUCGCCAUUGCCCACCACAGGCUAGGCUAGGCUAGGCCAGGCGAGAGCAAUCCUAGGCAAGGCCACCUUGGCUUGGGUGAGGCCUUACGAGGGUUAGCCUCGCCUAGGCUAGAUUUGGUGAGGCCAUCACGCUCAGCUAUUGCCUAUGAUCAACAGAAGGAGGAAGAAAGAAAAAGAAAAAAAAAUUAGAGAAUAAAAAAAUAUAUUAAAUUAUUAUGAAAAUUUUUCCAUAGCCGUCCAUAUCAAUAUCUAGUCAAAAUUAAUUAGAAUGAUUAAAUUGAUACAAUUAUAAGAUUUAAGAUUAAAUGAAUAUAAAUGCGAUAGGCUUAUGACUUUUCUCUCUUGUCAAAAUAACCAAAUAAAAAAUAAAUCCGAAAGUUUAAGGCCUUCGUCCUCUCCAUAGUGCGGUGAGAAGUGAGGGUAGGGACAUCAUUUGAUAUUUAUUUUUUCAUGGAAGGUGGCACGGACAUCAAUUUAAUAAUCUUUCUUUUGACAUCAAUCUAAUACUCUUUAUUUUUGAAGUCCAUUCCAAUCAAGGACGUCCAAAUGCCCUUUUUCCAAGUUCCCUUUCAAAAAUUCUAAGGACGCAACAGUUAUCUUCCUUUGAAAAAUGUUAAGGAUCCUUAACAUUUUUCCAAGGGAGUCAUGAUUAAAGGACAUCCUACUCCAAAAGAAGUCGGAAAAGGAUGUCGGGAUGUCCUUUAAUCAUGACUCGAUGUCCUUUAAUCAUCACUCUCUUUCACAUAGAUGGAAAGUAUAAAUAAUGUCCCCGUCUUUGCCCCUCCUCACGGCGCCAUGGAUAUCCCCUCCAUUGUCUCUGUCCUGGUCAACUUCAUCCAGGUGCAAAACCAGGGGAAGUCGAUUUCACCCUUUGAGACCCACCCCGUCGCCACCCGCGUCGUCAUCUGCAGCCUCCUCCUGCAUUUCUUUUUCGGGCGUGUCGCUAAUCAGGCACCACCUUCUCGCGGCCGUGCCCCUUCUUGCGAUGGAGCAGCACGCCUCCUCUUCCACUUCACCGGUUUGACAUCGGUGUUUUUGCUCGCAUGGUUGCUGCUCCACGACUCCUUCCACUCCGUCCUUUGGUUCGUGCUGUUCCUGUUGCUUUCCAUGCGUCUGCUGCAGGGCCUCAUUCGAAAACUUUGUCUGUGGUUUUACCGCAAACUCGUUCUCAUGAUUAUCCGUGCGGCGUGGUCUCGUGUAUGGCAUGGUGGAAGAGUGCGGCCACAUUUUCUGCGCCCGGCCGUGGGUCUCCGUUUCACGCCGGAAGUCUGAGCGACGUAGUUGUUCGACUCUUCCCUGCUUGGAUUCAAUAAAUUUAAUUGUAUCACUGCUUUAAUACAAAUUAUUAGUACUCUAGGAAGCUAAGCUAGUUUUGUAUAAGAGGCAACUCAAGUCUUUGUUCUCUUUAUGGGAAGCCUUAAGGAGUCCCCAAGACUUCGACAUCAAAUUAUCUCUCGACCAUAAGAAAGGAGAGCAGGGGACAAGUAAAAAUCACCUAUGUAUCGUUCCUAAUCCUAGCCAUGAACGCCGAUGGACCUUGUAGCAGCUAGAUCCAAUUAAGAUAGGCUAAGCCCUCAAAAGAUAUUGGGAUCUAUUGUUAUCGAAGGGAUUGAAGAUACCUCAACAAUUGUUACGAAGAGAAGAAUGGCCGUAUCUAGUAGCAUAUAAAGGGUAGAUAUUGUUCUUGAGGUUAAAGCUUCUGACCUCUUUGAAAGCAUUGCGAGUGUUGCAAAGUUUCCUUCCAUUUCUGGUGAAUCUCUUUGUAGCUUUCUGUUUGGCCAGCUGAUCAAUAUGUGUCAUUUUACAUUCUUUGCUGGUAUACUAUGGUUUUGCUCAUAUAUCCGUAUGAACUAGGAUAAAUAGAUGCCCUGGAGACACGAGCGCAGCUGCGAUUUCAAAAGCCUUGUUCUAACAUCAUUGAGUGAUCCAAAUCAAAAUGAAAGAUGUCAGCUUUUUCAUCUCUGUCCCAUAUGCACCACUACUGCUUUCUAGCUAUUCCGAUGAUGAUAAAGUUGUAGCUUACCAUUGCAGAAUGAGAGUUGUUGCAUCAUAUAGUCUUCAUUUUACCUCUGAGAGGUGACAAUUAGAAAUUUGCUGUGGCAAACGCGUCAACUUGCAAUCUAAGGCCACGUUGUCUCACUGGCUGAUUGGUUUUUGGCUGGGAGCUUGAAUUGUUGCUCCAGUUGGACAUUCAAGUUGCCAGGGCCAACGUGAAAAAAGAAUGCUGAAUGUAGAUUUUUUUUUCUUUCAAGAGGCUUUAGUUCAAGAUAACUGAAUUUUGGCAGACUGUAGAUGUUAGAACAGAACUUUUCGCAUCAUCAUGUGCUGGAAAAGAAUUUCCAGUUCAUGAAUGCAAAGCUAGAUAGAUAGUAUGCAGAAGCUCAAGACUUGUCUGUACAAACUACAGACAUCCAAUGUUCAUAUUUGGAAAGAAUUAGACCAGCAAGCUUCCUGAUAAAUUGAUUCAUAAUCAAAUUAUGCAUCCCAAUGUUUGUACUUUGAUGUAUGACAUAAAGCACAAAAGUCUUCCAGUUCAAAAAUAUGACAUUUAUCUGUUUUUACUGCAGAGAACAACAAUCUUGGAUGUCAACUGUAGCAGUAAAUCCAAUUGACUUGUAUAAGAACGUAAGUCAAAACAUCAAACGGAAAAGUAGGUUCCCCUGACUCCCAUAUUCUUCUCAUAUUGGUAAGUCCCUCCCCAAUUCUGCAACUGCAUGCACUUUGCUUCCGGUUUUUGGAGACCAGCAUUGUGCGUCUUUUCUUGAGUACCUCCAAUUAUGUGCUCACUUUUUCCUGCAGAAUUUUCAUUUUUUUUCAUCUAGUUCAACAAUAGCAGGGUCUUCAGGUACUUGCACUAUUCCAGCGACUUGUAUUAAACACUAUUUCGUAUUAGCGCAUUUUCUGUUGAUUCUUACUUAUUGUGGAGAUGAGUCUAUAUAUGAUGUUAAAAAGGAACAGGGCUAUUCACCACAUCGCAUGGCAGCAUCUUGUAUCCAAUUUUGGCUGAAGUCUGUUUAGCAAGAGAGCACUACACUGUGAUACAAGCGCACCAUGGUAAAACGCAUUGGAUAUGAAUUAUCAAUGGUCCGGGGCAUUCAUCACAGUCAUAAGCACCCAGAUUUGUGUCCCUCAUUGCAAAGGGCACAAUAGUACUACUCACUGGUAUUAUCUUCGAUGAACAAAGCAUAAAGCGUGAGUUGAUGGAAGUUAAUGGCAAUCUUUUACUGUAGUGGAAGGCAAUCUGUGAUGAUUAAGAUUGCAUUGCACACAACUGCAAAUGCCGAAGCUGCACAAUUUACCACAGACACUUCAUAGUAGCAUGGUUAGGUAGAUUUGAAAUAAGAAAGAGUAUAUGCUUGUAGAGGUGAUGUUUCGAAGUGCACCUUUUAAAAGUGCAUGAAGUGUUGAAGUCGUCACUUCCGUGCAGUGAAAGACAGAGCAUCCAUGCUCUUCACGAAAUAUGUCAACAGUGCUCCUGAUACGAGAAGAAAAAGGAUGUGCAGGGUGAGCAGGUCGUUGCAUCUGAGGGCAAUUCAGCACAUAAUUUAUGGAGCAGAGAAGAGCAUCUCUGCUCUGCAUGGCAAUAGGCUAAACAUUUGACACAUUCAACACAAGCCUUGCAUGCACCAUCCUUCAUAUGGCAGUUCCAGCGGCAGAGAAUGAUAGUGCAGUGAAGAAAGAAGAGGCAAUCAAGACAACCAUAGACCUCACCUAUAUGUUCCAUUCACAAGCUUCACGCCCGAUUUUGCAGUCAGGCUGUGUGUGGAAGACCAGUGGAUGCUGAUGGUCGAAAUGGUAAAAAACCAGUUCCUUUGUGCCUCCAGAAGGACAACUAGCUAUUCUGAUGAUAAUAUUGUUUGAGUUUGUCGUUGCAGAAUGACAGAUUGGUUACAUCAUAUAGUCAACACUUUACCUUUGAGAGGUGAGAACUAGAUCUUUGUUCUGGCGAAUGCGUCAACUUGCUUCAGCAAAUAGGAUUUAUAAAGACAGCGACUUCUUUUGUGAUGUAUCCUGCUUGUGUCCCGAAGCUCUUGGAUCUGAAUAAUGCAAUCUAAGACCAUGUUGUCUCACUGGUUGAUUGGUUUUCGUCCAGGAGCUAGAAUUGUUUCUUCAGUCAGAGAAUCAAGUUGCCAGGGCCAAGGUGAGAAAAGAACGCUGAAAUAUAGAUUUCUUUUUUGGGAGGCUUUAGUCCAACAUAACCGAAUUUUGGUAUGCUGCAGAUGUUAGAACGGAACUUUUCUCAUCUUCAUGUUCUGGAAAAGAAUUUACAGUUCAUGAAUGCAAAGCCACAUUGAUAGUAUGCAAAAGCUUGAGUCUAGUCUGUACAAACUACACCUGUCCGAUAUUCAUUUUUUGAGGAAAUAAUAAGACCGGCAAGCUUCCUGACGUGUUGAUUCAUAAUAAACUUAUGCAUCCCAAUUUUAGUGCAUUAAUUCAUAACAUGAAGCAAACAAGUCUCACACUCAAAAAAUAUGAUAUUUAUCUGCUUUUGAUGCAGAGAAUAACAAUAUUGGAUGUCGAGUGUUAGCAGUGAUUCUGAUUGACUUGCUUGAGAACGUAAGUUGAACCAUCAAACAGGAAGGCUGUCUCCUGCCUCCCCAGUUCUUUUCUUCUGGAUAAGUGCCUCCCCAACUCUGCAACUACAUGCACUUUGCUUGCAUCUUUUUGAGACCAGCAUUGCCCGUUAUUUUUUUUUUUUUUUUUCAGUACCCUCAGUUGUGUGCUCACUCUCUCUGCUUUUCCUGCAGAAUUGCAAUUUUUUCAUCUAGUUCGGCAAUAGCAAGGUCUUCAGGUACUUCCAUUACUUUAAAAAACAUUUGGUAUUACCAUAUUUUCUGUUGAUUAUAACUUAUUGUGGAGAAUGAGUCUAUAUAUGAUGUUAAAGAAAAAAAAAAGAACAGGGGCUAUUCACCACAUCACAAGGCAGCAUCUUGUAUCUAUUUGUUGGCUAAUUGUCAGUUUUGUGAGAAAGCACUUCUGUGAUGAAAGCAUACUGUGGGUAAAACGCAUUCGAUUUGAGUAAUCAAUGCACGGGCAUUCAUCGCAGCUGGAAGCACCUAGAUUCAGGUCUUUUUUCUCUCAAAGGUCACAAUAGUACUCACCAGCAUGAUCUUCGAUGGACGAAGUGUAAAGUGUGAGUUGAUGGAGGUGAUGGUGAUUUUUUAUCGUUGGUGGUAAUUGUGGAAGGCAAUCAUGAUUGACAUUAAGACUGCACUGCACAAGAACGUGAAAGUUGAAAGUGCAAAAUUUACCAGACAAUGCAUAGGAAGUGCGCAUCAGUAGAUCUAAUAUAAGAAAGAGCAUAUGCUCGUGGAGGUGAUGUUUGAAAGUGGGCCUCUUAAAAGUGCAUGGAAUGUUGAAGUCAAAGCCGCAUUUUGUGCAGAGAAAGACAGCGUCAAUGCUCUUCACGACAUGCAUCAGUGAGCGUUCCUUCCUGAUACGGGAAGAAGUGGCUGUGCCAGGGUGAACGGGGUGUUGCAUAACUGAGGGCAAUUCAGCAUAUGAUUUAUGGAGCAGAUGAGAGCAGCACUGCUCCAUCAGCAGUGGAUGAUCGUGAAUUGGAGAAAGAAGAGGCAAUCCAGGCAACCAUAGACGUCACCUAGUAUGCUUUGCACUCGAUUCUGGUUUCAAGCUUCACGUGGAGGGACACCAGUAGAUGCUGAUGGGCGAAAUGGCAAAAAAGCUGCGCCUUUCUUGCCCUCCAGAUCUUGUGAACCUAGACUAUAGCCGCACAGUCCAUGUCAAGGCUGAAAUUGCACUCGCUGCUGCAGCGGGAAACUAUAUGGCAGGCAUUACAUUGGAGGUCUACCAAUUGACGGAAAGCAAGAGAGAUGGUGAUCAUGGAGAGACGGGCAUUGCAUCUCUGGGAGGAGAUUUGGCGUAGCUCUCAUGGAGAAAGAAUACACACGUGUACCAUCGAUAGACCUCCUUGCAGGCUUCGCUUUUGAUUCUAUUUUUCGUCUCUGAGAUGAUGGGAUGUGAGCAGAUUCUAAUGAGCAAAAUGUUGGAUGGUCGCAUUCUCGGAUUCCUCAUCAGGCUUAGGGUUGUGAAUAGGUAGACGAAGCAAUAUCAGGCCGUGCAGCAACGGUCAACCAUCCAAAUGGCAAGAAGGAAGCCCGCUCAGACGCAUGGCAACUCCGACAAUCCUCCGCACCAUUGCCUACUGGGCGGUCAAGUCGGGGCAGCGGGUGAAACGGGGGUCCUAGGGCGGACAGCAUGCCAAAUUCAGCGCAACUGGUGAAAGAAAAAUUGACACGAUUUACGGCAGUGGGCUGAGCCGCAGAGGGAAGACCAGCACGCGAGACAUUCCAAGCAACUACAAGACUUCCGCUUAGGUUCCGGAGACUCACGAUACACAUGAUAAAAUUUCUAUUUCUCUUUCUCUGUUUCCCGGAAUAGGUUUAGAGCAGAAAUCCUUUGGUAAUGCAAUUUGAUUUUUUUAUUUCUGGAACAGAUUUCUAUUCCAAAAAUAGAUUUGAAGAAAAAAUCAAAAGUUAAAAUUUUUAAUUUUUUAAUUUCUGAAAUAAAAACUGAGAAAUCAAUUUCUCUUAUAGAAAUUUUGUUAUGCGCACCCUUAAUGCAUGAUCGCCAAGGCAAAAUAGGAGAUAACAAAGCGUUUUGAAUGUAGUUAUAGUUACAUGAUGUCAACACAAAGUAAAUGAGAUGACAUGAGUUGUACACUACUCCCGUAUUAUUUGAUGUUGUAUUUCAGUGUUCAUUUGUACAUUUUUAUUUUAUUUUAUUUAUGCUUCAACGCAAUGGUUUAGUAAAACUGAAGUGGCCCAUGAAAAGUUUUAUAUCUUGUUCAUUUAAAGUCAGCCGCAAUUAUAUGAGGUCUUAAAAGUGCAUUCACCUUGGGCUAGUCUGUACAUUCAUCAGAGAGUUCUUCUCCAACUUUCUCUAAUUAAAAAAAAAAAAAGUAACUUACGGCUUUGCGAUAACAGUUUUGUCAUAGUUAUUUAACUUCACCUAUUUUUAAGUUUACAAGUUAUUUUUUUAAUUUAUUAGUCGAUUGCUUUUACAUGUAAAAGUAAUAUUUACAUUUGCCAUUAAAUACAAUUCAUACAAAUAGUAUGAGCGAAAUCUACUUUUUUUUUCUAGUUAUCAAUUUCUCUAUAAAUGCACAUAUUCUGCAGCACCCUUGAUUUGUAAGCUAUGUCGAUAUGGCUCAUUGAAGCAGAUAUUGUAAUCAAACUUGUAAUUUUCUGUUAAAUCUUUGAAUAGAACUCGAUUUCAUUUUCAAAACUAAUAAUUAUCUGCAUUGGUUAUUUUUAAAAAAAAUACAGAUUGAAGUUGUUACAGGCCCAAUUCACAUAUAUAACCUACAACUUCAACUACUUAAACUGAAUUUAGAUCCAUAGAUAAAAAGUUGGUAUUUGUAUAAACUAUGAAGACUAAGACCGAGGAGAACAUUUCUAGAAAGAGCAAAACAAAAUAGAGAGGUACUCUUCCGAGUAAUUACAAGUAAACCUAUCCAAAUGAUAGAAUGAACUACAUUUGGAUGAAAUAAAGAUUAUGAUGCCCCACAUUUUUCAUCCAUGGCGAUCAUCUGCUCGUUUUGCUAAAACUUUGAAUUUAUUAUAUGGUUGGUCCAACCUUGAUUUUAAACCGGGUCACAUCCUUUUCUGAGGCAAAAAAGAAAGAAGACAAAAUGCUCUCUUUUUUGUCAUAUUUAUUCUCUCCUACUUGGGUGUUUACGUGUAUAUAUAAACCUCUUUUCAAUCUCCUUUAUUGACUCUUACCACUUUUCAAUCUCCUUUAUUGACUCUCUCUCUCCCUCUCUCUCUCACUGAGAAAGUUACCAAAGGGUCUUAGGGGAACCUUCGGUGUUCACAUUGCAAUUAGUAGACUGUGCGGCGUUACAUGAUGAUCGUAUGGCCACUCAUGGGUAGAAAUGGGGCCUUCAUGAAAGUUAAGAACUUUUUUAAACAAAAAAUCAAUUCGAAUAGAAUCGCCAUUAAAAUUAAAAUUUGAGAUUUUUUUAGGGAAUUAGCAAAAUUCGUACUUCCAUCAACAAUCCAAGGUGUCUUGAACCGAAGAAAAUGCAAUCUUUUGUAAGAUAAAAACCUAUUUUUGCAAUAUUUCACCAAGAAAAAAUGUCCAUUGCUUCAAAAGUAUUUUAGUAGGAUUUUGUAUGUCCAACAGUUAUAGAAAUAGAUGAGUUCAUGCAUAAAACAUGGCGACACAAGGAUGCUCAUGUCGCGAUAUAUUAUUUGCACGAUAAAUGGAUAAUUGUAGAAAGGGAGGGGUAGCUGUUAUUGGAGUAUGGGAUUGGUAAGAUUAUAAUGAUAUAGAGAAACAAUAAUGACAUAUUGAUGCAUGUUUUCAUUUUGUUGACUUUGUGAAUAAGAUAUGUCAUUUAUCUAUCGUUACACCCCAACUCUAUUAAAUAAGGAAAACGACACUACCAUGGUCUUGCUCAAAGGACGCAACUUCAAAUUAUCAAAAUAUAUAUUCGUCUAUACACUUGAUAAAUAGUGGGUUGGUUACAAAAUCAAGAGUUUUGAAAUUUAUUAAAAAGAAAAAAAGUGUAAGUGUAUCUCCAAACUCAAUUAAACCCUACAAAUAUCAUCCCAAAUAUAUACAAGUAUCUAAACUCACAUCCAAAUCCAACCGUAAAAUUUUUUUCGCCAAUAAUGCUCACUUCCUACUUUAGCUGACGUUAAAAAGAUUUAGAAUGAAUAGUGUGAGUAACCAUAGCUUAGUGACUAAUCGAAAUCUCUCCUAAGCAAAUCAAGCAUCUGCUAUGAUAAAGCAAUACCAAAGAUUCAUUUAUCCAAAUUCAAUAUAUUAUGUACAAUAGAAUCAAAAUAUGAGUAAUAUCACUAUAAUGCAACUUUAUACUAAUAAAUUAUAUUCAUUCAAAUUUCAAAACCAAAAGGGUAGUCUAUCCGAUUUUAUGCAACAAAUAUGUUUCAAACAUUACUUUUUCAUUUAAAAAAAAAUCAUUUUCUGCAAUGCUUUUCACAACUUAUAAUAUAUCAAAUCCCUAUCACUUUCAAGACAUGAGCUUACAAAUUUGUAGAGGAUAACAACCACCCCAAAAUAAAAUGCAAUCGAAAGUUACACCCUUGGAAGAGUCUCCAAGUCCUAUCAAAGUUUAUCUAAAUGUCAAACUUACAUGUCAACUAACCUCGACUAAAACUUUAGUAGGCAAUACCAUAUUCUUGAGUCAAAUCGUCCACUUGACGAAAGACCUUUGAACAAUUACUUUACAAAUAGAGUCGACUGCAUCUUAAAACUCCAAUUCAAGCGAGCUUAUUUUCAAUAGAAAACUCUUUCGAAUUACUAAGAGAUCAUAAAGCCAAAAGAUGGUCGGAGAAGGGUGAAAUUCAUUGCCAAACAUAGUAAUUUGAAAACUGUUUUUAGCAAUGUGCAAAAUUUUAAAAAUUUAUCCCAAUCAAAUCAUAAACAUAUAUUGAUUUUCCUAAAGUCCUAUUAUGCAAUACCCUAAAAUUUCUUUACAACAUAAUUUCAUAGCUUAAUAAUCUCUAGAAUCGACCUCGCAACAUAAAAUCCAUACAAAACCUAAUUUACAAUUUAAUUACGAAAACUCCUUCAAUUAGGUAAAUAAAAGUUUUCGAAUCCUUACCGAUUGUCAAGAAACAUAAUUAAUCUGGUGCAUACAGCAAGAGGCCCCUUUUGUCUCCUCUGUCUUUUUCUCGGUUUCUCCGGGCUCUGCUUUCCUUCUCUCUCUCUCUCUCUCUCUCUCUCUCUCCCUCUUUUUCGUGUUCUUCUUGGCAGACUCUGUUUUCAUCUUUUUCUCUCUUUUCGCUCUAGUGAUUCGGUUUACCACGGCAUCAACUGAGGCAAGACCAAAGAAAGGACUUUAACGAGACACUUGGGCUUGGGCUUACUGAUUUGCUCUUGGUUAUUAUUUUUUGCCAGCCCGGUUAUUGGAAUUUUAUUCUUGCCCAUGAAUCUUCCAGGUUAUUACGUAUUGAUGUAUCUAUGCGGACACACUGCCGAGAAAAGGGGAAGGAGAAUAAGGAGAAUUCAAUCAGCACCGAACAGUCUUUUUUUUCUGACACAAGAAAAAUUAAAUAGGAAAGUUCAAAGGCCUUCUUCCUCCCCGCCAGUGGUGGGUUGAAGCAGGGACAUCGUUCGUGGUUCUUUUAUGCAGAAUAAUAUUUUAAGGGUGAACUUCGACGCAUAAUUGAUUCUGGUUAUUUUAUGGAAGAGACAACUUUGAUCGGAGAGUGGGUUCUGGAAGUUCGCCCUUCCAUAAAAGAACCACGGACGAUGUCCCUACCUUCACCCCACCCGGCGCCAUGGAUUUUACCUCCAUCGUCUCUAUCCUGAUCAACUUACUCCAAGUGAAAUACCAGGGGAAGUCACCCUUUGAAACCCACGCCAUCGCCAUUGGUGUUGCCAUCUGCAGCCUGCUCCUGCUCCUGCAUUUUCUGUUGCUGCAUCUCGCUAAUCGGGCACUCCCGUCUAGCGGCCGCGCUCCUGCUUGUGAUGGAGCAUCAUCGCACCUCCUCAUCGACUUCACUGGUUCAAUAUCGGUAGUUCGCUCGCACCUCCUCAUCGACUUCACUGGUUCAAUAUCGGUAGUUCGCUCGCGUGGUUGCUGUUCCACGACUCCUCCCACUCUGUCCCCUGGUUGUUCAUGCUGCUCCUGUUGCUUUCCGUGAGUCUGUUGCGCGGCCUCUUUCAAAAACUUUGGCUUUGGUUUUACGACAAGAUCUUUGCCAUGAUUUUCCGUGUGGCGCCAUCUGGUCUAUGGCAUGGUGGAAGAGCGCAGCCACAUCUGCCGCGCCCGGGCGUGGAUCUGCGUUUAUUGCUGGAAGUCUGAGCGCCCUAGUUGUUCGACUGACUGUUCCCUGCCUGCUUGGAUAAAGUAAUCUAACCACUUUAAAACGAAAGAAUAAGUACUUUAGGAAGCUAGCUAGUUUUGUUUAGGAGGCGCUUUGGGCUUGUUGCAACUAUAUCUGAAUCCAUAAGAGAAUCGCAAGCCUUUGGCAGGGAAAGUAAAAACCAAUUGUUAUUGAAGAGAUCAAAGACGACCUCAACAGUUGUUACCAAGGGAAGAAUAGUCGUUUCUAUAGCCAUAUAAGGGGUAGUAAUUGUUCUUGAGGUUAAAGCUUCUGACCUCCUUUAAAGCAUUGCUAAGUGUUGCAGAUUUCCUUCUAUUUUUGGUGUAUCUCUUUGUAGCUUUCUGUCUGGCCAGUGGAUCCAUAUGUGUCAUUUUAUGUUCUUUGCUGGUGUACUAUGGUUUUGCUCGUAUAUCCAUAUGAACUGGGAUAAAUAGAUGCCUUGGCAACGUGGGCACAGCUACAAUUUUCAAAGCUUUGAUCUAACACUAACACCAUUGAGUAAUCCAAAUCAAAAUGAAAGAUGUCAGCUUUCUCAUCUCUCUUGCAUAUACACCGUUACUGCUUCCUAGCUAUUCCGAUGAUAAUAUAGUUGUAGUUUCUCAUUGCAGAAUGUGGGAAUUGUUACAUCAUAGUCUCUAUUUGACCUCCAAGAGGUGACAACUAGAUCUUUGCUGUGGCAAAUGCGUUAACUUGCAAUCUAAGACUAUGUUGUCUCGCUGUGGAUUGGUUUUUGGCCAGGAGCUUGAAUUGUUGCUUCAGUUGGACACUCAAGUUUCUGGGGCCAAGGUGAGAAAAGAAUGCUGAAAUGUAGAGUUUUUUCGGCUGGCUUUAGCUCAAGAUUACUUAAUUCUGGUUGACUGUAGAUGUUAGAACCGAACUUUUCCCACUCUUCAUGUGCUAAAGAAUUUACACUUCAUGUAUGCAAAGCUAGAUAGGUAGUAUGCAGAUGCACGAGACAAGUCUGUAUAAACUACACCCAUCUUAUGUUGGUAUCUGAGGAAAUAAUUAGACCGGCAAGCUUCCUGCCAAGUUGAUUCACUAUCAAAUUAUGCAUUCCAGUGUCAACAAUUCAUUUCAUUACAGAGAGCACUCAAGUCUGGCACUUAAAUAAUAUGAUAUUCGUCUGCUUUUACUGCAGAAAGCUACAAUCUUGGAUGUCGACUGUGGCAGUGAGUCCAAUCGACUUGCAUGGGAGCAUAAGUUGAAACAUCAAACAGAAAGGAAAUUCUUUUUGUCUUGGUAAGUGCCUGCCAAACCCUGCAACUAAAUGCAAUAUUUUCAUGGAGUUCAGAGUAGCAGGGUCUUCAGGUACUUACACUAUUCCAGCAACCUGUAUUAAAAAAAUGUUUGGUAUUGGAGCAUUUUCUCUUGAUUAUUACUUAUUGUGGAGGAUGAGUCUAUAUAUAUGAUGUUAAAAAGGAACAUGGCUAUUCACCACAUCACAUGGUAUUGUAUCCAUUUGUUGCCUAAAGUCUGUUUAGUAAGAUAGCACUUGUGAUGAAAGUGCACGGUAGGUGAUACACAUUUGAUAUGAGUAAUCAAUGGAUAGGGGCAUUCAUUGCAGACAUAGGCACCCAGAUUCAGGUUCCUUAUCUUCUCACAAAGGUCACAAUAGUACUCACUGGUAUCAUCUUUGAUGAACGAAGCUUAAAGUGUGAGUUGAUGAAAGUUAAUGGCAAUCUUUUACUGUAGUGGAAGGCAAUCUGUGAUGACUGAGAUUGCACUGCACACAACCAUAAAAGUUGAACCUGCAAAUUUUACCAGAGACACUGCAUAGGAAGCACAGUUCUGUAGACUAAAAUAAGAAAGAGUAUAAAAUGCUCGUGGAGGUGAUUUUUCAAAGUGGGCCUUUCAAAAGUGCAUGAAAUGUUGAAGUCGUAGUCACAUUCCAUGCAGUGAAAGACAGAGCGUCAACGCUCUUCACGACGUAUGUCAACUACUCUCCUUCCUAGUAUGAGAAGAAAAAGGAUGCGUGGCGUGAACAGUUUGUUGCAUAACUGAGGGCAAUUCAGCACGUGAUUAGAAAAGAGCAGCUCUGCUCCAGCCAGCGAUAGGUUAAACGUCUGAUGGAUUCAUCACAAGCCUUGCAUGGACCAUCCUUCAAAUGACAGUUCCAGCAGCAGAGGACGAUCGUGCAGGGAUGAAGAGGCAAUUAAGACAACCAUAGACCUCACCUGGUAUGUUCUCCACAAGCUUUGCACCUGAUUCUGCUUUCUAGUUUCAUGUAGAAGACCAGUGAAUGCUGAUGGUCAAAAUUGUAGAAAACCAAGUCCUUCUUGCCCUCUAGGUCUUGUGAACAUAGAGUUAAAGCCGCGCAGUCCAUGUUGAGGCUGAAUUUGCAUUCACUGCAGUAGGAAACCAUGGCAGGUGUUACAUUUAGCUCCUCCAAUUGAUUGAAAGCAAAAGAGAGAGAGGGUGAUCAUGGAGAGACAGGUGUUGCAUCUCUGGGGAAAAUUCGGUGCAGCUUUUGUGGAGAAAGAAUAUGCAUGCAUAGCAUCCAUAGACCUCCCCCAAUAUUGCUUGCUCACAGGCUUUGCAUUUGAUUCUAUUUUUCGUCCCGAGAUGAUGGGAUGUGGGCGGAUGCUCAUGAGCAUUUGUUGGAUGGCCACAUUCUGAGAGUCCUCAUUGGGAGGACAGGCAAUCUUGGGCUGUGCACUAAGAAUUGAUGGAUCCGACUGUUAAGAGAAGGUUGUCAAAUAUAUAUAUAUCAAUCGCACGUAUUUCCUUGUGACCAAGUUUGUUAGGAAUAUGGAUGAGCCUCGAUAAGCCAUUCCCUCUUGGGUCCAUCCAUCGAUCACCUCUUACUUCUACCACAUUAGACUUAGUGUUCCACACAAUGAGUGACUAAGUUUGUCAGGAAAUAAAAUGAUAGCACAGCUUCAAGAUGAGUAUUUAUAGAUACGUCUUAGUGAUUUUAGAGCGCUCAAAAUGAGCAAUUUCUCAAGAACAGAUCAGAGAAAGCAUAUAACCUUGGAGCAUAAUCACAUAUGUCAUUAUCUGAAGAGCUAAAGAGAAAUAUGCAAUGUGAUUUGAGGAUUGAACCUAUGAUUUAGAUGCAGAUGGUAAUAAAUUCUUCUCUGGACUCUGAAGGUUAGCCAUUUUGUAUGAGAUAUGCAGGAUUGCAGGUAUCAUAAAGCAAAUCAAAUUAUGUUAGCAAAAAAGUUGGUACCGUCAUCUCCAAUGAAAGCAAAAUGUGUGAUAAAUGUUGUUGGCCAUGAAAACUGGAAGGAGCAAUAGAUGAUUCAUCUUCAGUCAAAGCAUGUGUCACAGAGAACAGCAUCUUUCUCUUCUUGGUUGACCAUUCUUCCUUGUCGGGCAAUUGUUUCUAUCUACUUCAUCAAUUAUGUAUGCUAUCCUUUAAUCCAUAGGAACUUCUCAUCAGUUGCAGGGUUUGGUUGCCCAAAAUCGGCUUGGCUUCGCCAAAACUCCUCUUCUCUAGAAGCCUGGCUGGCAUGGCAUCCCACUGGCAGUAGGGUGGUCAACCUUGCCUCGGCUUCGUGACAUGCUAUCUUUCCCCUCUGCAUUCCAUAGUCAAGGGUGAGUCCCAAGUGUCAGUUUGUGGAUAGCGGUCUCACACACAAAUCCCUACAGAUUCCUCUAGGUAGUCCAAAUUAUAUCUAAUUUAUUUUGAUGUGGUUCGUUCAUCAUUUGAUUUGACCUUGGAAGUUGGUUUUCUUCUUAUUUAUUUACAAGCCUAAAUGCUUAUUGUAAAAAACGAUUCCCAGGAGAGUAUCAUGAUAAUAAGUCAAAUAAUGAAGCUAAGUAGGUGAUCGACUCGAUAAAUUAAGAUGGCAGCACUGUCAAAUGCUUCUGCUAAUUUGGUGGCAGAUACUUAAAAUUGUUACCGACAAUGGAAGGGCAAAUGUUAUUGAAAAGACCAAAAAUACUUUGACAAUUAUUACGAGUAGAAUGGGGAGAUGUUUCAUUGGUUGUUUCAAGGUUACCUAAGAUCCUACUAGACCAAAAUACUUGGAAGUUUUUUCUUUACUGAAGAGAGAAAAAGAGGGAUGUUCAUGAAAAAUGGCACUUUUACUAGCACUUUCAGAUAGCAGCACCUUAUUAUCACAUUGCCACAUGUCAAACGUUGUCAUAUGGUCGUUACUAGUUGCCAAAAUAAAGUCAAAAUUGUUCUUGAGGUUAAAGCUUCUGAAUUCUUUGAAAAUAUCGCAAGUGUCACAGUUUUGCUUUUAUUUUUCUGGCAAAUCUCUUCGUGACUUUCUGCUUGGCCAGUGGAUCUAUAUGUGUUAUUUUACAGACUCUUUGCUGUUAUACGAUGGUUUUGCUCAUUUAUCCAUAUGAACUAGGAUAAAUAGAUGCCUUGGAGACAGGAGCACUGCUGCAAUAUCAGAGCUUUCUUCUAUCAUCAUAGAGUUAGAAGAAUCAAAAUGAACAAUGUCAGUUUUUUCAUCUCUGUCCCGUAUGCACGGGUAAUGCUUACUAACUAUUCUGAUGAUAACAAUUUUUGAGUAUGUGAUUGCAAAACGACACAGUGGUUACAUCAUUUAGUCAGCAUUUUACCUCUGAGAGGUGACAACUAGAUUUUUGUCGCCGCAAAUGUAUCAACUUGCUUCAGCAAAUAAGAUUUAUAAAGACAAACUUCUUCAGUGGUGUAUCCCACGUGUCCGGAAGCUCUUGGAUCUGAAUAAUGCAAUGACUAUGUUGUCUCCCAGGCUAAAUUGGUUUUCGGCCAGGAGCAUGAAUUGUUGCUUCAGUGGGAGAUUCAAUUUAGGGCCAAGGUGCGAAAAGAACGCUUGAUUUCUUUUUUUGGGAGGCUUUAGUUCAACAUAGCUGAAUUUUGGUAGACUGCAGAUGUUAGGUCCACACUUUUCCCAUCUUCAUGUGCUAGAAAAGAAUUUACAGUUAAUGAAUGCAAAGCUCGAUAGAUAGUAUGCAAAAGCUUGUGGCUAGUCUGCACAAACUACAUAAACCUUAUAUUCAUUUUCAAGGAAUUAACAAGACCGGCAAGCUUCCUAACAAAUUUAUUCAUAAUCAAAUUAUGCAUCCCAAUGUUAAUACUCCUAUUCAUAACACAGAGCACACAAGUCUUACACUCAAAAAUAUGAUAUUUAUCUGCUUUUGCUCAGAAGAUAACAAUAUCGGAUGUCAAGUGUUGGCAGGGAUUCCAAUUGACUUGCGUAAGAGCAUAAGUUGAAACAUCAAACAAAAAGGCGGUCUUCUGCCUCCCCAAUUCUUUCCAUCUGGAUAAGAGCCUCCCCAACUCUUCAACUACAUGCACUUUGCUUGCAGCUUUUUGAGACCAGCAUUGCAGGUCUUCUUUUGAGUACCUCCUAUUGUGGGCUCAUUCUGUCCACUUUUUCCUGCAGAAAUAAAUCUAGUUCAGCAAAAUCGAGGCUUCAGGUACUUCCAUUACUUUAAAAAAAAAUUGGUAUUGCCAUAUUUUCUGUUGAUUGUAACUUAUUGUGGAGAUUGAGUCUGUAUAUGAUAUAACAAAAGAAAAAAGAACAGGGCUAUUCACCACAUCACAUGGCAGCAUCUCGUUGCCAUAUAUACGUUAAAGUUUAGUGAGAGAGUAUUUCUGUGAUGAAACCAAACCGUGGGUAAAACGUAUUUGAUAUGAGUAAUCAAUGGACAAGGGCAUUCAUCAGAGACGGAAUCACCCAGUUUCAGGUCCGUUUCUCUCAAAGAUUACAAUAGUACUCACCAGCAUCGUCUUCAAUGAACAUAGCGUAGAGUGAAUUGAUGGAGAUGAUGGCGAUCUUUAUUGUUGGUGUUAACCAUGGAAGGCAAUCAUUGUUGACAUAAAGAUUGCAUUGCACAAGAACGUGAAAGUCGAAUGUGCAAAAUUUACCAGACACUGCAUAGGAAGCAUGGGUCGGUAGCUCUAAUAAAAGAAAGAGUAUAUGCUUGGGUAGGUGAUGUUUCAAAGUGGGCCUUUCAAAAGUGCAUGGAAUGUUGAAGUCGAAGUCGCAUUCUGCGUAGCGAAUGACAGCGUCGAUGCUCUUCACGACAUGCGUCAGUGAGCCUUCCUUCUUGAUACGGGAAGAAGUGGGUGUGCCAGGGUGAACAGGGCGUUGCAUAACUGAGGGCAAUUCAGCACAUGAUUUACGGAGCAGAAAAGAGCAGCUCGGCUCCAGGCAGGCAUGGGCUAAACCUUUAACAUAUUAAUCACGAGCCUCGCUCGCACCAUCCUUCAUUCGACCCAGCUCCAGCGGCAGCGGAUGAUAGUGAAUUGGAGAAGAGGCAAUCCAGACAAGCAUAGAACCCACCUAGUAUGCUGCUCUAUUCUCAGCUUUACACCCAGAUUCUGGUUUCAAGCUUCACGUGGAAGGACACCAGUAGAUGCUGAUGGGCGAAAUGAUUAAUAAAAAAUAAUAAAAAAAACUGAGCCUUUCUUGCCCUCCAGAUCUUGUGAACAUAGAGUUAUAGCCACGUAGUCCACGUCAAUGCUGAAAUUGCAUUCGCUGGAGGGGCAAACCAGAAGGCAGACAUUACAUUGGAGGUUUGCCGAUUGAUCGAAAGCAAGAAAAAGGGUUGAUUAUGGAGAGAGAUGCGUCGCUUCUCUGGGGUCGAUUCGGUGCAGCUCUCGUGAACUAAGAGUAUGCACCGUGUAGCAUCCCUAGACCUCCUCGCAGGCUUUGCAUUUGAUUCUACUCUUCGUCCCAAAAUGGAGGGACGGGAGCAGACGCUAAUGAGCAAAUUGCAGGAUGGAUUCUCAGAAUCCUCAUCAAGCUUCCUCAUCAAGCUUAGUUGUGAUUAGGCAGAAGCGGUAUCCGGCCGUGCACUAAUGCUCAAUCGUCCGAAUGGCAAGAAGGAAGCCUGCUCACACGCAUGGCAACUCCGAUGAUCCUCCUCAUCGUUGGCAGCUGGGCAGUCAAGGCGGGGCAGCGGGUGAGACAGGUGUCCUAGUGUGGACAGCAUGCUAAAUUCGGCAUGACUCGUAAAAGAAGAAACGACACGAUUCACAGUGGUGAGCCGAGCUGCGGAUUGGAGAUCAGCACGCAUGACAUUCCAAGCAAGUACAGGCUUCUUCGCUCAGGUUUCGCAGAUUCAAUACAUGAUCACCAAGGCAAAUUAGGAAAUAAAAAUGCGUUUUGAAUGGAGUUAUAGUUGUUAUCAACACGAAGUAAAUGUGGCGAAAUUAAUUGAGUUAAUGCUUUAAAAAACCCCAAAUUGAUACGUCUAUGACAAAUUUAUGCUAAAAUAAUUUUUUGAUCAUAAAAAACUUCAAACUAGUAUACAUUUGAUAAAUUUACCUCAAAUUUGUAUAUUUGUGAUAAAUUUACCCUAUGUUAGUUUCCGUUAAAUUUUACUAUCGAAUUACUAAAUUAAAGGACACGUGAAAGUUGACUGGUGUAUCGAUUUGGAAUUUUAUUCUCCAUUUUUCACAGUUAUAUAAUUUUUGUAAUUUUUUGUGGUAUUAAUCCAAUUUAACAUAGGAUAUAUUUAUCACAAAUGUAUCAGUUUUAGGUUUUUGGCGAUCAAAUAAGUUAAUUUAGAAUAAAUUUGUCACAGGUGUACCAGUUUAGAAUUUUUCAUGGUCAAAAAAUUAAUUUAAGAUAAAUUUGUUAUACGUGUAUCAGUUUGGAGUUUUUCAGGAUAUUAACCCAAAUUAAUUUUACCCCACUCCCACAUCAUUUGAUGUUGUGUUUCAGUGCUAAUUUGUACAAUUAUUUUUUUUAAUGCUUUAAUUCAAUGGUUAACGAAACUAAAGUAGCCCAUGAAAAGUUUCAUAUCUUGUUCAUUUAAAGUCAGUUGCAAUCUAACCAAAAAAUAAAAAUCAGCCACAACUGUUAUGAAAUACAUGAAUGAAUAGAAUACAUAAAUAAAUAUUCAUUAUAUUCAUCUUAUUUAAUGUACUUAUUAUGGUACAUUUGUAUCAUAUAUUCUAAGUACAUCUCUCUAUACAAUGAAUGUCCAUCUCCUUUAUCCAGUACAUGUAUCAUUCGAUACAUUGAUAUUAAUGAUAAGUACAUUUUUGUUUUUCUAUAAAUAGGAGUUUAGUUUUUAUGUACAAUACACAAUCACACAGAAACACAACAGUGAGAUACUAGAAAUAAAGCUCUCUCAUCUUGCUACUAUCUCUAGUGUUCACUUGCUUUCUCUUCUUUAAUCUCUUCUCUAUUAUACAUUCACCACGCGAUAUUUUACAACAACAACUAUAAUUUAAUUUUCCAUAAAUUAACCAAUAAAUAAAACUCCAAACAUUGGUUAAGAUCAUAAAGGUGCAUCACCUUGGGCUAGUCUAUACAUUUAUUAGAAAUUCUUAUCCAACUUACUAUGAAUGCUACUUACUUAACACAAUAUUGCGAUAUGACUUUUUUAUAAAUUACUAAAGUGGAAUUAACUUGACAUGACUUUAUAGUUUAUAAAACUAAAUUCACCUUAUAUGUAAAAGUAACCCUUACAUAUGCUGGGUCAUGUCCUUUUUCUGAGGCAAAAAAAAAAAAAAAAAAUUCUCUCUCUCUCUAUGAGAGAGUUUCCAAAGGGUCUCAAGGGAGGCUUCGAUGUUCCCGCAAAUAUGGUUGGAUCAUGCGGUAUUACAUGAUAAUCCUAUGUCUAAUCGUGGGCAGAAAUGGGACCAUGAAAGUUGGGGAUUUUUUUUAUAAAAAAAAAAACCAUUUUUGGCAAAAUUAAGAUUUUCCUGAAGUUUUGCUCUGCGACACUUUAAAUUUUCUUUACAACAUUAUUUCACAGUUUAAAAACCUCUAGAAUCAGCCCAACAACAUAAAAUCCAUACAAAACCUAAUUUACAGUUUAACUAAGAAAACUUCUUCAAUUAGAUAAAUAAAAGUUUAAAAUCCUUAUCGAUUACUAAGAAAUAUAAAUAAUCCGGCUUGACCCAGCCUCUCAAACGUGCAUGUAGCGAGAGCCCCUCGUCUCAUCUUUGUCUUUUUGUCUGUUUCUCCGGAUUCUGGUUUCCUCCGUUUUUUGGGUUCUUCUAUCUGCACUCGUAAUUCCUUUGCAAUGGCGUCAACUGAACCAAGACCAAGGAAAGUGCUAAACGAGACACUUGGGCUUCUGCUUAAUGUUUUGCUCUUUUGAUAUGUGUUAACAAGUAGCACCCAAAUUUGGGUCCCUUAUCUUCUCACAAAGGUCACAAAAGAACUCACUGGUAUCAUCUUCGAUGAACGAAGCAUAAAGUGUGAGUUGAUGGAAGUUAAUGGCAAUCUUUAGUGUAGUUGAAGGCAAUCUGUGAUGAUUAAGGUUGCAAUGCACACAAUUGUAAAAGUCAAACCUGCAAAAUUUACUACAGACACUGCAUAGGAAGCACAGUUCGGAAGAUCUAAAUUAAGAAAGAGUACAUGCUCGUGCAGGUGAUGUUUCAAAGUGGGCCUUUCAAAAGUGCAUGGAAUGUUGAAGUCAUAGUCACUGUCCAUGCAGCGAAAGACAGAGCGUCAACACUCUUCACGGCAUAUGUCAACACCGCUCCUUCCUGAUGCAAGAAAAAAAAGACGUGCGGGGUGAACAGGUUGUUGCAUGAGUGAGGGCGAUUCAGCACAUGAUUUAUGGAGCAAAAAAGAGCAGCCCUGGUUCAGCCAGCGAUAGAUGCACGCACUACGAGCCUUGCACGCACCAUCCUUCAUAUGACGGUUCCAGCAGCAGAGGAUGACCGGGCAGAGGAGAAAGAAGAGGCAAUCAAGCCAACCAUGGACCUCACCUGGUAUGUUACUUUCACAAGCUUUGCACCUGAUUCUGCUUUCGAGCUUCGUGAGGAAGACCAGUGGAUGCUGAUGGUCGAAGUGGUAGAAAACCGAGUCCUUCUUGCCAUCCAGAUCUUGCGAACAUCGAGUUAAUGCUGUGUCCAUGUCAAGGCUGAAUUUUGUAAUCGCUACAGUAGGAGACCAUGGUAAGCAUUAGAGUGUCAAAAUGGGUCCAUCACCCAUUUUUUGACUCAUAUUCUGAGAAGUGGGUCAUACAAGUUAUUCAAACUUUUAAGGGCCAGGCCUAAAUGGAUUUAAAAAGACUCAAAGUUUGGCGGGACGACAAAAUUUGGGUCCUCGACGGUGGCAUUGUGGGGCUGGGACAGAGGUGAGACUGUAUCGACUGAGUUGGACAUGCAACGAGGUAGAGUUCAUCUUCCUUCUCUCAACACAGCAACUGGUUGAUGGUCAGGCCUCCAAUCAAUGUGAACAACACCACCUUGUUUCUCUCCUGUCCUUGUGCUUCUAGAUCUACUCCGCUUCUCUGCACGCUUUGCACUUCUAGAUCUUCCUUCACUUCUCAGUCUCUGUAUUGUGUUAAGAGAGAGCCUUGAGGUCGAACUAUUAUUGAGAAUUAAAGAGGUAGCUCGUUCAUUUGAGACCCAAUUUGUCUCAAGCCCAAUUUGUCUCAAGCCCCAAUUCUAAGCCCAAUAAAAAACUGCCGAUGGGCUGUUCUUUGUUAUCGAUAUGGCCGAAAUUACCCCCAAAAAGAAAAAUAUAUAUAUGUCAGCAAAGCGAGUUGGGUUGGGUUGGGUUACGUUGGGUUGGAUCCAGUGGAGGUUGAAUAUGGGUUUGGAAGCGCACUGGUUGAUGAGAGCAAGGAUAUUGCUUGUCAUCGAGUAAGAUUCGUCAUCCUUCACCUCGUAAAAAUAUCAAAAAAUAGCGAUCCACGUAGAAAAUUAGAAAGAGUAAAGCAAAUAUAGGAAAACAAAAAUUAAUUAUACGUAUAUGCAUCGUAAAUAAUGGCUACUAAUGAGCUUUAAAUGAGUGGAUAUGAAUUUUCAUAGAUUUAGUUAAAUAUAGACGUGCUUUAAUAAUUUAGGUAUAGGUCAAGUUUGGGUCACUGGAUUUAUACUGCAUGUAAAUGAGUCAAAACGGAUUAAAUGGGUCGAUUUGAAUCGAACCAUUUUUUGACUCCCAACCUACCUAUUUGACAGCCCUGGUAAGCAUUACAUUUAGCUCCUCCAAUUAAUCAAAAGCGAGAGAGAGAGGGUGAUCAUGGAGACGAGUGUUGCUUCUCUAUGGAAGACUCGGUGCAGCUUUUGUGGAGAAAGAAUAUGCACGCAUGGCAUCCAUAGACUUGCCCCAAGAUCGCUUGUUCGUAGGUUUUGCAGCUCUUGAGCAUUUGUUGGAUGGUCACAUUCUGAGAAUCCUCAUCGGGGCUUAGUUGUGGCAAGGCAGAUGAAGCUAUAUUGGGCUGUGCAAUAACAAUCGACGUGUCCAAAUGACGAGAAAAUUUUCAUAUAUAAAAGCGAAAUAUUGAUUGGAAUGUACAUUACUAGAUUGGUGAGGUCACGUAUUUUCUUGUGUCAUGACAAGUUUGUUAGCCAUCGCCUAAGACCCACCACUGGCGAAAGGAAACAAAAGCUAAAAAAAAAAAAGGAAAAAAAAGGAAAAAAAAAGGAUGAAAAAUUCAAAAAUAAAAUAAAAUGUUGUCAACAUUAGCGCCAGUACGCCACAGGACGACUAGUUGGGACUAGCGUUUUCCAAUCAAAAUUGACUGAAAAGAUUAUUUGAUAAAUUGUCUUAAGUUUGAGGACUAAAUAAGUAAAAUUGAAAGGUUUAGAAUUAUUAUUAUUAUUAUUAUUUUGCCUAUAAAGUUUAGGGUUGAAUUAGUACAAGUGUAAUAGAUUUAGAAUUUUUUGGGAUUUUUCCUAAAAAAAAUGGAGGAAAGUAUCAUUCGGAAAUAAUUUGUAACGACAAUGACCUAGUUAAUGUAAUUUCUUUGUAACAAGACUUUUAGAGUGCGUUUGGCAACGUUUCUGUUCAAAAAUUGUUUCAGGGAACAGAAAUAGAAAAAACUAUUUCUAUUCCGGCGAACAAUUUUUGACCAGAAAGAUGCGUUUGGUAAACUUGUUCCGGGAAUAAAAAAUGAAUAGAAAUACGUUUGGUAAAUUUAUAUUCUUUUUUUUUUCUUUUAAAUUUUUAAUAUUUUUAUUUUAUUUUUUUUCUUUUUUCCUUUCUUUUUUUCUUCUUUUGGCCGAUUGCCGGCCUCCGGUGAUCGGCAGACGGGGGCUGACAGUCGAGCCUCGCCUUGGCUGGGCGAGCUCGGGCUCGCCUAGAUCCGGCGAGGCUUGGCCUGGCCGGUGGCUGGGCGAGCUUGGCCUCGUCCGGAUCCGACGAGGCCGAGCGUCGCCGGCCCCCGGCGUGGCUCAGCCUCGCCGAAUCUGGGCGAGCUCGAGCUCGCCAUGCUGGCGAGGCUCGGCCUCGCCGGAUCUAGGCGAGCUCGAGCUCACCUAGCCAUGGCGAGGCUUGGCCUCGCGAAUUUGGGCAAGCCCGAGCUCACCCAGCCAUGGCGAGGCUCGACCUCGCCGAAUCUGGGCGAGGCCAAGCUCGCCCAGCCAAGGCAAGGCCGAGCCUCGCCCCGGCCCCUCUCGGCCAUGCCGGAUUUGGGUGAGCUCGAGAGGCGAGGCCGAGCCUCGCUAGGGGCCGGCGACGCUCCGGCGAGGUCACCGACCCUCGCUGGCCAUGGCCGAGGCCCGCGACCGGCCAAAGAAGAAAAGAAGAAGAAAAGAGAAGAGAGAGAAAAAAUGUUCUUCAAAAGUGUUUCUGGAACAAAAAUAUAAUUUUUUUUUGUUUCUCAUUUCCGUUCCAAUUUUGUUCCGAGAACAAAAAAACAGAUUUUGAACAAAAACACAAACAAACGCGUUUCUAUUCUUUUUUUGUUCCCGAAAACAAAAAAAAAAAACAAAAUUUUUGUUCAUAAACAAUAAAAAAGAACAUUACCAUGCAGGGCCUUAGUCAUCAGAUGUUUCCACUUAUGCCCUUCUCGUUCCUUCCCUUUUUCACUAAUUUCUCAUCAGUCAAUCAAUCGUUGUCCCUUUCACAUGCCCUUUCCCAAUCUCUCUCCUCGUUAAAAGUUUCCACAAAUAUUCCUCCUUAAUAACUUUUUUUUCCUCUUUCUCAAAAAGAUGACAUUUGUAUAUUCCUUAUGCUAAAAUUCAAAUACAUUAUACUAAUCAGGGUCUAACCCUCAUUUGAACCGGGUCAAAUACUUUUUUUGGGAAGAAAGAAGAAGGAGAUAGAAUUCUUUUUUUUUUUAUGUCAUAUUUAUUCUCUCCCGCUAGACCUCUCUUCAACAACUUCUCAGUUUUCUUUAGUCUCCUUUCGAUUCCAUCUCUCUCUCUGAGAGUAAGUUUCCAAGAGGCUUCGAUGUUAACGUUGCAAUGGGACCAUGAGGAGUCACGUGAUGACCCAUACCAUAUGGAUAUAUGUGGGACCGUAGUGAAAGUUGGGACAAAAAAAGUUCAAAAUAGAACUGAAAUUGAAAUUAAAGUUGGAUUUUUUUUUUUUAGGGAAUUAACCCAUAAAAAUUCAUGAUUCCAUCAACAGUCCAAGAUAUCUCAAAUCAAAGAAAAUGCGAUCUCUUAUCAAGAUGGGAACCUAUUUUCAUAAUAUUUCACCAAAAAAGGAAAUGUUCAACUGCUUUGAAAGUAUUUUGACAGGAUUUAGUACAUCCAACAAUUACAAAAAUAGGUGCGUUCGUGCUUAAAAUAUGUUGCACUAUAGAUGUGUAUUUAAAGAAAGGGAUGAGUAGCUAUAUUGAAAUGGAGAAACAAUAACUAUAUAUUACUGGAUGUUUUUAUUUUGUUGAUUUUGUGAAUAAGACCUGUCAUUGACAUUUGUCAUCCCCCAGCUCUAUAAAAAUAGGGAAAACAACAUCAAGGUCCUCCUGCCUAGAAAAGAUAGCCUUAAACAUAAACCAACGUAAACAUGUUAUCAAAAUAUGUCUUCAUCUAUAUACUUGAUAUAAAGGUGAGUAGGUUACAAAAUCAAGAUUCUGAAAUUCAUCAAAAAAGUAAGUGUAUAUAAUAUGUAUUUCCAAACUCAAUUAAACCCUACAAAUAUCAUUUGAGACCUAUACGAGUAUCUAAACUCAUAUCAAAAUCCAACUAUAAAAUUUUAUUGCCGAUAACUCUCACAUCCUACCUUAGUUGAAGAAUUUGAAAAAGAUUUGAUAUAGAUAAUGUGAACAACCAUAAUUCAGUGACUAACACAAAUCUCUUCUAAGCAAAUGGGCAUCCGCCGUGCAUAUUAUAAAGUACUACUACAGACUCAUUUAUCCAAAUCCAAUAUAUAAUGUAUAGUAAAAUCCAAAUAUGAGCGAUAUCACUUCAACUCGGUUUUAUACUGAUCGGAAAUAUUCAUUCAAAUUUCAAAUACCAAAAGGGUAGUAUACACUCCAUCCGGCUUUAUGCGAUAAAUUUGUUUUAAACUGUACUUUUUUGUUUUAGCAAAAUCAUAUCAUGCAAUGCCUUUCUUAACAUAUAAUUUAUUACUUUUAAAACAUGAGUUUUUACAAAUUUAUAGAAUAUCACAACUUACCCUUAACCAAAAUCCAAAUCGAAAGUUACACCAAUCAAAAAGUUUCAAAAUCCUAUUGAAGGCGAUGCCAUAUUCAAACUUACGUGUCAACUAACCUCGACUAAAACUUCAGUAAGUGAUGCCAUAUUCUUAAGUCAAAUCGUUCACUUGAGAAAAGAGCUCUUAACAACUACUUUGCAAACAGAGUCAACCUCAUUUCAGAACUCUAAUUCAAGCGAGCUUACUUUCAACAAAAAAACUCCUUUGAAUUAUUAAGAGACCAUAAAGCCAAAAGAUGGCCCGAGAAGGGCAAAGUCCAUUGCCAAACACAGUAAUUGGGAAAUUGUUUCCAACAGCAUGCAAAAUUUUAAAAAUUUAUCACGACCAAACCAUAAACCUAAAUCAACUUUCAUGAAGUCUUGCUAUGCAACACCCUAAUUUUUUUUUUUUUUACAACAUAAUUUCACAACUUGAAAACCUCUAAAAUCAACCUGGCAACGUAGAAUCCAUACAAAACCUAAUUUAUAGAUUAACUACAAAAACCUAUUCCAUUAGAUAAAUAAAAGUUUCGAAUCCUUACCAAUUGCCAUGAAACAAAUAUAAUCGGGCUUGACCAAGCCUCUCAAAUGUGCAUGCAUUGAGAGUCCCCUUUGACUUGAGAAAAUAUUGGGUAUACUAGGGAGGCUAUCUCAACAAAUCACCAAUCCAUUCAUUGGGUGAUACAUGUCGCGUUAGGCUUAUCUUCCAUUAAUUUUCCCCUUUGACUUGAGAAAUUAUUCCCUCCGACUUAUUAUUCAUGAGGAAAUGAAUGGCAUGAGGAGAAUCACAAAUGCAAUGUGGUCAUAGCAAAACCAAUCGCAUAAUGACAAGUUAACAGGGAACAUGCAAGAGCAAUUUAGCAUAAAUAUUGCAGUACUAUCAACUAGUUUCGGGAAACGAAACACAUUACAGAGAACAUGAAGCAUCCCAGAACGUCUCCUUCUGUUUUGUUGUCUACACUGCAUAAUCUGAAUAAUCAUAAUUUAUGGCUUAAUUACGAAAAUUCCUGCACUUAGAUAAAUAAAAGUUGUUGCUACCAAAUAGAAUUAAUUCGUCUUGUCGAGUUCUCCCAAGCGUGCAUGGAGCGAAAGCCCCCUUUGUUUCCUCUCUCUCUCUCUCUCUUUUUCUCCGUUUCUUUCCUUCUUUUCUUUUUUGUUUUUCUUGGCCAGGCUCUGUUUUCUCUCCUCCGUUCUGCUCUUGUAAUUUCCCUUGCAAUGAAGCAAGACUAAAGAAAGGGCUAAAAUGAAACACUAGGCUUGGGCUUAGGCUUGGGCUUAAUGUUUUGCUCUUAUUUAUUAUUUUUUGCAAGCCCAUUUCUUGCAACUUCAUUGAUGAAGAUAAAUAUUUUAGGUUAUUAUGUACUGAUGGAUCCUAUGUGGCGUGAGGAUAAGGUCACUCAAAAUUAAAGUUGGACAUAUCUCUAUUUAAAGAAAAAUUAUAAAUCUAUUAUAUUUGUGUCAAUUUAAAUUAGUGUCAAUUCAGCCAUUUCGACUAAUUUUAAUUGGAAAUUACUGAUAUGGACAUCAGUUGUCCUAUAUGGCACAUCCAGCCCUAAUAUAGAUAAUUUUUUUUUAUAGUAAUUCAAUUUUUUAUUUUUUAUUAUUAUUAUUUUUUCUUUAUUCUUCCUUGGCCAUUUCCAUUGCGGGUUGGCCUCGCUUGGGUGAGGGUCGUCAUUGCCCACUACAGGCUAGGCUAGGCUAGGCUAGGCUAGGCUAGGCCAAGCGAGAGCGAUCCCAAGCAAGGCCACCUUGGCUUGGGCGAGGUCUUACGAGGGUUAGCCUCACCUAAGCUAGAUUUGGUGAGGCCAGCUUGCUCGGCUAUUGCUUAUCAUCAGCAAAAGAAGGAAGAAAGGAAAAAAUAAAAAAUAAAAAAAUUAGAAAAAAUAAAAAAAUAUUAAAUUAUUAUUAAACGUUUUCCAUGGCCAUCCAUAUCAGUAUCUAGUCAAAAUUAACUAAAAUGACUAAAUUGAUAUAAUUAUAAGAUUUAUGACUAAAUAAAAUUAAAUGCGAUAGGCUUAUGGCUUUUCUCCCUUGUCAAUAUAACCAAAUGAAAAAUAAAUAAAAAAGUUUAAGGCCUUCGUCCUCUCUAUAGUGUGGUGAGGAGUGAGGGUAGGGACAUCAUUUGAUCUUUAUUUUUUCAUGGAAAGUGGCACGGACAUCAAGUUAAUAAUCUUCUUUUGACAUCAAUCUAAUACUCUUUAUUUUGGACGUCCAUUCCAAUCAAGGACAUCCAAAUGCCCCUUUUCCAAGUUUCCUUUUAAAAAUUUUAAGAUGCAACGGGUAUCUUCCUUUAAAGAUAUCCUUAACAUUUUUCAAGCAAGUCGUGGUUUGUUUUUUUUGUUUCUGGAACGAAAUAGGAACAGAAAACAGAAACGAAAAAAAGUCGUUUCUUUUGAAAAGGAACACUUCUUCGAUGGAACAAAAGAACACAAACCCAAGGAACAAAAGAACAAAAUCAGAACAAAGGCGAACUCUUCUCCUUCGUGCGUGCUCGUCGCUCCUCUCGUCUGCUGAAGGCUUCCUUCUUCCCUUUCCGGAGUCUCUUCCCUUCUCUCCGGGGGCUCCCACUCGGCUGACUCUACCGGCGACUCCUCACUACCGGCAAUUCACGGUACGUUUCUAGGUGGUCCUCCUUCUCCGGGUAGCUUUGCUCCCCCUUCGGGNNNNNNNNNNNNNNNNNNNNNNNNNNNNNNNNNNNNNNNNNNNNNNNNNNNNNNNNNNNNNNNNNNNNNNNNNNNNNNNNNNNNNNNNNNNNNNNNNNNNGAUCAACUAUGAGCACAACCCUAUAGGCGCCUUGAUAAAAUGCCUGAUUUAUGAAAUGAAAAGCAAAGUCGAAAUCUAGGAUGUCAUAACUCUUCCUCUCUUAAAAAAAUUUCGUCCUCGAAAUUUAAACCUUUACCAAAUCUUUUAAUAAAAAUGUGGGGGUAUCAUAGUCUCAUCGAGUCUCACUUUUUCCGGUUACUUCUUUAGUCCCGCAGUGUUGUUAGAUGACUUUGACCAAGGGGAAUGUCCUUGAACCACGACUUGCUUGCGCAUAAAUGAAAAGUAUAAAUAAUGUCCCCCGUCUUUGCUCCUCCUCACAGCACCAUGGAUCUUCCCUCCAUUGUCUCUGUCCUGGCCAACUUCAUCCAAGUGAAAUUCCAGGGGAAGUCGCCUUCACCCUUUGAAACCCACCCCCUCGCCACCCGUGUCGCCAUCUGCAGCCUCCUCCUGCAUUUCUCGUUGGGGCGUGUCGCUACUCGGCUACCACCGCCUCUCGGCCCUGCUCUUUCCUGUGAUGGAGCAGCGCGCCUCCUCUUCCACUUCACCGGUUUGACAUCGGUGUUUUCGCUCGCGUGGUUGCUGCUCCACGACUCCUUCCACUCCCUCCUCUGGUUCGUGCUGUUCCUGUUGCUUGCCGUGCGUCUGUUACGGGGCCUCAUUCUAAGACUUUGGCUGUGGUUUUACCACAAACUCGUUCUCAUGAUUAUCCGUGCGGGGGGCUCCCGUGUAUGGCACGGUGGAAGAGCGCAGUCACAUUUGCCACGCCCGGUCGUGGAUCUGCGUUUCAUGCUGGAAGUUUGAGCGCUGUAAUUGUUCGAGUGACUGCUCCCUGCUUGGAAGAAGUAAUUUUAAUUGUAUGACCACUUCAAAUCAAAUAAUUAGUACGUUAGGAACCUAAGCUAGUUUUGUAUAAGAUGCACUUGGGGUUUUCUUCUCUUUAUCUGGAGCCAAAGCCGUAAGGAAUCCCCAAGCCUUCGGCGUCAAAUUAUCUCCCGAUCAUAACAAAGGAGAGCAGGGAACAAGCAAAAACUACCUAUGUAUCUUUCCUAUUCCUAGCCAUGAACGGUGAUGGACCUUGUAGUGACUAGAUCUGAUUAAGAUAGGCUAAGCCCUCGAAAGAAAUUUGGAUCUAUUGUUAUCGAAGAGAUUGAAGACGACCUCAACAAUUGUUAUGACGAGUAGAAUGGUCGUUUCUACUGGCCAUAUAAGGGGUAGUAAUGGUUCUUGAGGUUGAAGCUUCUGACCUCUUUGAAAACGUUGUUGAGUGUUGCAGAUUUCCUUCUUUUUUCAGUGAAUCUCUUUGUAGCUUUCUGUUUGGCCAGUGGAUGGAUAUGUGUGAUUUUACGUUCCUUGCUGGUGUACUAUGGUUUUGCUUAUAUGAACUGGGAUAAAUUGAUGCCUUGGAGAUGUGAGCACAGCUGCAGUUUCAAAAGCUUUGAUCUAACACUAACAUCAUUGAAUGAUCCAAAUCAAAAUGAAAGAUGUCAGCUUUUUCAUCUCUCUCGCAUAUACACUGUUACUGCUUACUAGCUAUUCCGAUGAUAAUAUAGUUGUAGUUUGUCAUUGCAGAAUGUGGGAAUGGUUACAUCAUAUGGUCUUCAUUUGAGCUCUGAGAGGUGACAACUACUAGAUCUUUGCUGUGGCAAACGUGUUAACUUGCAAUCUAAGACUUCAUUGUCUAGCUGGCUGAUUGACAUUCAAGUUGCCAGGGCCAAGGGGAGAAAAGAAUGCUGAAAUGUCGAUUUUUUUUUUUCUCUGUAGGCUUUAGUUCAAGAUUACUAAAUUUUGGCAAGACUGUAGAUGUUAAAACCGAAAUUUUCCCAUCUUCAUGUGCUAAAGAAUUUACGGUUCAUGUGUGCAAUGCUAGAUAGAUAGUAUGCAGAUGCUUGAGACAAUUCCGUACAAACUACACACAUUUGAUGUUCGUAUCUGAGGAAAUAAUUAGACCAGCAAGCUUCUUGACAAGUUGAUUCAUAAUCAAAUCAUGCAUCCCAAUGUUAGCACGUCAUCUCAUUACAUAGAGCACUCAAGUCUCGCACUUCAAAAAUAUGAUAUUUAUCUGCUUUACUGCAGAGAACAACAAUCUUGGAAGUCGACUGUAGCAGUGACACCAAUUGACUUGCAUGACAUCAAACAGAAAGGAAAUUCUUUUCAUAUUGAUAAGUGCCUCCCCAACUCUGCAAGUACAUGCACUUCACUUGCAGUUUUUCGAGACCAACAUUGCACGUCUUUUCUUGAGGACCUCCAAUUGUGUGCUCAUUCUUUUCACUUUUACCUGCAGAAUUGCAAUAUUUUCAUCUAGUUCAGCAAUAGCAGGGUCUCAGGUACGUCCACCAUUCCAGAAACCUGAUUUAAAAGGUGUUUGGUAUUGGAGCAUUUUCCGUUGAUUACUACUUAUUGUGGAGGAUGAAUAUAUAUAUACGAUGUUAAAAAGGAACAUGGCUACUCACCACAUCAUAUGGCAUUGUAUCCAUUUGUCGCCUAAAGUCUGUUUAGUAAGAGAUCAUUUCUGUGAUGAAAGCGCACUGUGGGCAAAACACAUUUGAUACGAGUAAUCAAUGGGCAGGGGCAUUCAUGGCAGAUGUAAGCACUCAGAUUCAGGUUCCUUAUCUUCUCACAAAGGUCACAAUAGUACUCACUGGUAUCAUCUUUGAUGAAUGAAUCGUAAAGAGUGAAUUGAUGAAAGUUAAUGGCAAUCUUUUACUGUGGUGGAAGGCAAUCUGUGAUGAUUAAGAUUGCACUGCACACAACCAUUGAAGACAAACCUGCAAAAUUUACUAGAGACACUGCUUAGGAAAUACAGUUCAUUAGAUCUAAAAUAAGAAAGAGUAUAUGCUCGUGGAGGUGUUGUUUCAAAGUGUGCCUUUCAAAAGUGCAUGAAAUGUUGAAGUCAUAGUCACAUUCCAUGCAGUGAAAGAUAGAGAGCCGACGCUCUACGACAUAUUUCAACAGUGUUCCUUCCUAAUAUGAGAAGAAAAAAGGAUGUGUGGGGUGAACAGGUUCUUGCAUGACUGAGGGCAAUUCAGCACAUGAUUAAUAGAGCAUAAGAGCAGCUUUGCUUCCACCAGCAAUAGGCUAAACAUUUGAUGCUUUAUCACAAGCCUCACAUGGACCAUCCCUCAUAUGACAGUUCCAGCGGCAGACAACUAUAGACCGCACCUGGUAUGUUCUGUUCACAAGCUUUGCACCUGAUUCUGCUUUCGAGUUUCAUGUGGAAGACCAGUGGAUGCUGAUGGUCACAAUUGUAAAAGACCAAGUCCUUCUUGCCCUUCAGGUCUUGCAAACAUAGAGUUCAAGCCAUGCAGUCCAUGUCAAGGCUGAAUUUGUAUUCACUGCAGUAGGAAACCAUGGCAGACGUUAUGUUUAGCUCCUCAAAUUUAUUGAAGAGAGACGGUAAUUAUGGAGAGAAGCAGGAGAGACAGGGUUAUUAUGGGGAGACAGGUGUUGCAUCUCUGGGGGAGAUCCGAUGCAGCUUUUGUGGAGAAAGAAUAUGCAAGCAUAGCAUCCAUAGGCCUCCCCCAAGAUUGCCUACUCGCAGGCUUUGCAUUUGAUUCUAUUUUUCAUCCCAAGAUGAUGGGAUGUGAGUAGAUGCUCAUGAGCAUUUUUUGAAUGGCCACAUUCUGAGAAUCCUCAUUAGGAGGACAAGCAAUCUUGGGCCGUGCAGUAACAAUUGAUGGAUCCAACUGGCAAGAGAAGGUUUUUAUAUAUAAAUGCAAAAUACUGUUUGGAAUGUAUAUAUCACUAGACUGGUGAGGUCACGUAUUUCCUCGUGACAAGUCUGUUAAGAAUAUGGACGAGCCUUGAUAAGCCAUUCCCUCUUGGGUCCAGCCGUCGAUCACAUCUAACUUCUACCAUAAGACUUAGUGUUCCAGACAAUGAGUGACUAAGUUUGCUAGGAAAUAAAAUGAUAGUGCAGCUCCAAGAUAAGUAUUUAUAGAUACCUUUCAGUGAUUUUAGAGUCCUCAAAACGAGCAGUUUCUCAAGAACAGAUCAGAGAAAACAUGUAACCUUGGAGCAUAAUAAUACAUGUCAUUAUUUGAAGGGCUGAACAGAAAUAUGGGAUGUGAUUUGAGGACUGAACCGAUGAUUUAGAUGCAGAUGGUAAUAAAUUCUUUUAUCCGGACUCUGAAGGUUACCCAUUUUGUAUGUGAUGUGCAGGAUUGCAGGUAUAAAGCAAAUCAAAUUAUGUUAGCAAAAAAUUUGGUACCAUCAUUUCCAAUGAAAGCAAUAUGUGUGAUAAAUGUUGUUGGCCAUGGAAACUGGAAAGAGCAAUAGAUGAUUCAUCUUCAGUGAAAGUAUGUCUCACAGACAACAGUAUCUUUCUCUUCUGGGUUGACCAUUCUUCCUCCUCAGGCAAUUUUUUCUAUCUACUCCAUCAAUUAAGUAUGCUACCCUUUAAUCCAUAGGAACUUCUCAUCAUUUGCAGGGUUUGGUUGCCCAAAAUCGAAUUGGCUUCACCAAAACUCCUCUUCUCUAGAAGCCUGGCCAGCAAAGUGUCCCGCUGGCAGUAGAGUGCUAAACUUCACCUUGCUUUUGUGACAUGCAUUCCAUAGUCAAGGGUGAGUCCCAUGCAUCAGUUUGUGGAUCGUGGUCUUAAAUGCCAAUCUCUACAAAUUCCUGUGGGAGGUCCAAAUUAUAUGCAUUUUAAUUUUCAUGUGGGUUCGUUCAUCAUUUGAUUUGACCUUGCAGUUGAUUUUCUUCUCACAUAUAUCUACAAGCCUAAAUGCUUAUUGUGAAAAAUAAUUCCCAGGAGAGUUAUCGUGAUACUAGGUCAAAUAAUGAAGCUAAGAAGUUGAUCAGCAGUAUGACUUAAGAUGGCAAGACUGUCAAAUGCUUCUGCUAAUUCAGUAGCAGAUACUUCAAAUUGUUACCAUCAACGAAAGGGCAAAUGUUAUUGAAAAGACAAAAAUAAUUUGACAAUUAUUGCGACUAGAAGAAUGGGGAGAUAUUUCAUUGUUUGCUUCCAGUUUACCUAAGAUCCUACUGGACCAAAAGAUUUGGAAUUUUUUUUUUUUUUUUUUUACUGAAGAGAGAAAAAGAGGGACAUUCAUGAAAGAAGGUACUUUUACUAGCAUUUUCGGAUACCAACUCCUUAUCAUCAAAUUGCCACGUGUCAAGCGUUGUCAUAUGGUUGUUACUAGUUGCCAAAAUAAAGUCAAAAUAAAGCUCCUGAAUUCUCUGAAAAUAUGGCAAGCGUUGUAGUUUUGCUUUUCUUUUUCUGGCAAAUCUCUUCGUAACUUUCUGUUUGACCAUGGAUCUAUAUGUGUUAUUUUACAGAAUCUUUGACCAUAUGCAAUGGUUUUGCUCAUUUAUCCAUAUGAACAAGGAUAAAUAGAUGCCUUGGAGACAUGAGCACAGCUGCAAUGUCAGAGCUUUGUUCUAUUGCCAUAGAUCUAGCAGAAUCAAAAUGAACAAUGUCAGUCUUUUCAUCUCUGUCCCGUAUGCACGGGUACUGCUUACUAGCUAUUCUGAUGAUGACAUUGUUUGAGUUUGUAACUGCAGAAUGACAAAGUGGUUAUAUCAUAUAGUCAGCAUUUUACCUCCGAGAGGUGACAACUAGAUCUUUGUUGCAGCGAAUGCGUUAACUUGCUUCGGCAACAAGAUUUAUAAAGACACUUCUUCUGUGGUGUAUCCUGUAUGUAUCAAGAAGCUUUUGGAUCUGAAUUAUGCAAUUACUAUGUUGUCUCUCUGCCCGACUGGUUUUCAGCCAGGAGCUAGAAUUGUUGCUUUGGUUGGAGAUUCAAGUUGCCAGGGCCAAAUUGAGAAAAGAACGCUUGAUUUCUUUUUUGGGAGGCUUUAGUUCAAUAUAACUGAAUUUUGGUAGACUGCAGAUGUUAGAACUGAACUUUUCCCAUCUUCACUUGCUGGAAAAGAAUUUACAGCUCGUGAAAGCAAAGCUAGAUAGCUAGUAUGCAAAAGCUUGAGACAAGUCUGCACAAACUGCACACAUCUGAUAUUCAUUUUCAGGGAAAUAAUAAGACUGGCAAGCUUCCUAACAAGUUGAUUCGUAAUCAAGUUAUGCAUCCCAAUGUUAGUACUCCUAUUCAUAAAUAACACAGAGCACACAAGUCUUAUGCUAAAAAAUAUGAUAUUUAUCUGAUUUUGCUGCAGAAGAUAAAAAUAUCGGAUGUCAAGUGUUAGUGGUGAUUCCAACUGACUUGCAUAUAAGUGGGUAAGCUGAAACAUCAAACAGAAAGGUGGUCUCCUGCCUCCCCAAUUCUUUCCUUCUGGAUAAGAGCGCCCAUGCACUUCGCUUGCUGCUUUUUGAGACCAGCAUUGCAAGUCUUUUUUUGGAGUUCCUCCAAUUGUGUGCUCACUGUCCACUUUUUCCUGCAGAAUUGCAAUUUCUUCAUCUAGUUCAGCUAUAGCGGGGCUUCAGGUACUUCCAUUACUUCAAAAUAAAUUUUGUAUUACCAUAUUUCCUGUUGAUUAUAUUUUAUUGUGGAGAUUUGAGUCUGUAUAUGAUGUAACAAAAGAAAAAAGAACAGGGCUAUUCACAUCAUGGGGCAGCAUCUUGUAGCCGUUUGUUGGCUAAAGUCAGGUUAGUGAGAGACCACUUCUGUGAUGAAAGCAUACCGUGGGUAAAACACAUGUCGAUAUGAGUAAUCAAGGGCAUUCAUUGGCAUUCAUUGCAGCCAGAAGCACCCAGAUUCAGGUCUUUUUUCUCUCAAAGGUCACAGAGGUACUAACUGGCAUCAUCUUUGAUGGACGAAGUGUAAGGUGUGAGUUGAUGGAGGUGAUGGCCAUCUUUUAUUGUUGGUGGUAACUGUGGAAGGCAAUCAUGAUUUACAUUAAGAUUGCACUGCGCAAAAACGUGAAAGUCGAAUGUGCAAAAUUUACCAGACACUGCAUCAGUAGUGCAGGUCAAUAGAUCUAAUACAAGAAUGAGUAUAUGAUCGUGGAGGUGAUGUUUCAACGUGUGCCUUCCAAAAGUGCAUGGAAUUUUGAUGUCGAAGUUGCAUUCUGCGCAGCAAAAGACAGCGUCAAUGCUCUUCACAAUGCGUCAGUGAGCGUUCCUUCCUGAUACGGGAAGAAGUGGAUGUGCAGGGUGAACAGGGUGUUGCAUAACUGAGGGCAUUUCAGCACAUGAUUUAUGGAGCAGGAAAGAGCAGCACUGCUCCAGCGGCAGCGGAUGAUUGUGAAUUGGAGAAAGAAGAGGCAAUCCAGACAAACAUAGACCUCACCUAGUAUGCUUUACACUCUGAUUCUGGUUUCAAGCUUCACGUGGAGGGCACCAACUAGAUGCUGAUGGGCGAAAUGGCAAAGAAACUGGGCCUUUCUUGCCCUCCAGGACUUGUGAACGUAGACUUAUAGCCGCACAAUCCAUGUCAAGGCUGAAAUUGCAUUCGCUGCCGCGGGAAACUAUAUGGCAGGCAUAACGUUGGAGGUCUGCCAAUUGAUCGAAAGGAAGAGAGAUGGUGAUCCCGGCGUUGCAUCUCUAGGGGGAGAUUCAAUAAUUAUAAAGCUGAGUUGAAAACAAAAUAAAGAGGUGCUCUUCUUAGUAAUUACAAGUAAGCCUGUCUAAAUGAUGGAAUGAACUAUAUUUGGAUGAAAUAAAAAUUAUGAUGCAUGCACAUUUUUCAUCUAUGGUGAUCAUCUUCCUUUCACUAGUUUGUACGCUUCUUUUGCUGGUACUUUGAAUUUAUUAUACUAAUCAAAGUAACGAUUGGUCCGACCUUGAUUUUGAACCGGGUCAAAUCCUUUUUUUGAGGUAUAAAAGGAAGACAGAAUGCUCUCUUUUUUAUCAUAUUUAUUGUCUCAUGCUAAGGUGUUUGCGUGUAUAUAAAAACCUCUUUUCAAUAACCACUGGGAUUUGCCCCAGUGGCCACCCUUCCAAUAUGGAAGGGGGAGGUGAGAGGUUCAAAUCCCCACUCUCAGGGGGGGAUGGGGUGGGGACGCAUAAGUUUCAAAAGUGGGUUUCGACUUCCACGCCCUGCACGAGGCAGAGCAAGAGUCUAAAAGUAAGUGUAAAGUAGGAAUAGAAUAGGACUGAUAACAAAAAAAAAAAAACGUGCAGGGCAAGAGUCUAAGAGUAAGUGUAGAGUAGGAAUAGAAUAUGACUGACAAAAAAAAAAAAAAAACUACUUUUCAAUCUCCUUUAAUGACUCUCUCUCUCUCUCUCUCUCUCUCUCUCUAAGAGAGUUUCCAAUGGGUCUCAGGGGAAGCUUCGGUGUUAACAUUGCAAUGGUUGGACUAUGCGGUGUUACAUGAUGAUCCAAUGGCCACUCAUGGGCAGAAGUGGGGCUUUCAAGAAAGUUGGAAAUUCUUUUUUAAAAAGAAAAAUCAAGGUAGAAUUGCGAUUAAAAUUAAAAUUUGAGAUUUUUCUAGGAGAUUAGCCCAUAAAAGCCCAUACUUCCAUCAACAAUUCAAGGUGUCUCAAACCGAAGAAAAUGCAAUUUUUAGUUAAGAUGGAAACCAUUUUUAGCAAUAUUUCACCAAGAGAAAAUGCUUGCUGCUUCAAAAGUACUUUAAUAGGAUUUUGUAUAUCCAACAAUUAUAGAAAUAGGUGAGUUUGUGCAUAAAACAUGGGGACACGAGAAUGCUCAUGUUGUGAUAUAUUAUUUGCACAAUAAAUGGAUAAUUAGAAAAAAGAGAGGAGCGGCUAUUAUUACAAUAUGAAAUUGGUAAGAUUAUAAUGAUAUAGAAAAACAAUGAUGAUAUAUUGAUGUAUGUUUUCAUUUUGUUGAUUUUGUGAAUAAGAUUUCUCCUUUAUCUAUUGUCACACCCCAAAUCUAUAAAAUAAGGAAAAUGACACCACCAUGCUCUUAUUCAAAGGAUGUAGCAUCAAAUUAUCAAAAUAUAUAUUCAUCUAUAUACUUGAUAAAGAGUGAGUUGGUUACAAACUCAAGAAUUCUAAAAUUCAUUAAAAAUAAAAGUAUGACUCAAUCUCCAAACUCAAUUAAACCCCACAAAUAUCAUCCCAGACAGAUAUAAGUACCUAAACUCACAUCCAAAUCUAACUGUAACUAAUUUCCCGCCGAUAAUGCUCAUGUCCUACUUUAGCUUACCAGAAAAAGAUUUGGAAUGAAUAAUAUGAGCAAUCACAGUUUAGUGACUAAUCCAAAUCUCUCCUAAAUAGAUCAAGAAUUUGCUAUGAUAAAUCAAUACUAGAGAUUGAUUUAUCCAAAUCCAAUAUAUUAUGUACAAUAAAAUCAAAAUAUGAAUAAUGUCACUUUAACGCAACUUUAUACUAAUAAAUUAUAUACCAAAAGGGUAAUAAAUGCUCAAUCUAAUUUUAUGCAACAAAUAUGUUUCAAAUAUUACUUUUUCAUUUAAAAAAAAUCAUUUUGUGCAAUGUUCUUCACAACUUAUAAUAUAUCAAAUCCCUAUCACUUUCAAGACAUGAGCUUAUAAUUUUUUAGAGGAUAACAACCACCCCUAAAUAAAAUGCAAAUCGAAAGUUACGCCACUCGAAGAGUCUCAAAGUCCUAUCAAAGUUGAUUUAAAUGUCAAACUUACAUGUCAACUAACCUCGACUACAACUUGAGUAGGCAAUACCAUAUUCUUGAGUAAAAUCCUCCACUAGACAAAAGAUCUUUGAACAAUUACAUUGCAAAUAGAGUAGACCUCAUCUUAAAAUUUCAAUUCAAGCGAGCUUACUUUCAAAAGAAAACUCUUUCGAAUUAAUUAUAAAGCCAAAAGAUGGUCGGAGAAGGGUGAAAUUCAUUGCCAAACAUAGUAAUUCGAAAACUGUUUUUAGCAAUGCGCAAAAUUUUAAAAAUUCAUCCAAAUCAAAUCAUUAACCUACAUUAACUUUUUUAAAGUCCUGUUAUGCAAUACCCAAAAAUUUCUUUACAACAUAAUUUCACAGCUUAAAAAUCUAUAGAAUAGACCUGGCAACAUAGAAUUCAUACAAAACCUAAUUUACGAUUUAGUUACGAAAACUCCUUCAAUUAGAUAAAUAAAAGUUUCGAAUCCUUACCGAAAUAGAAUUAAUCCGGUGCAUGUAGCAAGAGCCCCCUUUUGUCUCCUCUGUCUUUUUGUCGGUUUCUCUGGACUCAGCUUUCCUCAAUUUCUUUUUUUUUUCCGUGUUCUUCUUGGCCAUACUCUGUUUUCAUUUUAUUUUAUUUUUAUCUCUUUUUGCUCCAGUAAUUCCCUUACCCCGGCAUCAACUGAAGCAGGACCAAAGAAAGGGCUUUAACGAGACACUUGGGCUUGAGCUCACUGUUUUGCUCUUAUUUAUCAUUUUUUGCCGGAGGUGGUGGUGUAGGGCUGGCCGUAGCCGUAGUUGGGCGGCGCGUGGGGGUAGCCUGACAUUUUUCCGGGAGGAGCGACGCGCGAGGAUAUAUUUUCUUCCGGUCAAACUUCUAUUUUUUUUUUUUUUCUGGGAGGGGGCAAAAAGAGGCGAAGCUUUUCCGGGGUUCGCUUUGGGGGAGGGCUUGACGCGUAUAAAUUAGACGAGCGACACCGCCUCGCGUUGCGAAUUGGGGGUUCGGAUAGGAGGUAAUUUACGAGAUUGCCAUUAUUAUCCGGGGAACCGUGCCGAAUUUCGAAACGGAAAUUUAGGGUGCGUUUGUUUGCGUUUCUGUUUAAAAAUUGUUCCAGGAAACAGAAAUAGAAAAAAGUGUUUCUGUUCCUGGGAACAAUUUCUGAACAAAAAAACGCGUUUGGUAACUGUAUAAAAUUUCUGUUUCUGGAAUAGAAAAAGAACAGAAACACGUUUGGUAACUGUAAAAAAAUUUUGUUUGCGUUUCUGUUUAAAAAUUGUUCCAGGAAACAGAAAUAGAAAAAAGUGUUUAUGUUCCUGGGAACAAUUUCUGAACAAAAAAACGCGUGUGGUAACUGUAUAAAAUUUCUGUUUCUGGAAUAGAAAAAGAACAGAAACACGUUUGGUAACUGUAAAAAAAUUCUGUUUCUAGAAUAGAAAAAGAACAGAAACACGUUUGGUUAUGUACAAAAUUUAUGUUCCAAUUUUUUUUCAAUUGUUUUUUUUUUAAUAAAAUGUGAACUUGGUAUUGAAUUAUCAUUCUCAUGAAAUGCUUAUCAAUUUAAUUUUGUUCAUAUUAAGUGAAAACAAACAUUCUAAACUUAAUCAUAUUUGCUUAGUCGGAAUAAAUUUUUUUAAGUUCAUACCAAAAUUUUCCCAUUUGUUUUUUUUUUAAAAUAAAGUGUAAACUUGACUUUGAAUUCUCAUUAUCAUAAAAUGCUCAUCAAUUUAAUUUUGUUCAUGGUUAGUAAAGUCAAACAUUUUGAACAUGGUUAUAAGUGCAUACUCUGAAGAAAAUUUUAUAAAUAAACUUUGUUCCAAAUUUUUCUCACGUGCCUUUUUUUUUCAAUAAAGUGUAAACUUGGUAUUGCAUUAUCACUCUAAUGAAAUGCUCAUCAAUUUAAUUUUGUUCAUGGUUGGUGAAGACAAACAUUUUGAACAUGAUCAUGUGCAUACUUGGAACAAAAUUUCAUAAGUAAAAAUCCCAUAAUAAGAGCUACCUAAAAGAAGAAUACUUCAUAGAUCUCUACGUAGACCCUUUCAUACAUAACAUCACAAUAAUGAAGUAAUAUAGUUCAUUGUUCAACUUCAUCAUAUUAGAUUUGAUAAGUGAAUACUUAAAAACAAAAUUACAAAAGUCGGAAACACAAAGUCAUGAAAUUUAGGCAUAUUAUGAUCCAUCGCCAUUUUAUUUGCAAUCCUUGUCCUAAGCAUGUUUAUUCCAGGUGCAUCAUGCAAUGUAUCAUCUGCAACCUCCAAUUCUAUAGGUCCGCAUGGAACUUUGGAUGGAUCCACCGAAGUUCUCAAAGCAUCAGCGUUCACUUGAGAAUGAAUCAACCAAUUGAGGAUGUACCUUAAGUAAAGAAAAAUUCAAGACAAUAAGCAAUAAGGCAACAACGAAACAGCACCCUCCAUUCUCGCAAAUCCAUAACUUAAAGAGAAAAAAUCGAAGCAUUAUAGCCAUAAGAUAUGAAGGAUCUCGCAUAAUGUAUAAUCCCCAACAUUCCUACAAAAAAAAGUCAAACAACGUUGUUCUUAUAGAUUCACAAAGAAUGUACUAAAUGAACAAGUCAACAACGUUGUUCUUCUCACGUGCCUUUUUUUUUCUGUUCUUUUCUUUUCUUUCACUUUUAUUUUUCUCCUCCCCUUUAGUCUACCCCUCUACACGUUCUCUUCUUCGGGCGUCAUCUUCUUCCUUUUGUCUUUCUCACUUUUAACACCCAUUUUUUCCUUUUUCUUCCUCGACUUCCGAUUGGAUCAAAAUGUGGCUGAGUCGCAAGGGUUCAUAGAGACACACAGAAAAUACUAAUAUUAGACCAAAUCCAAGCAAUACGGGACAAAACGCAAAUUGAGAAGCUUUAACACAAAGGCAGAAAAAUAAAUAACAAUAACUUCGACAUUGAUUCACAUCACUUUGAUAUAUUCAGCCACAAAUCCAUAGAUCUACAUGAUGUCAUAGAGAUUGAGACAUGAUGUCAUAGAGAUUGAGAUUAAAGAAACAAUAAUGUAUAGAACUCUGAGAGUGAUAAAAGGCUAUUUUGUCAUGCCCGAUGUUGUCAAUUGACAGUCCACACACAAUGAAAAGUGUAGCAGCAGUAAGCAGACGCUCGCUUGGCAACAAUAACUUCUAUGCUCGCUGUUGCGAGCGCUCGAGAGAGCAGAGCAGGGCUCGUUGCUCUGCUCGCUUGAUUCAGGCAUUUGCAUGAUUCUUGCUAACUACUUUGAUUGACAUUAAUAGAUCAAUAAAUGGAGAAAGACUAGGAAAAUACCCACUGGAAGAUAUUGGCCUAGAUAGGGCAUCGUUUUUUUUGCCACAGAACAACAGGAUCGCGGGACAAAGAUCAACAGAACAGCAACUCGUCAUGGUGUCGAGGAACGCCAGCAAAGGCCAGAUAUUUGCCCCGUUUCGUGCCCUUUCCCCCAUCACCAGUGCCAGCACCAUUGGGCACGGCAGAAGAGCCGCCGAUGGUUCCAGUUCCGACACACAGCGGGCGGCUCGCUGGAGCCUGAGCAGCAGCGACGCUCGCUGCUCUGCUCGCUCGAGCCGAGCCUGAGCAGCAGCGACGCUCGCUGCUCUGCUCGCUCGAGCCUGAGCAGCAACGACGCUCGCUGCUCGAGCAGCAACGAUGCUCAAUGCUUUGCUCGCUCGCCCAGAUCUCGAGCGAGCAGAUGAGCUGCUGUCGCAAAUCUGGGUGAGCAACGCUCGCCCAAAUCUGCGAGACUCGCUCAAGCAAGCGGCUCGCAGAUCUGGGCAAGCGCUGGCUCGAGCGAGCCCUAACACUCGAGCUCUCGUCGAAGUGAAGACAAUCAGUGAAGGAGGAGCAGUGACCACGUUUACCUGGUGAAGGAGCAGCGGCUGUCGAGACAGAGGCCGCUGUUGGCGCCGGAGAAGACGAUGGAAUUCUCUGCUCGCAGGAGGAGACGCUCGUUGCAGGAGGAGACGCUCGUCGCAGGUCGCAGGAGGAGAAGCUCGUCGCGGGGGGGAGAGAGGCGUUGUUUGAGCACUAUCCAAGAAAUAAAAAAGGAACACAAUUUUGUUCCUUUUUUGUUUCUGAUUUGUGUUUCAGAAACAAGAAACACAAAAUUUGGCUGCGUUUGGUUGUAUUUCUUUUUUUUUGUUUUUAAACACUUUUUCUGUUUUUUGGUUCUUUUAUUCCCAGGAACAAAAAAGAAAUAGAAACAAGAAACACAAAUUUUGUGUUUCUUGUUUCUGAAACACUUUUGAGAAACACUUAUUUUUUUUUCUUUUUUCUCUUAUUUUCUUGUUCUUUUUUCUUUUGGCCGGACGCCGGCCUCGGUCAUGGUCGAGGACCGGCCGACGAGGGCCGGCGGCCUCGANNNNNNNNNNNNNNNNNNNNNNNNNNNNNNNNNNNNNNNNNNNNNNNNNNNNNNNNNNNNNNNNNNNNNNNNNNNNNNNNNNNNNNNNNNNNNNNNNNNNUUGAAAGAUAGAAAAUAUAUUUUCAAAUUUAGAAGGUUUUUAUUAUUGAUGAAAAAUGCAUUUUCUAUCGGUUCAUUUUGUGAAACGAAUAUUGAAAAAUGCGAGAAUUUUGUUUCCGAAAGUUUUUCUUCGUGAAACGAAGGAAGCUUGGCAAUUUGGACACAUCAAGAAAAAAAGCGACCUUCCUUUGAUUAUUCGUUUUAUUCCUAAGUACGGUCUACUUUUUGAGUUCCUAUUCUGUCGAAACAAGACCGUCAUUUUCCAGAGGAAAAUCAGCCAAUCACCGACCGUCCUUGGCACGGGCCUGGGUGUGGUGGGGGGCGGGGAUCCAGCGGUUCCCCACGUGCGGGCCCUACCAGGAGUUCCCGCGAGUCGUGGGGGCCACGUGCGGAUUCCGCACCGUUUUUUCUUUUUGAAUUUUGGGAACCUCGAAAAACGGAUAAAAGGAGUGCAGGCCCACUUCGCAAAAUCAAUUUCGGAAAAGACGUGACGGGUGUUUUUUUUUAAAAAAAAAAUACAUUCGUUUAUCAAAUUAGAGUUUCAUCGAGAAAGAAAAGAAAAAGAGAGCAGAAAUUAGAGAAUGCCUAGUGCCAACUCCCGCACACCGACAGAGCACCGGCCAAAAGAAGAAAAAAAAUAUGAAAAGGAAAAAAAGGAAAAAUAAGAGAAAAAUAGAAAAAAUAAAAGAAAUAAAAAAAAUUAUCCAAAAUUACCAAACAUGUUUCUGUUUAUUUUUUAUUCCCGGAACAAGUUUACCAAACGCGUUGUUUUGUUCAAAAAUUGUUCCCCGGAACAGAAACACUUUUUUUUAUUUCUGUUCCCUAGAACAAUUUUUAAACAGAAACGCAAACAAACGCACCCUUUGUGUUUCUUGUUUCUGUUUCUUUUUUGUUCCUGGGAACAAAAGAACAAAAUAACAGAAAAAGUGUUUAAAAACAAAAAAAAGAAAUACAAACAAACGCAGCCUUACUAGUAAAGGCGACGACCUUUUCGAUUUUCGCAGGCAGUGGGCGAGUUCAAAUUUGACAGGCCUCUUUGCCCCCUCUGAUAACGUCAAAAUCGUCGUCCGACCGACAUGUGGAAAUUCAUUUAAAAAAAAAAAAAGAUAAGUGCUUCGACAUCGACUAAGAAUAUGCCUCGUAAGCUUCGUAGGCCUUAUGUUACAAGUGUUAAGUAAGGAUGAAGGGUUCCAAAUUCCUUAUAAAUUUUGUCUAAAUUCUAAAACCUACUUUUGGGUAUAAAUUUUUAAUUUUUUGGAACCUAAAACUUCAAUUCUAGAAUUCAAUGGAAUUUCGAUCUUGAGGUCUCUACAAUAAAGUGGCCAAAACUGAAUCAAUUUAGUUGCCCAUUGAUGGGUAAGAAAGUCUCUUUUUCUAACACAAGAAAAAAUAGAUGGCAAAGUUCAAAGGCCCUUCCUCCUCUCCAGUGGUGGGGUGAAUGCAGGGACCUUGGCGGACCCCCCGUGGGGAAGGUAUCUUUUUCCAGCCCCUUACCUCUUAGAAUAUUCCUGGCUUAUGUGACGCCAAAUCACUUAUGAAAGUACCAGGAAACAGGAUCGCUUUUGCUUUCUUGUCCUUUGGCUCGCUACUAAGAUGUUUCAGUUCAAUGUACCUAUCUUCACCACAACCGGCGCCAUGGACUUUAGCUCCAUCGUCUCUAUCCUUGCGGCGCACUCCCGUGUAUGGCAUGGUGGAAGAGCGCAGCCACAUCCGCCGCGCCCGGGCGUGGAUCUGCGUUUAUCGCUAGAAGUCUAAGCACUGUAGUUGUUCGACUGACUGUUCCCUGCUUGGAAGAACUAAUUUUAAUCGUAUUUGACUUCUUUAAAAUUAAAUGAGUAGUACUUAAGGAACCUAAGCUAGUUUUGUAUAAGAUGCACUAGGGGCUUUCUUCUCUUUAUCUGAAGCCAAACCCAUAAGGAAUCCCCAAGCCUUUGGCGUCAAAUUAUCUCCCGAUCGUAAGAAAGGAGAGCAGGGAACAAGUAAAAACCAUCUAUGUAUCUUUCCUAUUCCUAGCCAUGAAUGGUGAUGCACCUUGUAGUGACUAGAUCUGUUUAAGAUAAGCUAAGUCCUCAAAAGAAAUUGGGAUCAAUUGUUAUUGAAGAGAUUGAAGAUGACCUCAACAACAGUUACGACGAGUAGAAUGGUCUUUUCUAGUAGGCAUAUAGGGGGUAGUAAUUGUUCUUGAGGUUAUAGCUUCUGACCUCUUUGAAAGCAUUGCUGAAUGUUGCAGAUUUCCUUCUUUUUUUCUGGUGAAUCUCUUUGUAGCUUUCUGUUUGGCCAGUGGAUGGAUUUGUGUCAUUUUACAUUCUUUGCUGGUGUGCUAUGGUUUUGCUCAUUUAUCCAUAUGAACUGGGAUAAAUUGAUGCCUUGGAGACACAAGCACAGCUAAAAUUUCAAAAGCUUUGAUCUAAUACUAACAUCAUUGAGUGAUCCAAAUCAAAAUGAAAGAUGCCAGCUUUUUCCAUCUCUCUCGCAUAUACACCAUUACUGCUUACUAGCUAUUCCGAUGAUAAUAUAAUUGUAGUUUGUCAUUGCAGAAUGUGGGAGUGGUUACAUCAUAUAAUCUUUAUUUUACCUCGAGAGGUGACAACUAGAUCUUUGCUGUGGCAACUGCGUGAACUUGCAAUUUAAGAUUACGCCAUCUCGCUGACUCAUUGACAUUCAAGUUGCUGGGGCCAAGGUGAGAAAAGAAUGCUGAAAUGUAGAUAUUUUUCAGGAGGCUUUAUUUCAAGAUAACUGAAUUUUGGUUGACUACAGAUGUUAGAACCGAAAUUUUCCCACCCUGCAUGUGCUAAGAAUUUACAGUUCAUGUACGCAAAGCUAGAUAGAUAGUAUGCAGAUGCUUGAGACAAGUCUGUACAAACUACACACAUUUGAUGUUCGUAUCUGAGGAAAUAAUUAGACCAGCAAGCUUCUUGACAAGUUGAUUCAUAAUCAAAUCAUGCAUUCCAACGUUAGUACUUUGAAAUAUGACAGAGCACACAAGUCUUGCACUUCAAAAAUAUGAUAUUUAUCUGCUUUUUCUGCAGAGAACAAUGAUCUUGGAUGUUGACUGUAGCAGUGAGUCCAAUUGACUUGCAUAAGAACGUGACUUGUCAAUCAAAAAGGGUAGGUUCUCCUGACUCCCGAAUUUUUUUUCUUCUUGGUAAGUGCCUCCCCAACACUACAACUGCAUGCACUUCAAUUGCAGCUUUUAGAGACCAGCAUUGCAAGUCUUUUCUUGAGUACCUCCAAUUAUGUGCUCGUUCUUUCUGCUUUUUCCUGUAGAGUUGCAAUUUUUUUCAUCUAAUUCAGCUAUAGCAAGAUUUUCGGGUACUUCCACUAUUCCAGCAACCUGUAUUAAAAAAUGUUUGGUAUAAGCGCAAUUUCUGUUGAUUAUUAAAAAAAAAGUUUGGUAUUGUGGAGGAUGAGUCCAUACAUAUGACGUUCAAAAAGGAAUAUGGCUAUUUACCACAUUAUAUGGCAGCAUCUUGUAUCCAUUUGUUGGCUAAAGUCUGUUUAGUAAGAGAGCCCUUGUGUGAUGGAAGUGCAUCGUGGGUCAAACACAUUUGAUAUGAGUAAUCAAUGGGCAAGGGAAUUCAUUGGAGUCCUAAGCACCUAGAUUUGGGUCCCUUAUCAUCUUGCGAAGGUCAUAUUAGUACUCACCGGUAUCAUCUUUGAUGGACAAAGUGUAAAAUAUGAGUUGAAGGAAGUUGAUGACAAUCUUUUACUGCAGUGGAGGUUAAUCUGUGAUGAUUAAGAUUGCACUGCACACUACCGUAAAAGUCAAACCUGCAAAAUUUACCACAGAUGCUCCAUAGGAAGCAUGGUUUGGUAGAACUAAUAUAAGCAUGGUUCUGUCCCCUCUGCAUUCCACAGGCAAGGGUGAGUCCCAUGCAUCAGUUUGUGGAUCGCGCUUUCACACACUAAUCCCUACAGAUUCCUGUGGGAGGACCAAAUCCUAUUGAUUUGAAUUUUCAGCAGGUUCCUUUAUCAUUUGAUAUGAACUUGGAAGUUAAUCUUCUUCUCAGGUUUAUAAAAGCCUGAAUGCUUAUUGUGGAAAACAAUUACCAGGAGAGUUAUCAUUAUCCUAAGUCAAAUAAUGAAGCUAAGUACAUGAUCUACAGAAGAACUUAAGACUGCAGGACUGUCAAAUGCUUCUGCUCAUUCAAUAGCAGAUACUUAAAAAUUGUAACCUUUAACUGGAGUGUGAAUGUUACUGAAGAGACCAAAAAUACUUUGACAAUCAUUACAACGAGGAGGUUGGGGAGAUGUUUCAUUUUUUGUUUCAAGGUUACUGAAGGUCCUACUAGACCAAAAGAUUUGGAAGUUUUUUUCUUUACUGAAAAGAGAAAAAGAGGCAAGUUCAUGAAAAAUGGUGCUUUUACUAGCAUUUUUAGAUAUUGACUCUUUACUAACACAUUGGCACGUGUCAAAUGUUGUCAUAUGGUCGUUUCUAGUUGCCAAAAUAGAGUUAUGAACUAGGAUAAAUAAGAUGCCUUGGAGACGCGAGCACAGCUGCAAUAUAGAAGUUUUGUUCUAUCGUGACAGAGUUAUCCAUAUCAAAAUAAAAAAUGUCAGUUUUUUCAUCUCUGUCCCAUAUGCACGGGUACCGCUUCUUAGCUAUUCUGAUGAUAAUUUUGUUUGAGUUUGUCAUUGCAGGACGACAAGAGUGGUUAUGUCAUAUAGUCAGCACUAUCUCUCAGAGGUGACAACUAGAUCUUUGUUGCUGCAAAUGUGUCAACUUGCUUUGGCAAAUAAUAUUUAUAAAGGCAGCGACUUCUUUUGUGACAUAUCCUGUUUGUAUCUGGAAGCUCUUGGAUCUGGGUGAUGCAAUCUAAGACUAUGUUGUCUCACAGGCUGAUUGGUUUUCGUGGGGACCUAGAAUUGUGGCUUCAGUCAGAGAUUCAAGGUGCCAGGGCCAAGGUGAGAAAAGAAUGCUGAAAUAUGGAUUUCUUUUUUGGGAGGCUUUAGUUCAAUAUAACCGACUUUUGGUAGACUGCAGAUGUUAGAACUGAACUUUUCCCAUCGUCAUGUGCUGGAAGAGAAUUUUUGCAGUUCAUGAAUGCAAAGCCAUAUAGAUAGUAUGCAAAAGCUUGAGACUAGUCUGUGCAUACUACUUACAUCUGAUAUUCUUUUUUUUUGAGGAAAUAAUAAGACCCACAAGCUUCCUGACAAGUUGAUUCAUAAUCAAAUUAUGCAUCUUUUUGUUAGCACUCCAACUCUUAACAUAGACCAAACAAGUCUUACACUCAAAAAUAUGAUAUCUAUGUGCUUUUGCUGCAGAGAAUAACAAUCUCAGAUGUCGAGUGUCAGCAGUGAUUCUGUGUAACUACAUGCGCUUUGGAUGCAUCUUUUUGAGAUCAGCAUUGCUCAUCUUGUUUUUAGUACCCCCAGUCGUGUGCUCGCUCUGUCCUCUUUUUCCUGCAGAGUUGCAAUUGUUUCACCUAUUUCAGCCAUAGCAGGGUCUUCAGGUACUUCCACUAUUCCAGCAACCUGUAUUUGGUACUAGCAAGUUUUCUGUUAACUAUUACUUAUUGUGGAGGAUGAGUCUAUAUAUGUGGUGUUAAAAAGGAACUAAGCUAUUAAAUGGCACUGGCGGCAUCUUAUAUCCAUUAGAUGGCUAGAGUCUGUUUAGUAAGAGAGCACUUCUGGGAUGAAAAUGCACUGUGAGUAAAACACGUUUGAUAUGAGUAUUCAAUGGGCAAGGGCAAACAUUGCAGUUGUAAGCACCCAGAUUCAGGUCCCUUAACUUCUCGCAAAGGUCACAAUAGUACUCACCGGUAUCAUCUUCGAUGAACGAAGCGUAAAGUGUGAGUUAAUGGAAGUUAAUGGGAAUCUUUUACGUAGUGCUAGGCAAUCUGUGAUGAUUAUAUUGCAAUGCACACAACUGUAAAAGUCGAACUUGCAAAAUUUACUGCAGCAGACACUGCAUAGGAAGCACAGUUCGGUAGAUCUGAAUUAAGAAAGAGUACAUGGUCGUGGAGGUGAUGUUUCAAAGUGGGCCUCUCAAAAGUGCAUGGAAUCUUGAAGUUGUAGUAACUUUCCAUGCAGUGAAAGAGCGUCGACAAUCUUUACAACAUAUGUCAGCAAUGCUCCUUCCUGAUAUGAGAAGAAAAAGGAUGCGUGGAGCAAACAGGUUGUUUCAUAACAGAGGGCAAUUCAGCUCAUGAAUUAUGGAGCUGAAAAGAGCUGCUCUGCUCCAGCCAGCGAUAGGCUGAACAUUUGACGCAUUCAUCGCAGUCUUGCACAGACCAUCCUUCAUAUGACAAUGCCAGCAGCAGAGGAUGAUUGUGAGAGAAGAGGCAAUAAAGACAAGCAUAGACCUCACCUGGUAUGUUCUCUUCGCAAGCUUUGCACCAGAUUCUUCUCUUGAGCUUUGUGUGUAAGACCAGUCGAUGCUGAUUGUUGAAAUGGUUAAAAACCGAGUCCUUAUUGGCUCCAGAUCUUGUGAACGUAGCCGUGCAGUCCAUGUCGCGGCUGAAUCUGCAUUCGCUGCUGUAGGAAACCAUGGUAAGCAUUACAUUUAGCUCCUCCAAUUGAUCGAAAGCAAGAGAGAGAGAGGGUGAUCAUGGAGAGACAGGUGUUGCAUCUCUGUGGGGGGAUUCGGCGCAGCUUUUGUGGAAAAAGAAGAUGCACGCAUGGCCUCAAUAGACCUCCCCCAAGAUCGCUUGCUCGCAGGUUUUGCAUUUAUUUCUACUUUUCAUCCUGAGAUGAUGGGAUGUGAGCGGCUCUUGAGCAUAUAUUGGAUGGCCAUAUUCUGAGAAUCUUCAUCGAGCCUUAGUUGUGACUAGCCAGACGAAGCUAUAUCGGGCUGUGCAAUAAUAAUCGACCCAUUCGAAUGGCAAGAGAAGGUUUUCAUAUAUAAAAGGCGAAAUAUUCAUGGAAUAUAUAUAUAUAAUAUCUAUAUCACUAGACCGGUGAGGUCGUGUACUUCAUGGUGUCGUGAUCAACUUUUGCUAGGAAAAUAAAAUGAUAUUGUUUAUGUAUGCGCGUUACGGUUGGGUGAAUCAACCCAGCGACAUAGAUGGAUGAAAAGCAUCUCUGAAAGACGACACGUAAGCGGUGACGACUUUAUGCCCUUCUCAUUCCUCCCUUCUUUUACUCAUUUCUCAUCCCCCGUUUGUCCCUUUCACGUGGCCUCUCCCCAUUUCUCUCUCCUCUCUAAAAGUUUCCACAAAUAUUCCUCCUCAAUUCCUCGUUCUUUCUUUGUCACGAAAGUUGACAUUUAUGAUGCAAUUUGGACGAAAUAAAGAUUAUGAUGCAUAGGCAUUUUUCAUCUGUGGCGAUCAUCUUCAUUUCACUAGUUUGUAUGAUUUUUUUGCUAAAAUUCGAAUUUAUUAUGGUCCGACAAACCGCAUAGGGUUGGAUCAUGCGGCGUCACAUGAUGAUCCUAUGUCCCCGGGGGCACAUAUGAGAUCUCAAUUGAAUUUGGAGAUUUUUGUUUUUUAACAAAAGAAAAAAUUGAAGUAAAAUUGAGAUUAGAAUUAGAGUUGUGCAUCUUUUUAGGAAAUUAGCCCAUAAUGAAUCUUCCAGGUUAAUUGCGCACACUGCUGAAACACAGGAACAAAUAAAUAGGAAAGUUUAAAGGCGUUUCCCCGCUGUCCACCCCGGUGGUGGGGUGAACGCAGGGACAUGAUUGAUGUUUCUGCUUCUUUUAUUCGAGGUGACAUUUGCACCUAUUCAUGCUGUGAAUAUUAAUGAUGUCCAAAUUUCACUUCGAAUAAAAGAAGCAGAAGCGAAGCAUCAAUGAUGUCCCUGCCUGCGCCCAACACGGCGCCAUGGAUCUUACCCCAUCGACGAGGAUCCCAUCGUCUCUAUCCUCGUCGAUUUCAUCCUAGUGAGAUAUAGGGGAAGUCGACUUCGCCCUUUGAAACCCACCCCGUCGCCAUCGGCGUUGCCAUCUGCAGCCUGCUCCUGCGUUUCUUGUUGCUGCGUCUCGCUGAUCGGGCACCACCGUCUAGCGGCCGUGCUCCUUCUCAGGAUGCAGCAUGGCACCUCUUCAUCGACUUCGUCGGUUCGAUAUUGGUGGCUUCGUUCGCGUGGUUGCUGCUCCAUGACUCCUCCCACUCCGUCCCCUGGUUGUUCGUGCUGCUCCUGCUGCUUUCCGUGAGUCUGUUGUGCGGCCUCAUGCAAAAACUUUGUCUGUGGUUUUACGACAAAAUCCUCAUGAUGAUCAUCCGUGCCGUGCAGCGUGGUCUCCCGGCCGUGGAUCAGCGUUUAAGGCCGCAUCUCUAAGCUAGUUUUGUAUAAGAUGCACUCGGGCCUUUCUUCCGUUUAUAUGAAAACAUAAGGAGUCCCCAAGCCUUCGGAAAAAUCAAAUUAUCUCCCAACCAUAAGAAAGGAGAGCAGGGGACAAGUACAAACCACCUAUGAACGGUGAUGGACCUUGUAGCGACUAGAUCUGAUUAAGAUAGGCUCAGUCCUCAAAAGAAAUUGGGAUCUACUGUUAUUGAAGAGAUAGAAGAUAACCUCAGCAAUCGUUUUGACGAGUAGGUCUACUCUAGUAGCCAGGUAAGAGAUAGUAAUUGUUCUUGAGGUUAAAGCUUCUGACCUCUUUGAAAAUGUUGUUGAGUGUUGCAGAUUUUCCUUCUUCUUCUGGUGAAUCUCUUCGUAGCUUUCUGUUUGGCCAGUGGAUGGAUACGUGUCAUUUUAUAUUCUUUGCUGGUGUACUAUGGUUUUGCUCAUUUUUCCAUAUGAACUGGGAUAAAUUGAUGCCUUGGAGAGGCGAGCACAACUACAAUUUCAAAAGCUUUGAUCUAAUGCUAACAUCAACAAGUGAUCCAAAUAAAAAUGAAAGAUGUCAGCUCUUUCAUUUCUGUCCCAUAUACACCAUUACUGCUUAAUAGCUAUUCUGAUGAUAACAUAGUUGUAGUUUGUCAUUGCAGAAUGUGGGAGUCAUUACAUCAUAUAGUCUUCAUUUGACCUCUGAGAGGUGACAACUAGAUCUUUGCUGUGGCACAAGCAUUAACUUGCAAUCUAAGACUACAUUGUCUUGCUGGCUGAUUGACAUUCAAGUUGCCAGGGCCAAGGUGAGAAAAGAAUGCUGAAAUGUUGAUUUUUUUUUCUGUAGGCUUUAUUUCAAGAUUACUAAAUUUUGGCAGACUGUAGAUGUUAAAACCAAACUUUUCCCAUCUUCAUGUGCUAUAGAAUUUACAGUUUAUGUAUGCAAAGCUAGAUAGAUAGUAUGCAGACGCUCGAGACAAUUCUGUACAAACUACACAUCUCUAAUGUUCGUAUCUGUGGAAAUAAUUAGACUGGCAAGCUACCUGACAAGUUGAUUCAUCAUCAAAUUAUGCAGCCCAAUGUUAAUACUCCGAUUCAUAAAAUGGAGCACACAAGUCUUGCACUUCAAAAAUAUGAUAUUUAUCUGCUUUUACUGCAGAGAACAACAAUCUUGGAUGUUGACUCUAGCAGUGAGUCCAAUUGACUUGCAUAAGAAUGCAAGUUGAAAAAUCAAACAGAAAGGUAGGUUCCCCUGACUCCCAUAUUCUUUUCAUCUUGUUAAGUGCCUUUCGAACUCUGCAACUGCAUGUAAUUUGCUUGUGGCUUUUGGAAACCAGCAUCGAACAUCUUUUCUUGAGUACCUCCAAGUAUGUGCCCACUUUUUUCUGCAGAAUUUUAAUUUUUUUCAUCUAGUUCAGCAAUAGCAGGGUCUUCAGGUACUUGCACUAUUCCAGCAACUUGUAUUAAACACUGUUUGGUAUUGGUGCAUUUUCGGUUGAUUAUUACUUACUGUGGAGAUUAGUCUCUAUAUAUGAUAUUAAAAAGGAACAUGACUAUUCACCACAUUGUACGGCUGCAUCUUGUAUCCAAUUUUGGCUAAAGUCUGUUUAGCAUGAGAGUUCUACUGUGAUACAAGCACACCAUGGUAAAACAUAUUUGAUAUGAGUAAUAGAUGGGCAAGGGCAUUAAUCACAGUCAUAAGCACCCAGAUUCGUGUCUCUUAUCUUAUUACAAAGGGGACAAUAGUACUGCUAACUGGUAUUAUCUUUGAUGAACAAAGCAUAAGUGUGGGUUGAUGAAAGUUAAUGGCAAUCUUUUACUGAAGUGGAAGGCAAUCUGUGAGGAUUAAGAUUGCACUGCGCACAACUGCAAAAACCUAAUUUACAGUUUAACUACGAAAACUCUUUAAUUAGAUAAAUAAAAGUUUCAAAUCCUUACCAAUUGCUAAGAAACACAAAUAAUCUGGCUUGACCAAGCUGCUCAAAAGUGCAUGCAGCGAGAGCCCCCUGUCUCACUUUGUCUUUUUGUCUGUUUCUCCGGACUCUGCUUUCCUCCUCUUUUGGGGUUCUUCUUGGCCAGACUGUUUAUUUUUAUUUUCUCUCUAUCUGCUCUAGUAAUUUCGUUGCAAUGGCAUCAACUGAAGCAAGACCGAAGAAAGUGCUUAAACGAGACACUUGGACUUGGGCUUACUGUUUUGCUCUUAUUUAUUGUUUUUUGCCAGCCCGGUUAUUGAAACUUCAAUAGGAAAGUUAAGUUCAAAGGCGUUCCUCCACUCCAGUGGUGGGUUGAAGGCAGGGAUAGCAGAGUGGCAUAAAAGAUGACAGUCUGGAACUGGGAGGAUCACUGCCACUGUCAGUUUGGAGUUUAGUUGCUACAAGGUGCAUUCCCAUUCAUGGCUAGGUAUUGGCACGAUACAUGGGUAGUUUUUACUUUCUUAUGGUCGGAAGAUAAUUUGAUGAUUCCAAAGGCUUGGGAACUCCUUAUGUUUCAGAUAAAGAGAAGAAAGCCCCAAAUGCCUCUUAUAAAAUACUAGCUAGCUUCCUAAAGUACUUGUCACUUGUUUUAAAGUGGCCAUAUAGAACAAGAGUACUUUUUCCAAGCAGGGAACAGUUGAACAACUAUGGCACUCAGACUUCCAACAUGAAAUGCAGAUACAGGACUGUGCGAGGUGAAUACGGCUGCACUCUUCCACCAUGCCAUACAUGAGACUGCACCGCAUGGAUUAUUAUGAGAAUGAGUUUGCAGUAAAACCAUAGCCAAAGUUUUUGAAUGGGGCCUUGCAACAGACUCAUGGAAAGCAACAGGAGUGGCACGAACCAGGGAACGGAGUGGAAGGAGUCAUGGAACAGCAACCAAGCGAGUGAAGCCACCGAUAUCGAACCGGUGAAGUCAAUGAGGAAGGAUGAUGCUCCAUCACAAGAAGGAGCAUGGCUGCCAGAUAAGCGAAACGCAGCAACAAGAAAUGCAGGAGCAGGCUGCAGAUGGCGACGAUGGUGGUGACGGGGUGAGUUUCAAAGGGUGAAGUCAACUUCCCCUGGUAUUUUAAUUUAAUGAAGUUGACCAGGAUAGAGACAAUGGAGGUUAAAUCCAUGACACCAUGAGGGAUGAAGGCAGGGACAUCAUUUGUGGUUCUUUUUAUGGACAUUGGCCCUCAAAAGAAAUUGGGACCUAUUUGUUAUUGAAGAGAUCAAAGAUAAUCUCAAAAAUUGUUACAAGGAGUAGAAUAAUCGUUUCUAGUAGCCAUAUGAAGCGUAGAAAUUGUUCUUGAGGUUAAAGCUUCUGGCCUCUUUGAAAACAUUACGAGCAUUGCAGGUUUCCUUCUUUUUCUGGUGAAUCUCUUUGUAGCUUUCUGUUUGGCCCUUUGAUCAACAUGUGCCAUUUUACAUUCUUUGCUAGUAUACUAUGGUUUUGCCCAUAUAUCCGUAUGAACUAGGAUACAUAGAUGCCUUGGAGACACGAGCACAGCUGCAAUUUCAAAAGCUCUGUUCUAACAUCACUGAGUGAUCCAAAUCAAAAUGAAAGACAUCUGUUUUUUCAUCUCUGUCCCACAUACCCCAUUACUGCCCAAUGAUGAUAAAGUUUUAGUUUGUCAUUGCAGAAUGAAAGUGGUUAUAUCAUAUAGUCUUCAUUUGACCUCUUGAGAGUUGACAACUAGAUCAUUGUUGUGGCGAAUGCAUCUACUUGCAAUCCAAGACUACUUUGUCACUAAUCCCUGCAGAUUCCUGUAGGAGGACCAAAUCAUAUUGAUUUUAAUUUUCAGCGGGUUUCUUCAUCAUUUGAUAUGAACUUGGAAGUUGAUAUUCUUCUCGGUUUUAUAAAAGCCUGAAUGCUUAUCGUGGAACUUGCAAUCUAAGACAACUAGAUCAUUGUUCUCAGGACUGUCAAAUCCUUCUGCUAAUUCAGUAGCAGAUGCUUAAAACUUGUAACCUUUAACUGGAGUGCAAAUGUUACUGGAGAGACCAAAAUACUUCAACAAUCACUAUGACAAGGAGGAUGGGGAGAUGUUUCAUUGUUUGUUUCGAGGGUAACCAAGAUCCUGGUAGACCAAAAGAUUAAGAAGUUUUUUCUUUACUGAAAAGAGAAAAAGAGGCACGUUAAUGAAAAAUGGCGCUUUUACUAGCAUUUUCAUAUAUUAACUCUUUAUUAUCGCAUUGGCACGUGUCAAAUGUUGUCACAUGGUCGUUUCUAGUUGCCAAAAUAAAGUCGUGAACUAGGAUACCUUGGAGACGCGAGAACGGCUACAAUAUAGAAGCUUUGUUCUUUCAUGAUAGAGUUAUCCAUAUCAAAUGAAAAAUGUCAGUUUUUUCAUCUCUGUCCCAUAUGCACAGGUAUCGCUUACUAGCUAUUCUCAUGAUAAUUUCGUUUGAGUUUGUCAUCGCAGAAUGACGAGUACUUACAUCAUAUAGUCAGCACUUUUCCUCUCAGAGGUGACAACUAGAUCUUUGUUGCUGUGAAUGCGUCAACUUGCUUCAGCUAAUAAUAUUUAUGAAGGCAGCGACUUCUUUUGUGAUGGAUCCUGUAUGAAUCUGAAAGCUCUUGGGUCUGAGUAAUGCAAUCUAAGACUGUUGUCUCACUGGCUGAUUGGUUUUCGUCAGGAGCUAGAAUUGUAGCUUCUGUCAGAGACUCAAGUUGCCAGGGCCAACGUGAGAAAAGAAGGUUGAAAUACAGAUUUCGUUUUCCGGAGGCUUUAGUUUAAUAUAACUGACUUUUGGUAGACUGCAGAUGUUAGAAUUGAACUUUCCCAUCUUCAUGUGCUGGAAAAGAAUUUUUGCAGUUCAUGAAUGCAAAGCCCUGUAGGUAGUUUGCAAAGGCUGAGACUAGUCCAUGCAAACUAUUCACAUCUGACAUUUAUUUUUCAAAGAAAUAAUAAGACCGGCAAGCUUCCUGACAAGUUGAUUCAUAAUCAAAUUAUGCAUCCCUAUGUGAGUAGUCCAACUCAUAACAUUGAGCACACAAGUUUUACACUAAAAAAUAUGACAUUUAUCUGCUUUGCUGCAGAGAAUAACAAUCUCAGAUGUCGAGUGUCUGCAGUGAUCCCUGUAAGUUGAAACAUCAAACAGGAAGGUGGUCUCCCGCCUCCGCAAUUCUUUUCUUAUCGAUAAGUGCCUACCCAACUCUUCAACUACAUGCACUUUGGUUGCAUCUUUUUUAGACCAGCAUUGCACAUCUUUUUUUUUAGUACCCUCAGUUGUGUGCUCGCUCUGUCCUCUUUUUCCUGCAGAAUUGCAAUUGUUUCAUCUAGUUCAGCCACGGCAGGGUCUUCAGAUGCUUCCACUAUCCCAGCAACCUGUAUUUGGUUCUAGCAAGUUUUCUGUUAAUUAUUACUUAUUGUGGAGGAUGAGUCUAUCUAUAUGAUGUUAAAAAGGAGCAAGGCUAUUCACCACAGCAAAUGGCGUUGGCAGCAUCUUGUAUCCAUUAGAUGGAUAAAGUCUAUUUGGUAAGAGAGCACUUCUGGGAUGAAAAUGCACCGUGGGUAAAACGCAUUUGAUAUGAGUAAUCGAUGGGCAAGGGCUUACAUUGCAGUCAUAAGCACCCAGAUUCAGGUCCCUUGUCUUCUUGCAAAGGUCACAGUAGUACUCACUGGUAUCAUUUUAUCGAAGCGUAAAUUGUGAGUUGAUGGAAGUUAAUGGGAAUCUUUUACUGUAGUGGAAGGCAAUCUGUGAUGAUUAAGAUUGCAAUGCAGACAACUGUAAAAUUCGAACCUGCAAAGUUUACAGCAGAGCAUCGACACUCUUCAUGACAUGUCAACAGUGCUCCAUCCUGAUAUGAGAAGAAGGUAGGAUGUGCAGGUGAACAGGUUGUUGCAUAACUGAGGGCAAUUCAGCACAUGAUUUAUGGAGCAGGAAAGAGCACCUUUGCUCCAGCCAGCGAUAGGCUAAACAUUUGAUGCAUUCAUCAGAAGCCUUGCACGGACCAGCCUCCAUAUGACAGUUCCAGCGGCAGAGGGUGAUCGUGCAGUGCAGAAAGAAGGGGCAACCAAGACAACCAUGGACCUUUGCACCUGAUUCUGUUUUAGAGCUUCAUGUGGAAGACCAGUGGAUGCUGACGGUCGAAAUGGUAGAGAACCGAGUCCUUAGUGCCUCCAGAUCUUGCGAACAUAGAGAUAAAGCCAUGCGUGCAAUCCAUGUCGAGGCUGAAUUUGCAUUUUUUGCAGUCGGAAACCAUGAUAAGCAACUAAGGACGGAUUUUGGUAAUGUUGCUGUUUUAGGAAACAGUUUUUUUUCGGAAGCACUUUUUUUCUAUUUUUGUUCUUGGGAACAAUUUCUGAGUAUUUUAAGAUGUUUGGUAAAUAUUUAAAAUUUUUGUUCACAAAACAAAAAUACGUUUGAUACGCAAAUAUUUUUAUGAUUUAGAAUUUAUUUUAAUUUAUUAAUAAUUUUAUUGCAUUUUUUUCUUUUCUUUUUUCUUUUUCUUCUCCUCCCUCUUAGUCGACUGCCGACCUUGGCCAUGGCCGACCAGCGAUCGGCCAGACAAGGGCCGGCGAGGUCCCACCGAGCCUCAUGGUGGCUAGGCAAGGUCAUGGCCGAGCGACACCGACGUUGCCGAGGUCGCUGAACCUCGUCUGGCAGGUCGCUUGACCGGUUGGGGGAAGAAGAGAGGAAGAGAAAGAAAGAAAAGAAUAGGAAGAAAAGAAAGAAAGAAAAAAACUUGUUUCUUAUUUCUAGAAUUAUUUCUUGGAACAAGAAACAAUUUUAUUUUUGUUUUUUGUUUCCGUUCUAAAUCUAUUCUCAGGAACAAAUUGUUCCCAAUAAUAAAAAAAUUACCAAAUGCGUUUCUAUUCUAUUUCUAUUCCAGAGAACAAAAAGACAAAAAUACGUGUUUCGGAGAGUGUUACCAAACCCUCCCUAAGCAUUAAAUUGAGCUCCUCCAUUUGUUCGAAAGCAAGAGAGAGAGUGUCAUCUUCGCGGGAGACUCGAUGCAAGUUUUGUGGAGAAAAGUAUGCACGCAUAGCACCACAGACCUGCCCCAAGAUCGCUUGCUCGCCGGCUUUGCAUUUGAUUCUACUUUUAAUCCUGAGAUUAUGGAAUGUGAGUAGAUGAUCUUGAGCAUUUGUUGGAUGGCCACAUUCUGAGAAUCCUUGUUGGAGCUGAGUUGCAACUAGGCAGAUGAAGCUACAUUGGGCCAUGCAUUAACAAUCGACACAUCCGAAUGCAAGGGAAGGUUUUCAUAUAUAAAGGUGAAAUAUUGAUUGGAAUAUAUAACUACAUAUAUCACUAGACUGGUGAGGUCGCAUAUUUCAUCAUGCUGUGACCAAGUUUGUUAGGAAAUUAAGAUGAUAUUGUAUAUACAUACACGUUAGGGUUGGGCGAAUCAAGACACCAACAUAAAGAAUAAUGGAGGAAAGUAUCUUUUGAAGACAACAGGUGAGCGGUGAAGACAAUGACCAGUUUAAUUUAGUUUCUUUGUAAUUAGACCUAGUCAUCAGAUGUGUCCCCUUACAACCUUCUCAUUCCUCCCUCCUUUUACUCAUUUCUCAUCCCCCGUUUGCCGCUUUCACAUGCCCUCCCCCCAUUUCUCUCUCUUCUCUAAACGUUUCCACAAAUAUUCUUAAUCGAUACCUUUUUUUUUUCCAAGCAAAAAGAAAAUACCUUAAUUUUUCUCUAUCUCAAAAAGAUGAAAUUUAUGUAUGAUGCAAUUUGGAUGAAAUAAAGAUUAUGAUGCAUAUGCAUUUUUCAUCUAUGGUGAUCAUCUUCAUUUCACUAAUAUGUAUAUUCCUUCUGCUAAAUUUUUUGAAUUUAUUAUACUAAUAAGGGUCAAUCCUUGUUUGAACCAGGUCAUAUCCUUUUCCCAAGCCAAAAAGAGGAAGAAGGUAGAAUUCUCUCUUUUUAUCAUAUUCAUCCUCUCCUGAUAAGGUGUGCGCGUGCAUAUAUGAAAACCUCUCUUCAAUAGCUUCUCAGCCUACCAGACAAAGCCAUUGUCUCUCCAUGCGAGCGCUGGCUAAUUUUUUCCUCUCUCUCUCUCUCUCUCUGAGAAAUAAAAGUUUCAAAUCCUUAUUGAUUGCUACAAAACAAAAAUAAUUGGGCUUGAUAAAGCCUCUCAAACUUGCAUACAUCGAGAGCCCCUUUGUUUUGAGAAUAUAUUACGUACAUGAGGGAGGCUAACUCAACAAAUUACCAGUCCAUUCAUUAAGCAACACAUGUCGCAUCGGGCUACCUUGCAUUAAUUUUCCUCUCUCUGUCUUUUUGCUUUCCUUUUUUGUUUUUUGUUUUUUGUUUUUUUGUUUUAUGUUGUUUUGUUUUGUUUUUUUUGUUUUUUUGUUGGGUUCUUCUUGGCCAGACUAUGUUUUCUUUCUUUGUCUCUCUCUUUCCGCCAUAGAAAUUCCCUUGGGACGGCAACAAGUGAAGCAAGUCCAAAGCAAGACCAAAGAAAGCGCUUAAACGAUACAUUUGGGCUUGGGCUUACUGUUUUGCUCUUAUUUGUUAUGGUUUGCAAGCCCGGUUAUUGAAACGUUAAUCAGGGAGAUAAAUCUAUUCGGUUGUUAUGUUAUUGAUGCAAAACUAUGUGGAGAGAGAAUAAGGUGAUUUUUCCUGGUGGUAAGAAAAUUGAAUGGGAUGAGCCAUGUGGGAUGAGGUUUAGUUUCAGAUAUGAAGUCUGACUUCCAUAUUCUACUGAAAAAGAGAGAGGAGAAUUAGACUCCAUUUAUUUCAGUUGAUGCGGUCAGCUUCAUGAAAGAAUUCAAGUUGGACAAAACAUAAGUCUUUUUUUUUUUUUUAAUCCAAGAAAAAAUAAAUAGGAAAGUUCAAAGGCAUUCUUCCACUGUCCACUCCAGUGACGGGGUAAAGGUAGGGAAAUCAGUUCCUUUUAGUUAGAGCCACUUUGAAUAAACGAACUGAUGUCCCUGCCUUCACCCAACACGGUGCCAUGUAUUUUACCUCAAUUGUCUCUAUCCUGGUCGACUUCAUGGAAGUGAAAUACCAGGGGAAGUUGAUUUCACCUUUUGAAACCCACCCCCUCACCACCCGCGUCGCCAUUUGCAGCCUCCUCCUACAUUUCUCGUUGCUGCGUUUCGCUAAUUGGGCACCACCGCCUCAAGGCCUUGCUCCAUCUCGUGAUGGAGCAGCGCACCUCCUCUUCCACUUCACCGGCUUGGCAUCGGUGUUUUCGCUCACGUGGUUGCUGCUCCAUGACCCAUUCCACUCCGUCCUCUGGCUUGUGCUGUUUCUGUUGCUUUCCGUGAAUCUGGUGUGUGGCCCUAUUAAAAAAACUUUGUUUGUGGUUUUACUGCAAACUUGUUCUCAUGAUUAUCCGUGCGCCGUGCUCCUGUGUAUGGCAUGGUGGAAGAGCGCAGCCACAUUUGCCGCGCCCGACUGAGGAUUGGCGUUUCACACCAGGAGUCUGAGCACCAUAGUUGUUCGACUAUUCCCUGCUUGGAGAAAGUAAUUUUAAUUGUAUGACCACUUUAAAUCAAAUGAUUAGUACUUUAGGACGCUAAGCUAGUUUUGUAUAAGAUGCACUUGGGGCUUUCUUUUUUUUUAUCUGAAAACAUGAGGAGUCCCCAAUCUUUCGUCAUCAUUGAGUGAUCCAAAUCAAAAUGAAAAAUGUCAGCUUUUUCAUCUUUGUCCCAUUUACACCAAUACUGCUUUCUACUUAUUCCGAUGAUAAUAUAGUUGUCACUUACCAUUGCAAAAUGAGUCAUUAUUAGGUAUCGAAAAUGUGCUAAUUGGUUAAUUAGUGUAAUCAAGUUCCCGAUCUUAGACUUUCUAGUUGCGUAAGAAUUGAGAUACACUGAUAUGUCUCACUUGAUUUCUAACUGAUCCCAAUAGACUAGUAGCGACUUUUUUUUGUUACAAAAUUCUUAUGAACGUCCCAAAGUGCACAAGGUAUGGGCUUGGGAGAGCCCAUGCUUAAUCAUGGGCCGUAAGUUCAUCUUUUAGAUAAUAUCUCUAAACAUAUUCCUUAUCCCGAAAGGGAGGUGGCAACAAUCACACGUCACAAGUCAUUGAGAAAGGUCCUCCUCCAGAUGUAACAUGGCGGAUGCAAUUUCUCGUGUAUUUACUUUUUCUCUAGCAAUUUGUGUUGUUCUUCGAAAGACUUCAAGACGCCUCGAAGUCUUCUUGCACCGAGAAAGCGGCACGAGUCUAAUGUCACCGUCACCACAUCUCCCUAUACUAGACAUUACAUGGUCAUGAGGCGUUGGGCCCAUGGUUUUAGUGUAGAUACAAGCCAAACGUGCAUGAAUCAGAAGCACAAGAUCCCAAUGAAUUUCAAUUGUUAGAUGAUAUCGGUUUUAUAUUUCUUGGGUUCGAGUUCAGGCCAACCAUGUCUAAAGUGAGCAUGAAGACGAAAAAGUCUUCUCACAGGUUAGUACAAGGCACGUUCAAUUUUAGUGGCUUAACACAUGUUGCUUUUGUUUGAUCUCACAGAGGGGGACUUCGCAUCUAAUAUAUGGGAUAAAAAUUGGAUCUGCAACAGGAUUAACUAAUUCACAAGCGAAGGAUAAUACAAAGGAGUGAGUCUUAAGCUGAAGUAUUCUAAGAAUCUUACAUCCUAAAGAAGUUUCGGCCUCUCCGUCGAGAAAUAAUACUACUCGUUCAAAAAUCAAUAACUUUUAACGAUUCAAUGAGAACUUAAACCACCAAUAGGCAUGCUACCUUGUUGGUAAGGGGAUUGAGGGGUGGGGCCAGAGAGUACUGGACCCGAUGUUUGAUCUCCAUGACUAUAGAAUAUACAUGUACAUAGAAGAGAGGAGUGAGACAAGAAAAGAAUCAGAGCUUAAAUGAGAAAGCAUUUUUUCAAUGGUACUUGUACCCGUUCAUCAAGGUCUUCUGUGGAGAGUAUGUAAUUCGAGUGUCACUAGAAGUCAUGGUCUUCGUGGUUUUAUGUGUAGAUAUUCAGACCGUGAGAACUACAACAUACAGCGGGUCCUUGGGGUUUGAUAUGUUGAUUUUCUGGACGACUACGCGUUACAUGGUUCGUGAGAAAUGAUGGCCUUACAGAGACUUUUUGCCGAUGUUUGGCCUUGGAAAAUACCCAUCUUUUAUGGAGCGAAAUAUAAUAUCAGAUAGACUUACUCUAUGAGUUCAUCUGAAUAUAAUCAAUUACAUUAUGGAAAUUGUGAAUGGAUACUCGUGUUUUAUAUAGGGACUAGAGUCGGUUUAGUCAUUUCUUGAUGCAUUGUUCGUUGAAAAGAUGAAAAAUAAACGGAUGUCAUAUAUAAACUGCAUCUCACUCUUACAGCAUAGAAUGGAAAAGAGUUCUCCAAGACUUGCUAAUUUGCAGAAGCCAUACAAUUUUAUUUCCUCAAUCCACUUUCACCAAACUUCAGCUUCAAUUUAUCAAUUAUCCCUUUCCUGGACAAGCACUUAAUGACCCUUACUCAUCGCUCUAUCCUGAUGAAGCUUCUGUUGAUUCGCCUUCCAACCGUGAUCUAUUCAUAUAUCGGAGCUGAGCCAAUGAUAUCUCAUGGAAGGGCUGAGCCAAUGGUGACUUUUGAGCUAGAAAAGUUUCCGAGACUUGCUUCAUAGUUGGUCGAGACUUUGGAUUAGCACUCAAGCAAGCAAGUGCAAGAGAAACUAUCAAAACUAUACUUCUUACAAUAGAGUUCUCUCUUGGAAAAGGCAACCGCCGGUCUAGAAUUUUAUGUAGCAUGAUAUCUUCUCCAGAGGAUGUCAACAAGAUAGAUAUAAUAUCUCUUGGAUGCUCACCCAUCAUUGUUUCCAUUAUUACCACUCCAAAACUAUAUACGUCGCAUUUCUCAUUAACGACCAAAGUAUACGCGAGCUCUGAAAAAAAAAAAAAACACAAAAGGCAUACAAAACUUUAGCAAUUGAGGCUUUGGAUGGGAUGACAACACCCUUAGCCGCCCGCCCCACGAGGGUCAACUUUUCCCUCUCCAUCGUGGCCCACAUGACUAUGUGCGGCACCCCACCCUGCUCCAUUUGCCCCUCCAAUUUUUAUUUAAAAACAGUUAAUUUUAUUUCCACAAUAAAACGUUUAAUAGAAAUGAAUGAUUUAGUAAUGCCAAUAUAGAUGUGAUACAAAAUCUAAAAAUCUUACUAUUCCGACAUGCUUUUACUUAGAUGCAACAUAAAGUUAUAGUUUAUGAGACAUUUUUAUUCUAAAAUAAGUAACCUAGUAAUACUAACAAUAGUAGCAUACAAAAUAAAUAUUCAUUUUCCAAAAAUAUUCAAAUAUAUAGAAAUGAAUAAAAUGAAUACAAGAGUGAGAGCCACAGCAAACAAGGUGGUUCCGGGGGGACAUUUUGCCAAUCGUGGCACAACCAAUCCUUAGCUAUUGUUGGUAAGUACAAUAAUAGUCUACAAGUCACCGAUAUGCAUGGAUAGCGAAAUUUCUACAAUGUUGUUUAUUUAACAUCUACCUCUAGUAGUAACUUUCAGGGUGAAAAAAAUAUAUAUAUGAAGCAUAAAGUAUUGCUCACCUGGUGCAAUGUAUCCAUAGGUGCCAGCGAUAUUUGCAGUGAAGUUAGAUGAGGAAUCAUGAUCUAGAAGUCUCGCAGUGCCAAAAUCUGAUACAAAAGCCUGCAUUUAACUAUUAAGUAAGAUGUUAUUACUAGAUAUGUCUCGAUGAACAAUUGGCCGAGUGCACUCAUGGUGCAUGUAAGACAAAGCAUGUGCCAUAUCUCGGACGAGAUCGACUCUUUGGGACCAAUCCAAUUCCACAGCUUCAAUAUCAUCUCUCAAAGCACAAAAUAGACUCCCAUUUUCCAUAUAUUCAUAAACUAAGAACAUGCAUCGCUUGUGUAAGCAGAAACCAUGGAGCUUGAUUAUGCUUCUAUGCCUUACUUCUGUCAAGAGUUUCACUUCAUUUCGAAAGCUCUUGUCGAAGGACGGGUCCUCUGCUUCAAGACGGUGAAGUUUCUUCAAUGCCACAACUUUCCCAUUGGGCAAUCGUGCUCUAUAGACGCUACCAUAACCACCAGUCUCGAUGCAAUAUCUAAGAUCAAAGUCCUCUCUUGCAUCAAUUAUGUCUUCAUAUGCAAUCCUCCCGUCAUAAUUCCAUAUUGACAAGAAAUUUCCAUUUUUCUCUGUAGUCUUUGGUUGCUCUGUUUUUGUUGCAUGUCGAAAUAGAAAGCAAUAUUCGACCACUAUACAAGAAAUCACAACAAGUGGAAUGAACACCACAAUAAAAUCAAUAUUGCUAGACCUUCUUUUGGGGCCUUGGGUUUCAGAAAAUUGGUUCAAAUCUUUGUCGUCGGGAAAAGCACUAUUAGGAAUAAUACCCCUGAGAUUAUCUGGAAUGGAGCCAAAAAGAGGAUUGCUGCGAAGAUCGAGAUAGUUUAACAACCUCAGUUUCCCAAGUUCAACGGGGAUUUCCCCGACCAAGUUGUUUGAGCUCAAAUCUAGUUGUUGGAGAUCCCUUAAAUCUCCCAUUUCUGAUGGGAUGGCACACUCAAUUAUAUUUUCAUGUAAAUUUAGCUCAACCAAGCUUUUCAGAUUGCCUAUUUGUGACGGAAUACAUCCACCGAGUUUGUUUUCUUGCAAAUAGAGAUAAGUCAAGUUUGUCAAAUUUCCUAUUUCUGGAGGAAUAGAUCCACCGAGUUUGUUUCCUCGCCAAGAGAGAUUAGUCAAGCUUGUCAAAUUCCCUAUAGAGGACGGAAUGGGACUAGUGAAGUUGUUGAAACUUAAAUCAAUAACAUUCAUUUUUGCAAGGUUCCCUAGUUCAAGAGGGAUUGAGCCACUUAAAUUGUUUGAGCUAAAUCUAAGGGAUCGUAAAUUGUGCAAGCGACCAAUAGUCAGAGGGAUUGCACCAUUAAGCAAAUUGUACUUGAGAUCCAAGUUGGUCAAUCUCUCCAAAUUUCCCAACUUAGCAGGGAUAGAGCCACUAAUGUAAUUAACACCGAUAUUAAGAACUUGAAGCCUAGUGAGGUUUUGGACACAGGGAGGCAACUCGCUAGUGAGGGAAUUGGAGGACAAGUCAAGGUAAGUUAGCCUUGACAGAGUACAAAUUUGAAGGGGGAUUUUGCCGGCUAGCCUGUUAUGAGAGAAAUCAAGUAAGGUGAGGCUCGAAAGUAGAGAGAAGUUAAGGUUGCUGAAAAUUACCUCCUAUUUGGUACUCAUAUGGCAAGCAAAUCCCAUUGACGCUCCCAGAGGCGUCGCACAAUACCCCAAGCCACGCACAAUGAGGUAAGGUAGUGACGAAGGGAGGCCACCGCCCGCUGUAGAAAAGCGCACCUGCCUCUGACUAGUUAGAAGGUGCUAGUGCUAUAACAAUCGAAUUGUAGUAGGAGAAAGCUAUAGUGAUCAAUAUAGUUAAGGACAUGUUGCAGAUUAUGCUCUUCAUGUUGCAACUCGAGUCACUUAUUAUUGCCAUAUUCUUUGGACUACAGCAUUUAAAAAGCAAAGCGAGACACUGUACCAACACGUCAAAGGAAACACGAUUUCCACAAUUCACGCUUUAUCUUUGUACUGAGUUGACACUUACUGUCUUUUAUUCUUUCCUCUCUUCCUUUUUCUUUUGAGAUGAUGGAGUUGCCAUCAACUCGUAGGCUGUAAAAGGGGAACUAAUUACUAAAAAUUGAAUUAGGUUGUGAAGCAAUCCAAGUUUCAGCACCCCUACAAACCAAAAGCUGAGUAUCAAUUAUCAUCUCUACUUUUGACGUCCUUGCAGAGUCACAAUGCUUCAUCAAGAACUAUUCUAUUAUUUCGAACAAAAAAGAAGAAGAAGAAGAAGAAAGGAUCUUCUUCCAUGCCCAUAAAUUACUGAAAGAGUUGGUAAGUGCCAAAAUACUAAUGAUAAAUGGAUCUUCAUCGGGUGUGAUUUUAUGCAACAUAAAAUCAGCAAUAGUAAUACUAUGACUUUUUAAGUAAUCAAGUAAGUGUCAUAGUUUUUAGCUCACUUAAGUUACAUAGGUGAUUCUUUUACUAGAAAUUCCUAUGUGGCAUUGAUUCUUGGCAAAUCAAUUGGAUUAUUUAAUAUUAAAUUAAUGCCACAAUGAAUUUUCAAGUUAAAAAAACCAUUAUUGUAAUUUUAGAUAUUCGGUUUUUAAAAGUUAUGCCUCUAAUUUCUGAGGAAACAAAAUAUUCUACUCUUGUAAAUCUCUGAAUUUCGUAGUUUUGUGAUUCGAUUGGAAUUUAAACAAGCAUACCGGCUAAAACAAAAGGAUUUAAACCAUGUAAGGAUGGAUCUUGUGCACAUCCAUCAAGAAGUCAAGAUCUUUUGGGGUUUUACGUGUGUUGACUUUGGAUUAGUACGUGGUCGAUGGUUCAUGGGAAGUCAAGGUCUUCAUGACACUUUUAUUGGGUAAUGUUUGGCCUUAAAAAUCUCUAACCCAUCGUAAGGGAAACGUCAUAGACCAAUUUUUUAGCAUUUUCUUCUUUUGACUAACAAGCCUUCAACUUAGAGAGGAAACGAUCCUUGUAAUUCUAAUCACACUAUAAAUAUCAAAGCGUGUUGUGCAUCAAUGAUAGUGACCCUAUUGGAAUCAUUUCUCAAAGCACAUAGUAGACUUCCCCUUUCAUCAUCUACUCAUAAACCAAGAACAUGCAUCGCUUGUGUAAGAAGAAACCAUAAAACUUAAUUAUGCUUCUAUAUCAUACGUCCGUCAAUUGUUUCACUUCAUUUUGGAAGCUCUUGCCAAAAUACGGGUCCUUUGCUUCAAGAUAGUGAAAUUUCUCCAAUGCCACAAUUUUCCUUGGGCAACGAUGCCAUAUAGACACUACCGUAACAUCCACUCACUAUGUAAUAUAUGAUGUCGAACUCUUCCGUUGAAUUGAUUAUGUCUUCAUGUGCAAUUUUCCCAUCAUAAUUGUGACAUCCUAAAUUUCUAGUACUGUUUUCAAUUGAAUAAAUCGGGCAUUUCAUCAACACGUCUAUAGUGCUAUUUUCAGAGCCGAUCACUCGUGAGAUAAUUAGACUAUCUGAGGAAGUCAUUAAGAGAUUUCAAUGUAAUGAACUUAAGAAUUCGACUAGAAGUCGACCGCUCGACCGUGCUAGUCUACAAGGGUCAUUACGGCAUUGUCAAAAUCGAUAAGAAAUCAAAGAUAGGUCAAUUCGAUAGAGAUGUGUGAUAAAAGUGUGGGUGAUUCCACCUGAUGGCAAAAUUCUCAUCAAAUGGUACUGGACCGAUUUUUUGUCGUUUUCAGUACCCUGUGCCCGUAAUUGAAACUUUGAGAUUUUCACAACCACCGAGAGUUGCCAAUGUAUCGAGUGAUUUCAUUGUGGCUCGAAGAAAAUCGACCACGGAUCAUUUGCACUAAAAAUCUCCGAAAAACUACUUAGUAGCCUAGGUCAUGCUAAAAACGCGUCGAAUGGAAAUUAACCGUGAAUUUGAACCCGAUUUCAGAAAUUGAAAGUUAUGUGGUGUCACGAUUUAUUUUAGGAAUGUCGACUCAUCCUCAAAAAAAAUUUCAGAGAUUUCAGGAUUUUUAUGAAAAACCGUUUCAGACGUCGUAGAAAAUUAGCGGAAAUUCAAAUUGGCUAAAUCGAUGGAAAUUGAGACUUCUAAACCAAGCCUUUGAGUGUUGGGGACUUACAGAAAAUUGUUCGGGAUUUUUCUUCACCGAAAUUGAACGUCGAUUUGGGAAAUUUCGCAAAGAAAUUGGAGCUUAAAUUUAAGAAAUUCGGAGCUAUGGUUUUAGGGCUGCAUUUUGGCAUCAAUUUGGUGAAUUUAUGUGUUUAAUUUGUUGGAAAGUAAUGGGGGACAAACAAUAAAUUGAAGAGAUAAAUAUGUUGACUUUGGCCCCUUCAACUGUGGUUUCUCCAUCACGUUUGCCAACUGCCUUCCCCUUCGACGCCGACUCCAUCAGCUCUGUCUUGCAAUUUCUUUUCUUUUGUUUACUCUUCAACCGAAGCCCCUCUCAUCCUCUCGUUUUCUCUCUUUCCAUCAACACCGGACCAUCAUCCACCAUCACCCUCCACCGAAAACCUUCCCCCACUCACACAUGCCCACUUCCACCCAUCGUUUCUCCUCUUCAUGCCACCUACCUGUUUUUCUUCUUCAACGGUCAAUCGAAGAAGCCCUCCCCACCAAUGGAGACUCAGGCUGCUCAAACAUCCACCAAAUUCUGUCUCUGCUGAGCCAAUCCCUUGCUGUGAAGCUCCCAUCUUUGACCGCUAGCUGCCAUCCCCAUGUGCAGCUCCAUUCCACCAAAGACUCACGCUAGCUUGCUCGAAUCCUCGUGCAGUUCAUCUCACUGAAGCAGCACGUCCACAACCCAGCUCCAAUUCAGGCCAUGUCUCUAGCGAAAUCAUCUCCACCGAGGCAAGUUUUGAAGCCCAUCUUCAUGCAGCCCAGUUCGGUUUUGUUGCACCAACCCAUGAAACGUUCUACUCCAUCCAGCGUCUUGGGCUAGUGUCUUCAGCCCACGUGAAUGAUCAAGCCCAGCAACCCAGUUUUUGAAGCCCGCUUCAACCUUGAUCCAAUCCAUUGAAGCCCACGAAGGCAAGCCCAGUCCGCAGCCAAAGCCCAAGGCCUAAGCCCAGCUUUUUGUUGUGGGCUUGCGAGGUUUCUUGGCCCGGUCUAAGUGUCCAUCGACACUGUUGAAAAUUCAGAAUUCGGCCGCUGUCGCGCCGUCGUUGCGGUGUUCUGGUCUCCACUUUCAAACAAGUGAGUUUUGCUCACUAAUCCCUUAUUACUAUGCUAAUGAUGCUUAGGGGUUGUGUAGAUUUAAUUAAGUGAAAUUAUGUUGAUAUAUUAGAUUAGCGCAAUUAAAUUAGUGCAUUCUCAAUGCAUGUUAGACAAGUGGCUAGUGAUAUUAGCUAGUGAAUAAUUUAUAGUAUUUAUUGAACGAAUCUCGGAAUUUUUUUGGGUCCGUUUUAGCUUCUAAUUAGGCAUUACGGGCCUAAAUUGGAUUUAUUGCAAUUUAUUUAAUAAUUUUGGUAAUUAUUUAUUUAUUUAUUUUUCGAAAAUUAAGUUGGGAUAGUCGAUGACCAAAAUUUUAUGUUGAUUGUUGUGGUGCAAUCCUUUUUAUUUAUUUGAGCAUUGAUUUGUACCGAAUUGAAUUGAUUAUGAUUUUAGGAUUUUAUUUCUAAGUUAAUUAAAUUUGGUAAUUAAGUGGAAAAUUAUCGGGCGUCGGUUUACAGCGCCAAAAAUCUAUUUUGGGACUGUUGAAAAUAGUGAGAGAUUCAAAAGUGAAAAUCUUAUAUUUUGGCUAAGGCUGACCGUGUACCCGUGCACAUGUAUUUUUAUUAGGAAUGAUAAAAAUGAUGAAUUGAUAAAAUGAUCAAUUAUCAAUAUACUAGGAAAGUAUGGCUGGCAGCUUUUGGCGAGCAUAUAUACAUUUAUCAUCAUGCUAUGAGAGUAUGGCUAGUAGCUUCUGGCGAGCAUAUUAGAUUAGCGAAUCAAUGGAUCUAGCAGCUUCCGGUGAGUAUAUAUAUUAGAUUAUCGAAUUAAUGGAUCUGGCAGCUUUUGGUGAGCAUUGUGACAUCCUAAAUUUUUAGUUCUGUUUUCUAUUGAAUAAAUCGGGCAUUUCAUCGAUGCACUUAUAAGGCUUUUUUUAUAGCUGAUCACUCUCGAGAUAACUAGACUAUCUAGGGAAGCUAUUAAGGGAUUUUAAGGCAAUAGACUUGAGGAUUCGAUUAGGAAUCGACUUUUUGACCGUGCUCAUCUUUAGAGGCCAUUACGACACAAAAUGAAAUCGAUUUGAGAUCAAAGAUAGGUCGAUUUGACUGAGAUGUAUGGCUGACCGUGGGUGACAUCACUAAAUUGGAAAAUUCUCAUCAACCGACCCUAGACUAAUUCUUUCGUCGUUUUGGUACCCUAUGUCCAUAAUUGAAUCCUCAAGAUUUUCACGACAAUCGAGAGUCGCCAAUGUGUCUAGUGGGUUCAUUGUGGCUCGAAAAAAAAUCAACCGUAGGUCAUUUACAUUAAAAAUCUCUGAAAAUUACCCGGUAGUUUAGGUCAUGCUAAAAACGCACCGAAUGAAAAUUUACCGACAAUUCAAGUCCGAUUUUAGAAAUUGAAGAUUCUAUCAUGUCACAAUAAAUUCUAGGAGUAUCCACUUAGUUUCAGAAGAUUUUUUUUGAAAACCAAGAUUUUUUUAGAAAAAGUCGGCUUAGGACCAUUUUUGUGCAGAAAAAGCUAUGGAUUAAUUUUGAUUACAAAACUGGGAAACAAGAUGGAUUCAUGGGUGAGGAAAAAUAUCAAUUGAAGCAUUUGGGUGCCAAUUGAAUUAAUUGAAGCUAUAUGAGAUUAAAUCAAGAGAGAUGAAGUAUCCAAUUGAAGCCCAUUUCUUACAAAUUCGUAGCUCCCCCUUUCCCCUAGCAUUUUGGGCCAUCUCAUAUGUUGUGGAGAGGGUGUUGGUGGCUUAAUAGCAGCCAUGGGUUAUUGGCUUAAUGGACAAGUCUUUGGGGGACAAGAGUGUGGAAGAAGUUGGCCAAGAGACCUCACCAAAGUAAACUUGCUCCACACACUUCUCUCUCUCCCUCAUCUUCUCCCUUUGGCUAGCCAAAAUCACUUUAUUCUCUCCCUCCAUCUUGUUUUUCGACCAGUAGCAAGAGGAGAAGGAGCAGCAACCAACGGAGCCAGUCGCACGCCACCACCGUCGCUGAAACGCCGCCCGCAUGCUCCGUUGUCCCCGCACGCUGUUUGCCCUCGAUCUUGCUUCCCCCACGCUAUACAGCCCUUUGUCCCGCCGUUCCAGCAACCGUGAGUGGCUAAGGAGGCUUGCUGGAGCUAUCGUUCAACUCGCCGGAGCUCUGCCUAGUUAUUACCAGCCUUUGCUCGCCAUUUCAACCGCCAAAGCUACACCAACCAGCUAAGAAUAGAAGCUUUUCCAGUGGGUUUUCAGCACCAUUCCAAGCUCUUUUUGAAGUGGUUAUAGACCUUGGAACCUAGGCCCGCUUUGGAGAAAAAUGUCAUUUGCGACGUUUCUAACGUUUCAAUCCGAGCAGAAUGUUAAUCAAGUGAGUUUUGCUCACUAAUCCCUUAUUAGUCGGUUAAUUAUGCUUAAAGGUUAUUUAAAUAAUCUUAAGGAUGGAUUAGUGAUAAGCUAUAAUGGAUUAGUAUAACUUAAUUAGUAAGAUUUGUGUAAUAGAUGAUGGAUUAGUCGAAUCCAGUGAAAUUCCUGCAGUUUUGGUUUCUAGACUCUAGUUGUUUGCCAUUUUUGUAGAUCAAAAUGUGUUACGAAUAUGAGGUUAAUGUUUUCUUGAGAAAUGUUUUAUACAUCCUCAGCUACAACAUAUAUUUUACUCAUGAUUUUUCGAGAUUUAAAAUAUUGAGAUAUGAGCUCCGUCAUUUGCAAAUAGAAUCUCGGACUGCGCUGUAACUUGUGACUUUUAAGGAUUCUAGGGGUUUUUUUACUAACUCUUAGGGUUCGAAUUUUAAAAUGUUUUCUUGAUAAACAUUGUUUGUCAUAUCUUCUAGUUUAACAUACUCAAAUUUCAUAUCAAAUGGACAUGGUUUAGAUUUCGAACCAAACUAAUUUCGGAAAACAUAUUUUUGGAAAACAGACAUAGUUUUGUACUAGAUUGAGUGAUUUACUGGGCCGAACUUAGAAGGAUCUGGGUUUAUAUAUCCUCAUGAAAAAUGUUCAUUUAUGUGUCUUUUAUAACAUAUUCAAAUUUGAGAAUUUUUCAAAAUUAUUUUAUUUGGUUUAUGGAUUUAAACUUGGAAACAUGCGAGUGAGCCUAUUCUACCAGUUAGAGUCGGUUAUGAGUUGUGAUGGUUCUUGAUGCUUAACUUGCUAGAAAUUGUACAUUUGAUGAUAUGGUUACUUUGUGCUAUGCCUUGAGGACUAUGUGUGAUGAGGCAUGAAUAGUUAUGUCAUAGCUGUGGUGUUGUUAGUGUAAUGCUUACUGAUUUGUGCAAAAUUGAUAAUGUAUGGUUGGUUUGUGAGAUGCCUAGAACUCAUACUUGAUAAUCGUGUGGGCACUGCUCCUAAAUGGAAAGCCCGUGCCUGUGUAGCGAUAAUUAAUCGUGCCUGUAUGGCGUAAUAUUAGGCUUGUGUGGUGUAGAACGUGCUUGUGUGACAUAAUACCGAGCCGUUUGGCUGUAUUUCUGUGAGUGUCAGGUAUCAUGCAUGUGUGGCCGAAAUUAAUUGAAAGGCACGAGUUAAGCACAUCGUUUAUGGCACACACACGCAUGAAUCGAUGACGUGCAUGGUGUGGCAAUGGCUAGGUAAGAUCACUUGUAACGCGACUCAUUUGUGAUUAAUGAAAUGCAUCAUCUAAUGGCCAUAUGCAUUUCGUGUAUCAUGCGGAAUUAUAACGUUCAAGAUAUGGCAUACGAGGUAAGGAUGUAUGCAAAUCGGCAGUUGCCUAUUCAAAUUGUGUGGUUGUGCUUAGGCAGCUCCUAAAGCAUAUUUUCUUCCUAAUCGGGUCUUAGGGAGUAUAACUUCCUGAGACAUUAUCUCAUUGGUUAUUGAAUAACCAUUUUCAGGUCUAUAGAUGGUGUUGGUAAAGGACCAAGAGCUCAGAGUUAGUGAGGUGAAGUUCGAAGAAUCGAUGACCAUGUCCGACUAGCUAGUCGUAGACAAUUCUCCUUUGUAGGGAGCCGAUUCUUUUCUAUAAACCUUUGUGUAUAGACCCAGAUGUUUAUAAAAAGGUAUAUUUUGAAAAAAAAAAAGAAAGGGCUGGCACUGCUUUUCUAUCCCAUUGUAUUAUUGUCUAAGAAUUAUAUAUAUGCUUCCGCAUGUGCAUUUAAAUAAAUAGGUCGAUGAUGUGUCCUAGAACAUCGCUACUUAAUUGAUCAAGAAAGGAUGGGCACGUGCUCGAAGGAUCGAUGCGUGACAAGUAUAUAUAUAGAAUAGCGGAUCAAUGGAUUUGGCAGCUUUUGGUGAGCAUAUAUAAUUCUCAGCAUACUAUGAGAGUAUGUAUAGCAGCUUCUGGCGAGCAUAUAUAAUAUACUAUAUCAGAAAUUGAGGUAGCUCUUGGCAAGCAUAUAUGUAUAGUAUAUUAUCUCAGUAUUUAAGGUAGCUUCAGGCGAGCUAUAAUAUCUACUAUUGGUUUAGAAUGAGCAGUCAUGGAUUAUGGUUGGACUCAUAGAUAGUAUUGAUUGAGAUGACCAAGGAAUGAUCUGCGUGAUAUGUAAUCAACUAAGUCGAUUGAUAAAUGAUUUUAUCUGAUGCUGUGAAUGGAUGUGGUUCCUAUAUAUUUGAUAUAUACUGACUUGCAGGAAGAAACUGAGACUAAAUUAAGUCAUUUGACUCAUGUUGUGCUUAGGCAGCCUUUAGAAUAUAUUGGCUUUCUAAUCGGGUCUUAAGGGAUAGAAGUCCUUUGACUCGUGUUGUGCUUAGGUAGCCUUUGGAGUGUAUUGGCUUUUUAAUCGGGUCUUAAGGGGUAGAACUCGCUAAGACAUUGUCUCACUGGUUAUUGUAUAACUAUUUUCAGGUCCCUAUGUGACGGUUGUAGACAGUCGGAAGUCUCGAAGUUUGGGAAUGUGGAAGAAACAGAAUCGGCAAACUUGUCUGGCUAAUUAGUCAUAGGAUAGUUCCUUUUUGGUUAAGCCGAUACUUUUGUAAGUGACCUGAUGUUGUGGAUAAAACAUGUUUGUUAUAAAAUGUUUGUUUUGGUUUGAAAGGUUGUGGAAAAAUUGGCCCUACUUUUAUAUCAUAUUGCUUUAUUAUCUGGGGAUUAUUAUUAUAUGUUUCCGCAUGCAUAUUAAAAUGAAAGGAUCGGCAAUCCAACCUGGGACGUCGCUAUUUAAUCGACCAAGGUAAGGGAUGAGUGCGUGCCCGAGGAUCGGGGUGUGAUAAUAAUUCCUUAUAAAAAGAAAUCUCCAUGUUUCUUUGAUGCCUUUGAUUGCAUGCUUUUGUUGUACAUUGAUAUAUGAAGUAAGGCCUAAGAACUAGAUGGGAAAUUACAUAAGUGAGAUUAUCCAAACACAUCCAUUAAAAAAUGUCCAAAAUUCAAAGAGAGUCACGAGUUCAUGAACAAGAUCUAAUUUUUUCUGGUGAACCAUAUAAAAUUGUCCAACCUCUCUCAAAGGUUAAAUCCAAAUUAUUUUAAGAGUCCAUUUAUGUUUCCGAAAUUGAUUAUUAUUGCUUCAAGGACACUGUUGUUGUUGAGUAAUUGAACUUUGUUGUUCCUUUUAAUUAUCACGCCCCGAACCUCGAGUAUGCACACAUCCCUUGGUGGUCGAUAAAAUUUGCGACAUCCCAGGACGCGUCGUCGAUCCAUUCAUUUUAAUGCAAAUGCGGAAGCGUAUAAACAAAACUCUAGACAACACAAAUAAGAUAUAGAAAAGCAGGAAACAAAUUUCACAAAACUCUUUUAUAAACACAUUAGGUUUAUAUACAAAAGUUUACAAAAGAUCGGCUCUAAAAAAGAAGCUGUCUUACGACCUACUUGUCAGACACAUUCAUCAAUCCUUCAGACUCUACCUCCACAGGUUCUGGGGGCUUCAGGUCCUCCACAAUCCCAUCAGGAGGGUUAGCUGCACCCUCGCCUAGAGCAGUGUUGACCGCAAUGGCGGGGAUAUCAAAUCCUUGAAUGGGACCUACCCUAUACCCAUUGAGUCCAUGGCGAAACAACACCCUAAAUCGAUGAGGUAUCAUUUAAGGUAGAUCCUCAUCAACCCGGACAAUGAUCAUAAACAGCUCAUAGACCUAAUAACUCCUAGGAAUAAGGAUGUCUAUGCUUUGCUCAAUAAUAGCCCGAGGUUGACCAAAACAUUCCGGAGGGACUACCAUCUAAGAACCUGAAAAAAUUGAACCCACGAUGGAGUGAGACAACGUCUUAGCAAGUUCACCCCCCUAAACCCCUAUUAUGAAGGAAAUACGCCUAGGGGCAACUUAACCACACAACCAUAGAGACUCAUCUCGCCUCAAUUCCUCCCUGCAUGUUAGCACAAUUCAUAUACAUAAUGCAUAUAAUAGAUGCACACAUCAAUUGGACCGACUCACUAAAACUCAAUCAAUCACAGGGGUUCCGAUUAUAAGGCCAAAUUGUUAUGACACGUCACAUAUCACGCCACACAAUUUUGUCCCAUAAUCAAGCGUGGUUAAACCGUUCAUUCAUGCAUUCCAAUUUUAUCAUGCCCCAAUGGGCACGGCCUACUCGACGUUCGGCGGUCUUUUGGCAUAACCAGGCAUCAUCUCACCCUAUUGAGCACGUUAACGUCUAUCUUGAGAUGGCAAUCCCAAAGGAGCAUCGGUCUAGAAUCUACUACGACUAGUAUCCAUUGUCUAAGGGCAUCCCAUAUAAGGGCAACGUCCACCCGACUCAUAUUGGGGACGGGUUCUCAUAUCCAUCACACGAUCAUUCACUUAUGGCCAAUGAUAUUGUGCAUUGCACUCAAAUGUCUCAAUUAAAAUAGUAAACUUGGCCUAUUUCAUUCAUAUUAAAAACACACGGUAAAAUAAUCGUAUGUGGGUACACGGUUAAAAUUGAAUCAAAAAAAUUGAUAUCCUCCCUUUUAAAAUCCCACGGUUUGAUAUAGUCUUUAAAAAAAAUUUCGGUGUCAAAACCCGACACCCAGUAAUUUCUAAUUAAUUACCAAGAUUUUGUAACUUUGAAAUAAAUACUCAAAAUCACAAUCACCACUCAAUUUGUAUAGAUUAACACUCAAUUGCAUAAACUAAGUAUACCACUGCAAUCAGCAUGAAAUUCCAGUCACUGACUAUUUCGAUAUAAUUUUCGGAAAAAUAUUAAAUAAUUAAAUAAAUUACAAAAAUAAUUAAAUAAUGCAAAUUAAAUCCAAUAAAUGCUAUUCUAACCACUUAAACGGGCCUACAAAUAUAAUGCACAUAUCUAGAUAAAUAGUACAAUCUAUUUAGUAUUUAGUCCCUAAUCAAUCUAUUCUAAUCACCUAACAAGCAUAAUUAAAUAAUUAAAUCACUAAUCCAAAAUAAAUAACCACCUAAUCUCAUUUUAAGUUAAGCUAAUCAACUCUUAAGCAUAAUUAACCUCAUAAGUAAGGUUUAGUGAGUAAACUCACCGUUUUAGCGGGUCGGUGAAUCCACGACGACGGCGACGUAGACACGAGAGACAAACAAGCCUGUGGCGACACCAAGUGAGGUCUGAACAAGGCCUCAAAGUCUCAGCUAGGCUGAAACUUUAGCUUCUGGUCACGACUGAAAGGGGCUGUCCGAGCGGCUGCUUAGCACGGAAAUGGCGAGGAGGUGGACCAGGUGGCUACAACGGGCAACAACGAUGGCUCCAGCGGCUUAGACGGCGACCAAGGUGAGUUCGAGGACCUACGAGCAAAUGCGGGAUGACAGCCUGGGCUCGCGAGGGACGUCGAGCAGGCGCGAGACGAGUGGGACGCGAGCGCGCGACAAUGUGGCGUGCGGGCGGCAGCGACGACUCUCGACAGGCUCAGGUGGUGCUCGGUUGUGGCUGGCUCAACUGCAGGGCCUCUCUCUAGUUUUCUUGAGCUCAAAACACCACACAACAAUGGAGAAAUCGAUGCAAGGAAGAGGAAGACAGUUGUUGAAGAGGGGGGCACAAAAUAUCCAAACACUCAAGUUUCAUGCCCCACCAUGCUCAGCCAUCAUCCUCAACCAUUAUCCACACCAAGGCUUCUCCAAGAAGUCUCCCAAGGUGGUUGAAAUGUUGCUCCCCCCUUGACCUACGAAUUUUGUAACAUUUCCCCUCAAUUUCAUCCAAUUCCACUUCAAAACUUCUCCAAUUGAGCUCAAAUCAAAGGCCAAAAUGUCAAGUCGGAUGCCCACAUCACAUUCUACAUUUUUCCUUGCCAAUUAGUGUAACUUGAUUGCCAAAAGUGCGAUAAAAACAGUCAUUUAAUUUUCCCGAUCCAAAAAUGCCUAAAUUUGAUUUUUCGCCAAAAACUCAAGUUUGCAGAAAAAUCUUUUCUAAAAUAAAUCGCGACAUGACAGAACUUUCAAUUUCUGAAAUCAAGUUCAAUUUCGUAGUUAAUUUCAACCGAGCGCAAUUUUAGCGUGACCUAACUUAUCUAGUGGCUUUUAGGAAAUUUUAGUGCAAUUGACCUGUGGUCGAUUAUUUUCGAGCCACAUUUUACAUUUUUGACUUAUUUGUGACUCUUGGUUGUCGUGAAAAUCUCGAGAUUUCAAAUACGAGCACAUGAUAUAGAAAUGACAGAAAAAUCAGUUUAAUGUCAUUCGAUGAGAAUUUUGCAACUCAGUGGAAUCACCCACACUUUAAUCACAUACCUCAGUCGACCGAUCUACUCCGAUCUCUAGUCGAUUUUGACAGUGCCGUAUUGACCCUUGCAGAUUAGCAUGGUUGAGCAAUCGAUUUCUAGUCGAAUUCUUAAGUCUAUUGCUUAAAAUCUUUAACGGCUUCACCAGAUAAACUAGUUAUCUCGUGAGUGAUCAACUCAGAGAAAAAGACUAUAGGCGUGUCGACGAAAAACCCAACUUAUUCAAUCGAAAACAGAAUAAGAAAAUCAUGAUGUUACACUAAUCAUCCAUAAAUCCAUUCAUAACCCCAUUUUAAUUAUUUUGUUUAAUCUCCCACAAGACUGUUGAAAAAUUGCAAGGAACUGCCAUGAAAGAGACUAUUUGCAAAAGUUGUGUGGUCAGUGGAACAAGACGGCUAAAUGUCAAAAACAGCUUUCGACAUACUUUGUCGAAGUUCGACUUUGGCAGCUACACGUAACAUGUUAUUGUCUUGAGCACUUCACAAAAAACCACUGAUUGAUAACCCUCGUAGCUGGACUUAUGGUUCAUCAUCAAUGAAUCGCUAGGGAGGGAAGAGCAAAUUUCCCUUUUGCAAGCCCCCCUCAAACAUGAGGAUAUAGUCAUAAUUGACAGUGACAUUAUCUCUAUAGAUGGAAUUACAAUGUAGUUUGUAGGAUUAUUUUUUCACGCUAGUUCAAGUCUUGAGUCACCACAACCUUUCAAGUCACUCUCUAAUCGAAAGGGAUAUCUUAUCUUGGGAACUUCACGACAAUAGUGUCGUUCAUUCUACGCGUUGCAUAUCCCUAGUGGCACAACAAGAAAGACGGAUAACAAAAUAUUUGUUGUGCUAUUUUCUUGCCUAAAUCCUUGAACGCUCGCCCAACACCUCUGUCCAAAGAACUCUAACCUGAAUUCAAUUGAGAUCUCGCUCUAAUCUCUUCAAAUCUCAACUCAAAUUGAAAGAUUCUUGGUUGAGCCUGAGCUGUUUCUUUCCACAAUUAGGAGAAAAUGCAAAUGUUUUCUCCCAUCCCAAAAGAGUUAUUGUGUAGUAUAACCCCUUAACUACUUGACUUAAUUAGAGCGGAUUCUAAAAUGCGAGGCUAUAAUGGUAAAUGUGGGAUGAGACAUCAAAUUUAAGAUUUUGUUCAUACAUGAUAUUGAUAACUAAAAUGGAAAGACAAAUAAUGCACAGCAUUAAUUUUUUAACUUUCGAGAAUGCUUUUAUCCAGAUAAAAAAGAAAAAUGAAAAUUCUCAAUAUGAAUAGAAAUUUUAAAAUCAAGCUUUAUUGGAUGCCAGUUUGAACAUUUUGACAAUAACCGGUGCUAUUUUCGUUUUUGGCCGAACCAUUUUUCCACGACCUUUCUCGUUCUAAAAGAUGCAUUUGCAAAACUGAAAUUGAUUCCCUAAAGAGCAUGGUAAAAAGCGUUUUCCGAAGGAUUUCAUCAAUAUGCGAAAAUCAACGGUCGCGAUUGUUUUGGUGUAGGAACCGAAACUGGAGACAGCAUAUACGGUGGUAUGGCAUGGGAAGUCGCCACGUGGCGCGUCGUGGAACUUUUGCUUGGCCUUUCAGUUUCUCUGCUGGAGGACUUCUGACUAUGAGAGAGAGAGAGAGAGAGGUCGCCGGACGCUUGUGGUUGGCGACGGCGGAAAAGAGGAUGGCCGUGGCGGCGAGCCUCUGCAACCGCAUCCCCUCUCCGCGCCUCGGCCGCUUCCCUCCUCCUCCUCCUCCUCCUCCUCCUCCUCAUCCCCUCGCCGUCAGUCUCUCUCUCUCUCUUCGUGUCUUCCAUGGAGUUCGCUUUUUACUGUAUUCAUGUUGCGGAUUCUUCUUGAACGAAUCCGAAUGUUUUGCCCGAAAAUAUGCUUCCUUUCUUAUGUUUCGCGGGCCUGCUUCUUCAAUCUCACGACGAUUUCUCAUGUUCUCCUUCUUCUUCUGCGCCUGCGUUUUUUUGAAUUGAGGAGUUGUUGGUUGAUGAUUGGAUAAUGUGAUGCUGUCGCCCAAAUCCAAACCCCUCGCUCGCGCGCGCAGUCGCCCAAAUCUCCCCCAAACCUCAACUCAAACCGCGAAUGGAAGCCUCGCUGGCUAUGUAAAUGUGUUCGGACGACUUGUUCAUUAGUUGGGGACGAAUGGUUGUUCCGCUCUCACAUCUAUAUCCGUCGGUUGAAGUGUCUGCUAGCUGUUUGUGAAAAUGCCCAAGCGAACUUUUGCGAAAAUUUCCCUCUGGAUUUACAUAUCUGAACUCCAUUGCGUAUCCAAAUCGUAAUGAGCGCUUUUGAUUCAUUCAUUUAGUCUCGGUUUUUCAUCUUUGAAUCCGAAAGCAAGAACAACGUAAGGAUGUUUGUUUCUCUGUUUUAUGUGCUAUGUCUUGUGGCCUUAAAUGCCGGUGGGAGAUAUGGUCUGGAAUCGUUGAUACGCAUGGUGAUUUUCUCGCUGGUGGCACCCCAACUUCUUUUAUGUUCAUGUACCAUGUGUCUCGGUGAUCUAUGACCUGUAUACGUUGUAUCCGUUGAAUGGUUGGAAAUCGUCACGGUGGACGGUGGUGGUGCCUGGUGACUCCGGCAGUGGCUUGAUAAUGAUCAUAAGUGAACGAUAGUGAUGCUCAGUUGAAAAAUAUGGGCCGUAAUGCCACUUCAUUGAACUCAUCAGUGACAAAAAAAUAAUAAUAAUAAUAAUAAAUAAAAAAACAGCCACAACACUACUUCCUAUCACUAUUUCUUUACGUUGGAGUUGCUUCCUCUCCAUAUUUUUCUUCUUUCUUGACAGGCUUAUUGCUUUAACUAGAAAUUCAAUUGCAGCUGAUUAUGAUGUUGAUUCAAUCUGUAUUUCUAUAUCAACUUUCUGUCCCUUACCUUGUCUGGCACUUCUACUCUUAACCUGAUAUUAUAAGAUUUCAUUAGUUAAAAAAAAUUGACGUUCUUUGUAGCUUUCUGUUUGGCCAGCGGAUGAAUUUGUGUCAUUUUACAUUCUUUGCUGGCGCACUAUGGUUUUGCUCAUUUAUCCAUACGAACUGGGAUAUAUAGAUGCCUUGUAUACAUGAGCACAGCUGCAAUUUCAAAAGCUCUGUUCUAUUGUUGAGUGAUCCAAAUCAAAGUGAAAGAUGUCAGCCUUCUCAUCUCUGUAGCCCAUACACCAUUACUGCUUACUAGCUAUUUUGGCGACAAUAUAGUUUUAGUUUUCCAUUGCGGAACAGAGUUGGUACAUCAUCUAGUCUUCAUUUUACCUCUACUAAAGCUUUGCUGUGGCAAAUGCAUCAACUUGCAAUGUAAGACUAAGUUGUCUCACUGGCUGAUUGGCUUUUGGCCAGGAGCUUGAAUUGUUGCUUCGGUCAGACAUACGAGUUGCUGGGGCCAAGGUGAGAAAAAAAUGCUGAAAAGUAGAUUUUUAGUCAGGAGGCUUCAGUUCAAUAUAACUUUUGGUUCACCGUAGACUUUAGAACUAAACUUUUCUUAUCUUCAUGUGCUAAAGGAUUUACAGUUCAUGUAUGCAAAGCAAGAUAGAUAGGAUGCCAAUGCUCAAGACAAGUCUGUACAAACAACACACAUCUGUCGUGCGUGUAUGUGGAAGUAAUUAGACCAGAAAACUUCCUGACAAGUUGAUUGAUCAUCAAAUUACGCAUCCCCAAUUUGAUACUCCAUUCAUAACAUAGAGUACGCAAGUCUUGCACUUCAGAAAUAUGUUUUUUUAUCUGCUUUUACUGCAGUGAACAGCAAUCUUGGAUGUCAACUGUAGCAGUGAGUCCAAUUGACUUGCAUAAGAAGGCAAGUUGAAACAUCAAACAGAAACGUGUUCUCCUGACUCCCGAAUUCUUUUCAUCUUGGUAAGUGCCUCCCCAACUCUGCAACUACAUGCACUUUACUUGCGGCUCUUCAAGACCAGCAUUGCAUGUCUUUUCUUGAGUACCUGCAACUAUGUGCUCAUUAUUUCCACUUUUUUUCUGCAGAAUUGCAAUUUUUAUUUUUUAUUUUUAUCUAGUUCAGCAAUAGCAGAAUCUUCAGGUACUUCCACUAUUCUAGCAACCUGUAGUAGAAAUGUUUGGUAUUAGCGCAUUUUGUUUUAAUUAUUACUUAUUGCAGAUGAUAUAUAUUUGAUGCUAAAAAUGAAUAUGGCUAUUCACCACAUCACGUGGCAGCAUCUUGUAUCAAUUUAUUGGCUAUAAGUCUGUUUAGUAAGAGAGCACUUCUGUGAUGAAAGCGCACCGUGGGUAAAACUCAUUUGAUAUGAGUUAACAAUGGGGAAGGGUAAGCACCCAGAUUUGGGUCCCUUAUCUUCUCACAAAGGUCACAAAAGAACUCACUGGUAUCAUCUUCGAUGAACGAAGCAUAAGUGUGAGUUGGUGGAAGUUAAUGGCAAUCUUUUACUGUAGUUGAAGGCAAUCUGUGAUGAUAUUUACUGCAGACACUGCAUAGGAAGCAUAGUUCGGAAGAUCUAAAUUAAGAAAGAGUACAUGCUCGUGGAGGUGAUGUUUCAAAGUAGACCUUUCAAAAGUGCAUGGAAUGUUGAAGUCGUUGUCACUUUCCAUGCAGCGAAAGACAGAGCGUCAGCAUUCUUCAUGGCAUAUGUCAACAGCGCUCCUUCUUGAUGCAAGAAAAGAGCAGUCCAGGUUCAGCCAGUGAUAGAUGCACGCAUUACGAGCCUUGCACGCACCAUCCUUUGUAUGACAGUUCCAGCAGCAGAGGAUGAUCCGGCAGAGGAGAAAAAAGAGGCAAUCAAGCCAACCAUGGACCUCACCUGGUCUGUUCUUUUUACAAGCUUUGCACCUGAUUUUGCUACCGAGCUUCAUGAGGAAGACCAAUGGAUGCUGAUGGUCGAAGUGGUAGAGUCCUUCUUGCCCUCUAGAUCUCGCGAACAUAGAGUUAAAGCUGCGUCCAUGUUGAGGCUGAAUUUGCAAUCGCUGCAGUAGGAGACCAUGGUAAGUAGGGGUGUGCAUGGUCCGAGCGGGUGGUUCCCGACCUAGAAACGGGAACUGCCUGCUAAGAACCGCUUUCGAAAAAUUGGAACCAGGAACCACCUGCUAGUUGCGUGGAUCCAUCCGGGGACCAGACCACCGGUCUGGUCCGGUUCCUAGGUGGAUCCAUAGAACUGGUCCAACCUCCAUGCCUUUCCCUUUUCGCCUUCAACCGAUCACAACUCUCGCUCCGCUUUCGUCUUGGCCACCACCACCAUCUUGGCCACCACCUCUGUCGUCUCCCCCUCCUCCCUUGAGACCAACAAUGAGGACAGUGGGGACGAUGAGCCAUUCUUAGACUUAGAGUUUGCUCGUCUCUAAAGAUGAGGAUGAUGGGGAGGAGCCUGAGGAGGGGGAGGAGGAAGAGGGGAGGUAGAAGCGGGACAAGUCCAACAACAAAGAGGACGAUACUGACAGUGAAUGCGAAGAUGGCAACAACGUGGAGAGGGAGUUCAAAUUCGAGGGAAGAAAAGAGAAUUAACUCAUUAUUUCGCCAAGUUCAGAUAAGGACUCAAAGGGAGAUGAGUAGAUCCGGAGGUAAAUCGAAGCGGAAGAGGGAUCUCGGGAAGAUUUUGAACUGAAAGAGUCAAGAUGGAGUAGGAAAGUAGUGAAUUGAGACAAGAUGGUUAUUAGAGCCCUAAAUUUUAGAUUUGCUAAUUUCGAAUUAUUUUAAUAUUAAAAAUUAAUAUAUUAUUAUAAUAUAACUUAUCCAGUUCGGGUGGGCGGGUGGGUGGAUCCACCCAUGGAACUGGGAACCGGACCAGUACUCACUGGUUCCCAUAAAUUGGAACCGGGAACCGGAUUGAUUCCCUUAAGAACCAUUGGUUCCGGGCAGUUCUGAUCUGGUUCCGGGCGGUUCGGGCGGAUCCCGGUUCUUUUACACACCCCUAAUGAUAAGCAUUUGAGGGUGUCAAAAAAUGGGUCAGUCAAAAUGGGUCCAUGACCCAUUUUUUGACUCAUAUUCUGAGAAGUGGGUCAUUCAAGUUAUUCAAACUUUUAAGGGCCAGGCCUAAAUGGAUUUAAAAAGACUUAAAGUUCGGGGCGACAACAAAAUUUGGGGGCUCGGUGGUGGCGUUGUGGGGCUGGGACAGAGGUGAGACUGUAUCAACUGAGUUGGAAAUGCAACGAAGUAGAGUACUCAUCUUCCUUCUCUCAGCACAGCAACUGGUUGAUGGUCAGGCCUCCAAUCAAUGUGAAUAACACCACCUUGUUUCUCUCCUGUCCUUGUGCUUCUAGAUCUACUCCGCUUCUCUGCACGCUUUGCACUCCUAGAUCUUCCUUCACUUCUCUAUCUCUCUGCAUUGUGUUAAGAGAGAGCCUUGAAGUCGAACUCUUAUUGAGAAUUAAAGAGGUAGCACGUUCAUUUGAAGACCCAAUUUGUCUCAAGCCCCAAUUCUAAGCCCAAUAAAAACCACCCAUGGGCUGUUCUUUUUUUUUUUUUUAUCGAUAUGGCCGAAAUUACCCCAAAAAGAGAAAUAUAUAUGUGGGCAAAGUGAGUUGGGUUGGGUUGGGUUGGGUCGGGUCCAGUGGAGGUUGAAUAUGGGUUGGGAAGCGCACCAAUUCAUGAGAGCAAGGGUAUUGCUUUUCAUCGAGUAAGAUUCAUCAUUCCUCACCUCGUAAAAAUAUCAACAAAUAUCGAUCCACUUAGAAAAUUAGAAAGAGUAAAGAAAAUACAGAAAAAAAGAGAGUAGUUAUACGUAAAUGCAUCGUAAAUAAUGGCUACUAAUGAACUUUAAAUGAGUGGAUAUGAAUUUUCAUAGAUUUAGUUAAAUAUAGACGCGUUUUAGUAAUUCAAGCAUGGGUCGGGUUUGGAUUAUUGGAUUUAUACUACACGUAAACGAGUCAAAACGGAUUAAAUUGGUCGAUUUGAAUCCAACCAUUUUUUGACUCCCUACCUACCUAUAUGACAGCCCUAGUAAGCAUUACGUUUAGCUCCUCCAAUUGAUCAAAAGCAAGAGAGUGAGGGUGAUCAUGGAGAGACGGGUGUUGCAUCUCUGUGAAAGACUCAAUGCAGCUUUUGUGGAGAAGGAAUAUGAACACAUAGCAUCCAUAGACUCGCCCCAAUAUCGCUUGCUCGUAGGCUUUGCAUAUGAUUCUUUUCAUCCUGAGAUGAUGGAAUUUAGUGGAUGCUCUUGAGCAUUUGUUGGAUGGUCACAUUCUGAGAAUCCUCAUCGGGGCUUAGUUGUGACAAGGCAAAUGAAGCUAUAUUGGCCGUGCAAUAACAAUCAACGUGCCUGAAUGGCAAGAGAAAACUUUCAUAUAUAAAAACGAAAUAUUAAUUAGAAUGUACAGUACUAGACUGGUGAGGUCACAUAUUUUCUUGUGUCGUGACAUAUUCGUCAACCAUCGCCUACGACCCACCACCGGUGAAAGGAAACAAAAGGGGGAAAAAAAACAGAAAAAGGAAAAAAAAAGCAAAAAAGGAGGAAAAAAGAGUGAAUUUUUUUAAAAACAAAUUAAAUAUAAUUUUUUUUAAAAUGUUGUCCACAGUAGUGUCAGUACGCCACAUAGGAUGACCGGUUGGGACUAGUGUUUUCCAAUCAAAAUUGAGUGAAAAGAUUAUUUGACAAAUUGUCUAAAGUUUGAGGAUUGAAUUAGCAAGAUUAAAAAGCUUAGAUUUUUUUUUUUUGCCUAUAAAGUUUAGGAUUAAAUUAGUACAAGUGUAAUAGGUUUAGAAUUUUUAGUAUUUUUCCUAAAAAUAAUGGAGGAAAGUAUCAUCCACAAACGACUUGUGACAACAAUGACUCGUUUAAUGUAAUUUCUUUGCAACAAGACUUAGUCAUCAAAUGUUCCACUUAUGCACUUCUCGUUCCUUCCCUCUUUCACUUAUUUCUCAUUAGUCAAUCAGUCGUUGUCCCUUUCACAUGCCAUUUGCCAUUUAUCUCUCCUCUUUAAAAGUUUCCACAAAUAUUCCUCCUCAAUACCUUCUUGUUUUUCUCUUUCCGGAAAAGAUGACAUUUAUGAUUCAAUUUGGAUGAAAUAAGAAUUAUGAUGCAUUACAAAUUUUUCUCUUUCUCAAUACCUUUUUUUUCCCUCUUUCUCGAAAGAAUGACAUUUGUAUAUUUCUUUUGCUAAAUUUUCAAUACAUCAUACUAAUCAGGUCUGACCUGAUUUGAAUGGGAUCACAUUUUUUUUUUUUGGGAAAAAGGAGAUAGAAUUCUUUUUUUUUUUUUGGGUCAUAUUUAUUCUCUCCCACUAGACCUCUCUUCAAUAACUUCUCUGUCUCCUUUAGUCUCAGAUCUCUCUCUCUCUCUAUGCAAGCACUGGGUAAUUUCCAUGACAACGAUUCCAUCUCUCUCUCUGAGAGAGAGUUCCCAAGAGACUUCGAUGUUAACGUAGGAAUGGGACCAUGGGGAGUCAUGUGAUGACCCUUACCAUAUGGAUAAAUAUGGGACCAUAGUGAAAGUUCGAACAAAAAAAAUUCAAGAUGGAAUGGAAAUCGAAAUUAAAGCUGGGAAUUUUUUUAGGGAAUUAGCCCAUAAAAAAUCAUGAUUCCAUCAACAGUUCAAGAUAUCUUAAACUGAAGAAAAUGCGAUCUCUUGUCAAGAUGGGAACCUAUUUUCGUAAUAUAUCACCAGAAAAAAAGAAAUGUUCAACUGCUUUUAAAUAUUUUGAACGGAUUUAGUACAUCCAACAAUUACAAAAAUAGGUGAGUUCAUGCUUAAAACAUGUAGCACUAUAGAUGGGUAUUUUGAGAAAGGGAUGAACAUAUGUUAUUGUAAUAUAAAAUUGAUAAGAUUAUACUGAAAUAGAGAAACAAUAACGACAUAUUGCUAUAUGUUUUUAUUUUGUUGAUUUUGUGAAUAAGAUCUGUCAUUGACUUUUGUCAUCCGGCAAUUGUAUAAAAACAAGGAAAACAACAUCACCGUACUCCUGCAUAGAAGAGAUAGCCUCAAACGUAAACCAAUGUAAACAUAUUAUCAAAAUAUUUCUUCAUCUAUGUACUUGAUAAAAUGGUGAGUUGGUUACAAAAUCAAAAGUUCUGAAAUUCAUAAAAAAAAAUGAGUGUAUAUAAUAUGUAUUUCCAAACUCAAUUAAUCCCCACAAAUAUCAUUCCGGACAUAUACAAGUAUCUAAACUCAUAUCAAAAUCCAACUAUAAAAUUUUCUCGCCAAUAACUCUCAUGUCCUACCUUAGUUGAAGAACUUGAAAAAGAUUUGACAUAGAUAAUGUGAGCAACCACAACUCAGUGACUAACACAAAUCUUCUCUAAACAAAUGGAGCAUCCACCAUGCAUAUUAUGAAGUACUACUAGAGACUCAUUUAUCCACAUCCAAUAUAUAAUGUACAGUAAAAUACAAAUAUGAGCAAUAUCACUUCAACUCGGCUUUAUACUCAUUGGAAAUAAUUCAUUCAAAUUUCAAGUACCGAAAGGAUAGUAAACGCUCCAUUCGGCUUUGUGCAAUAAAUAUGUUUUAAACUAUACUUUUUUGUUUUAACAAAAUCAUAUCAUACAAAGCCUUUCUUAACAUAUAAUAUAUUACUUUUAAAACAUGAGUUUACAAAUUUAUAGAAUAUCACAACUUACCCCGAACCAAAAUCCAAAUCGAAAGUUACACCGCUAAAAAAAGUUUCAAAAUCCUAUUGAAGGCGACACCAUAUUCAAACUUACGUGUCAACGAACCUCGACUAAAACUUUAGUAGGCGAUGCCAUAUUCUUGAGUCAAAUCAUUCACUCAACAAAAGAGUUCUUAACAACUACUUUGCAAAUAGAGUCAACCUCAUUUCAGAACUCAAAUUCGAGCGAGCUUACUAUCAACAGAAAACUCUUUCAAAUUAUUAAGAGACCAUAAAGCCAAAAGAUGGCCAGAGAAGGGCAAAGUCCAUUGCCAAUCAAAGUAAUUGGAAAAUUGUUUCUAAUAGCGUGCAAAACUUUAAAAAUUUAUCAUGAUUAAAUCAUAAACCUAAAUCAACUUUCAUGAAGUCCUGCUACGCAACACCCUAAAAUUUCUUUACAACAUAAUUUCACAACUUGAAAACCUCUAAAAUCAACCCGGCAACAUAGAAUCCAUACAAAACCUAAUUUAUAGAUUAACUACAAAAACUUCUUCCAUUAGAUAAAUAGAAGUUUCGAAUCCUUACCAAUUGCCAUGAAACAAAAUAAUCAGGCUUGACCAAGCAUCUCAAACGUGCAUGCACUAAGAGCCCCCUUUAUCUUGAGAAAAUAUUUGAUAUACUAGAGAGGCUAAUUCAACAAAUCACCGGUCCAUUCAUUGGGUGAUACAUGUAGCGUUGAGCCUAUCUUCCAUUAAUUUUUCUCUCUCCGUCUUUUUCUUGGUUUCUCUAGACUCUACUUUACUUUUUUUUUUUUUUUUUUUUGGGUUCUUCUUAGUCAAACUCUGUUUUCUUUCUUUCUCUCUCUCCUUGCCCUAGAAAUGCCCUUGUGACGGCAUCAACUAGAGCAAGACCGAAGCAAGACCAAAGAAAGGGCUUAACCGUUACACUUGGGGCUGGGCUUACUGUUUUGCUCUUAUUUAUUACGGUUUGCAAGCCUAGUUAUUGAAACUUUAAUCAUGGACAAAAAUCUUUUAGGUUGUCAUGUAUUGAUGCUAAACCAUGUGGAAUGAGAAUAAGGUCACCUUGCCUGAUGGUAAGAAAAUUGAAUGGGGUGAGGCAAGUGGGGUGAUGACAUUUAGUUUCAGGUAUGAGAUUCGACUUUUUUUUUUUUUUUUUGGUAAGAGCAAGCAAUAUAUUAAUAGGGGUCAAACUGUACAAACAACAUGGCUCCAAAAGCUUACACUCAAAAUGAACACGCUCAUUAAGAGUGAAAGGAAGCCGCGGACAAGCAAACAAAACGACCUACAGCAAGCCAACGGCAAAACAAGCCUGGCAAAAACACCUAAACAACCACCGAAAAGCCUAAGUCAGACUAUAAUCAGAGGAAGCGAAAAUAAUGGGGUCCACAUCCCACGAGCGUUGCAUCCGCCUGUUCCUAGGAGAGUCCUCAACAUUCUCAAAGGUUAGGGCCUUAUCCUUAACAACCUUGAGGAGAUGCUUCUUCAUGGCCGAAAUAGAUAACGGCUCCCCCCUGAACAGAAUAUUGUUCCUGUUUCUCCAGAUGAUGUGACAUAGCGCCCCAAAGGAGAACCGGGCAACACGCUUAUAAAACUCCUUGCCGCUGAGCAAGGUAAUGGCCCAACUAAGAGUCUCCUCCCAAGUCCUGUUGGUCCAGGGGAGAUUGCAUCUAGUAGCCCAGAAAAAGGCAAUACUCGAGGUAAUGUGACAACCAAAAAAGAGAUGAUUGAUUGAAUCAGGCACCUCGUUGCAAAAAGGGCAGGAAGCAGCAUCAAUCUUACCAUAAGACAUGAGAAGAGACUGAGUAGGUAACCUCCUCUUGGUGAUGAACCACAGGUUUAGUUGGUAGCGAGGCAGGAUGGCAUUACUCCAAAUGAAACAAUGCCAAUUGACUCUGGCCUUCUUCCUCCUUAAGGCCUCCCAAGCCGAGGCCACCGAGAACAAGCCCGUCGAGUCCUCCCUCCAACAGAACCGAUCUUGGGUUCCAGACAAGGAAGGAAGCGGCGAACCCCAAGACUCAUUCUCUGAUCUGAUAGCUUGUCCAUCCUCAGAGAAGAGAUCGGCAACCAAAGCCUGCCUAGAGAGACCGGAGCUAUAGAUGAGGGGAUCCGUGAAAUAUAAAUUCAAAGGACCCCUGGGAUGCCAAUUGUCAAACCAGAGUAACGUUGAUAAUCCAUCGCCUACCCUCCAAUGGAAGUGAAGCCGGCAAUCUGUCCUGAGUUGUAAAAUUUUUUUCCAUGCCCAAGAGCAGCAGGUUGGCUUUUUAACUACCCAAAAGUUCUUGGUUUUUAAGAAGGUCGAGUGGACCUACUUACACCAUAGCGAUUCUUUAUCUGAAAAUAGAUUCCAGAUAUGCUUGAGCAUGGCCGCCUUAUUACACUCACGCAAUCUCCGGAUACCAAGACCUCCCUCCACUUUAGGAAGGCAUACAUCUUCCCAUGAGACUUUGGCACCCCCCUGCCCAACUCAGGUCCCUUCCAAAGGAAUUGUCUGAGAAUGCGCUCUAUCUGGUCCAGUACAGCUGCAGGAAGAAUAAAGACACUUGCCCAAAAAGCCUGAAUGGCAUGGAGGACUAACCUGAUCAGCUGAAGUCGGCCAGCAAAAGAAAGAAACCGAUGAGUCCAGGACUGCACCCUGGAGGUGAUGCGCCUCACAAGUUCAACGCAAUCUGCCUUCCGAGGCCUCGAUGUGAUAAUUGGAACCCCAAGAUAACGGACUGGAAGGUUACCCUCAACAAAGCCAAGCUCCAGGAGGAUUUGAUUUUUCAAGGUCGGCAAGCCUCCCGAGAUGAACACCUCGCUUUUCCUUGGGUUUGGGAAAAGUCCGCUCCAAGAAGAAAACAUAUGGAGACCAUCCCUGAGAAGCUUCACGGAUGGCAGGUGGCCCUCGCAAAAUAGAAAGACAUCAUCCGUGAAAAACAAGUGCGAGAGGCAAGUAGUCUUACAUCUCCAGUAGAAUCUGAAAUCCGGCUGUAGCGAGCACCUCCCAAGAAUCCCAGAGAGCACCUCCAUAACCAACGUGAAUAAGUAGGGAGAGAUGGGGUCUCCCUGACGUAAGCCUCGCCCACUAGGGAAGAAACCAUGUAACUCCCCAUUCAAAGAUAUUGGAAAACCGAGGAGUCCUCACACAGGUCAUGAUGAGGUGAACCAAUUGAUCAGGAAAUCGAAAAGCAAGUAGUACACUCUCGAGAAACCGCCAAUCCACGGUAUCAUACGUCUUUCUGAAGUCGACUUUGAUAGCACACUUGGGAGAAUAGGGUUCGAUAUGGAACUUAGAGAAAAGUUCCUGCGCCAAGAGAAUAUUAUCCCUAAUUCGUCGUCCCUUGACGAAGGCACUCUGAGACGGAUUGACAAGGUCUUUUAGCACUGCUGCAACCCUAUUCGCCAUCACUUUGGUAAUAAUCUUGUAGACCGUGUUGCAACAAGCAAUAGGCCUGUAAUCAUCAACGGUAGUCGCAUUGGGAACCUUCGGAACCAUGACCAAAAUGGUGUUAUUGAUUUCUCUGAGUAGUCUCCCCGAUGUGAAAAAGUCCUUGACGGCUUCCGUGACCAGCUGACCCACCGUAUCCCAAUUCUCCUUGAAGAACUCAGCCGUGAAGCCAUCCGGACCUGGUGCCUUACCUCUGGCAAGGGAAAAAAGAGUAUCUCGAAUCUCUAGAUCAGACACAGGGCGAGCAAGAAAAGAAAUCUGAUCAUCAUUCAGCUGGGUGCGGAUAACUUCCCGAAUCUCCGAUACCUGAGGGGUGUCCAGCUCCAUCCUUGGCUUAAGGAAAUCAUGAAAAUGCUCCACAAAAUGCUGUUGGACCAAUUGAGGCUCAGUGAUUUGGUUACCUGAGGAAUCCACAACAGAGAGAAUUAUGUUUCUCAGAUGUCUCUUACUGACAUACUGGUGAAAGAACUUUGUGUUCCGGUCACCUUCCUUGAGCCAUCUUAUACGAGCUUUCUGUCUAAAGAAUGACUCUUCCUGAGACCUAAGCUCCACUAAAGUACGCCGCUGAGCUCUCUCCAGGUCCGCGAGGACCAUGCUAGUAGGGUCAUUGAGGAGGCCCACUUGAGUUUGCUUUAAGGCUUCCCUCACUUCAGAAAUCCUUACAGAGAUGUUGGCGAAGGAAUCUCUAUUUAACUGCUUGAGCCGACCCUUCAAGAUCUUUAGUUUGCGCACCAACCUAAACAUGAGCACUCCAUAACCCGGAUUCUCCCAAACUUGCUUCACAAUUGAGUCGAAAUCCGGAUGCUGCAUCCAGAAGUCGAAGAACUUGAACGGCCUUUUCCGAAGGAUCGGGUUCUCCACCUUUACCACCAUAGGUGAGUGGUCGGAAAUCCCAGGCACAAGGAAGGACGCUUCCGAAAAGGAAAAAACUUGGCUCCAACAAGGGUUUACCAGGACUCUAUCAAUUUUUCUCAUUUUCCGAGAGGGCCCUGAAAAGGUCGACCAAGUGUAUCGAAACCCCACAUACCGAAGGUCAUCCAGCUCCGCCUGAUCCAGACACUGCCGAAAUUCAUCGAAGCACGGCAACCAAAGGUCCGAGCCACCCAAUCUGUCCGAGGGGUCCUUUGUAGCAUUAAAGUCUCCCAAAACAAGCCAAGGUACGUCCUGCAGAGAAUAGCUUCUCGCCACCAAAUCCUCCCAAAGAGGUCGGCGAGUAGAAAAGGAAUGCUCAGCAUAAAUAACAGAGACAUAGCAGGCUACUCCGGUCUCCAACCAGCAAAGCUUCCCAAGAAUCAUCUGAUCCGAGACCGACAAAACUUCAAAGGAAACCACAGUAGGAUCCCAACCAACCCAAAUCCUACCCCGAUUAGAGUACUCAGAAUUAGCCUGCCAGCACCAAUUCGAAAUCAAGUUCCCAGAAAUGGCAUUGAAGAGGUUAUGAGGAAUUUUAGUCUCAACUACCCCGAUCAAAGCCAACCGGUUCAUCAAAGCGAAGUUCCUCACUUCCGCUUGCUUGAGCGGGGCACCAAGCCCUCUAAUAUUCCAGCAACCUAUAUACAUAUAUAUACAAAAGAAGAGGGCAAGAGCAUUACCUCCUUUUAGAGGAACUACGCCUAGUAAUAGGCGGAGCUGUCCGGAUUGUCGAAGGAGGAGGAUCCGGGGCAAGAGCAAGCAGGUUGUCCUGUGUAGUCGAAGGACGAUGCUUCGGCGUCUCAGUAGGCCUCUCCUCCUCUACAGAUGCCUUCGGUGAAGUGCAAGGGGAGAGGAGGUCAUCCUCCAACAAAGAGAUGUAUGUGCCCCCUACACCCUCCAGGCGGGGCACCGCAGUGUCUACCGGCACCGAAGUGGUGAUAGCUUCAGCCGAAGUAGUUGGAGCAGUAUCACCCUGCUCCGAGAUAAUCAAAGGCCCCCUAGGGGGUCUUCGUGAAUAAGUACCAGGCAGCCUCUUCUCCACAGCCGUAGUCUUGAGAUUCAAAGACCUCUCUCCUUCACUAGGACUGGGUAACAUCCCUUCCAAAGGUUGAGCCUUGUUCUUCUUGCUCUUCACUUGCUUCCAGCCUUGCUCCGAGUCUUCAGGAGUCUCAGCGGGUUGGUCAAGGGGGCGAGUAGUGUCCAAAGGAGCAGGAAGAGGCCGAACAGGGGGCGGGCCAACAUCACAUUUAUGUCCAAAGACCCCACACUUGGAGCAUUCAAGGGGCCUCCAUUCAUAGUUCACAGCAAUGGACCUAGUGACCCCAUCAACAUUCACUUCCACUGUCGAAACUCUUGGCCGAUUAGCUUGGAUCUCCACGCAUACUCUGGCAAAGGAAAUCAUCCUCGUGCCCUCGGUUCGUUGAUCCACAUAAAGGGGUUUGCCAACGGAGCUGGCUAUAACACUAAUCGCCGAUGCGGACCACAGGUCAAGGGGAAGGUUCUUGAGUCUUAUCCACACCGGAACAGAGGUUUGCUUAGCCUUCUUCAACUCCAUAAGGGGUUUCCAUUGUUGUAAAAUAAGGGGCAUCCGAGCUACAGUGAUCGGUCCCUCCUCUAGGAUCUUCCUCCUGAACUCCGGGUCCGGGAUAUGGAAAUAGUAGAACUCUUGGUCAUCCGCCAGCAUAUCAAUUAGCUUUGUCCCCCAAAUAUUCUUCAAAGUCUGUUCGAUCAUCUGAAAAGGAAGCUUCCUCCCAAUAAAAUAUCCUACCAAGAACUCAUUCCAUUUGGGAUCUGCAACCUGCAGCACUUCUCCCGACAAAUUUACAACCGCUUUCUCUCCCACAACAGCAGCAGCAGGAGGAAUAUAUGAAAGGCCGUAGCCCUUUGUGGCCAACCGUGCCACAUUGGCCCACGAACGGGCUUGGGGGGGCCUUGACGAGCUUACUGGCUUGUUCGGGGCUCUCUUAUUAGGAGCCCGAACUUGACUUCGACCCCGAGAACGGCCUUCCCGAAGAGGCUGAGAGAUUGGCCCACGUCUCGAGCCAUCCCCUGCCACAGAAGACUCUCCUACGGGUCGGGAUUGCUGGCCCGGCUUGCUAGCUUGCCGGUCCACAGCCUUAUGAGGAGGGGAGCUCGGCCCCUUGCCCCUGCUACCACCUAGUCGAGGUUCCACCGAAGUAGAGGCCAUCGAGCCACUAAGACAACAAAUCAACAGCCAGAGAGGAGCUCCAUACCAGGCCAAGCUUCGAAGAGGAGGGAUACUUGAACCACCCCAGCCACCUCAAGACCAAAGUCGAGCAGGCCACGAUCCCGAGCAGCUCCCGCAAGUCUCGAACUAGGGCUGAGUGGAGGUCUGAGCGUGAGCAGCUCCCGCAAAGGCUACGAACUAGGGCCGUCACGAUCCAGAGCCGAGACGGGUCGGUGCGUGAGCCGAGGCGGGUCCGAGCGUGAGCCGAGAGGGACCCCCCAGCCGUCCCGAGCCAGAGCCGAGACGGGUCCGAGCGUGCGCAGCUCCCGCAAGACCGUCGAACCAGAGCCGAGGAGGAGCGGGAAGAUGGAGGAAGGAGAGGGGAAGAAAAACCCCCAAAAAUCGGAGCAAGAGGGAGGCCGAAUCGUCCAAGCCGAGCAGGAAACCAGUCGGCGUGAACAGUGCACGAUCGCCUGCUCUUGAGAGAGGAGAUGAACAGUGACGCGAGAAAACAGAUGACCCCCUUGGUAUGAGAUUCGACUUUCGCAUUUUGCUAAGAAAGAAAAGAGAAUUAGGUUCCGUUUGUUUCGGUUGAUGCAGUGGACUUCAUCAAAGAAUUCAAGUAGGACAAUAAAGUUUUUUUUUUUUUACCCAAGAAAAAAUAAGUAGGAAAGUUCAAAGGCCUUUCUCCACACUCCAAUCGUGGGGUGAAGAUAGGGACAUCAGUGCAGUUCUUUUAUUCAGAGUGGCAUUUGGAACUUAGCAGCUACAUAGGAAAAAGUUCUCCAGACACGGUCUGUAGAGAGUGGACCUUUGGGCGGGGGAGUGGUUGCAAUUGCAGAGGUUGAGUGCAUGAGAGGGGGGGGAAUGGCGCAUUGGGUUGCCCCACCCUUGGUGGUGUGAGGAAGGACGUUUUGANNNNNNNNNNNNNNNNNNNNNNNNNNNNNNNNNNNNNNNNNNNNNNNNNNNNNNNNNNNNNNNNNNNNNNNNNNNNNNNNNNNNNNNNNNNNNNNNNNNNGGUUUUUGGGACGGUCCGGUUUUCAUCCAGAAAUUGGGAACUGGACCAGUGGGACUGAUUCCCCAUUUUUCGGACCCAGGAAUUGAACCAUUGGUCCCAUAACCGGAUGGUUCGAAUCGGAGUGGGUAAUAGAAUGGUGGCUGGCGACCUGGAAGCAUGACCGUCAUGACGAGCUGCGGUGAGGGAUGAUGCCGGGAGCUGCAAAGUCAGCAAGAAGCCUCGUCGAAAUUGGCGUGGGCGGACUAGUGGAGGGGAAAAGCCGUUCCGUUGAUUCUGCUUGCUGUUGUUGUUGGGGCUUUGCCGACGUCAGAAGGACACGACAGAGCUGGGUUUUCAAUGCUAAUCUCGGGCAAUCGGUAGCGCGGUGGCAGGAAAUGCAAGAACAAGCUUCGGUCCCGACGUCUAGCGGCUGGACUGGCGUGUCGGAAUGGAAUGCGGGAACACUCUGAAUAAAAGAACCACCAAUGAUGUCUCUGCCUUCAUCCCUUACCGCGCCAUGGAUCUUACCUCUAUCGUCUCUAUCCUGGUCAACUUCAUCCAAGUGGAAUUCCAGGGGAAGUCGAUUUCACCCUUUGAAACCCACCCCGUUGCCAUCGGUGUUGCCAUCUACAGCCUGCUUCUGCAUUUCCUGUUGCUGCAUCUCGCUGAUCGGGCACCCCCGUCUAGCGGCUGCGCUCCUUGUGAUGGAGCAUCAUCGCACCUCCUCAUUGACUUCACUGGUUCGAUAUCAGUGGCUUCGCUCGCGUGGUUGCUGCUCCACGACUCCUCCCAAUCUGUCCCCUGGUUGUUCGUGCUUCUCCUGUUGCUUUCCGUGAGUCUGUUGCGCGGCCUCAUUCAAAAACUUUGGCUUUGGUUUUACGAAAAAAUUUUGCCAUGAUAUUCCGUGUGGCGCCGUCUCGUCUAUGGCAUGGUGGAAGAGCGCAGUCACAUCCGCCGCACCCGGUCAUGGAUCUGCGUUAAUUGCUGGAAGUCUGAGCGCCCUAGUUGUUCGACUGACUGUUCCCUGCUUGGAAAAACUAAUUUUAAUCGUAUGACCACUUUAAAGCUAAGCUAGUUUUGUAUAAGAUGCAGUUGGGCCUUUCUUCUGUUUAUCUCAAAACAUAAGGAGUCCCCAAGCCUUCGGCAUCAUUGAAUUAUCUCCCGACUACAAGAAAGGAGAGCAGGGAACAAGCAAAAACCACCUAUGUAUCGUUCCUAUUCCUAGCCAUGAACGGUGAUGGACCUUAUAGAAACUAGAUCUGAUUAAGAUAAGCUAAGCUCUCAAAAGAAAUUGGGAUCUACUGUUAUCGAAAAGAUCGAAGAUAACCUCAGCAAUUGUUUCAACGAGUAGAAGGGUCUUCUCUAGUAGCCAUAUAAGGGGUAGUAAUUGUUCUUGAGGUUAAAGCUUCUGACCUCUUUGAAAACAUUGUUGAGUGUUGCAGAUUUCCUUCUUUCUCUGGUGAAUCUCUCUGUAGCUUUCGAUUUGGCCAGUGGAUGGAUAUGUGUCAUUUUACAUUCUUUGCUCGUGUAGUAUGUUUUUGCUCAUUUAUCCAUGUGAACUGGAAUAAAUUGAUGCCUUGGAGACACGAACACAGCUACAAUUUCAAAAGCUUUGAUUUAACACUAACAUCAUUGAGCAAUCCAAAUCAAAAUGAAGAUGUCAGCUUUUCCAUCUCUCUCGCAUAUACACCAUUACUGCUUACUAGCUAUUCCGAUGAUAAUAUAGUUGUAGUUUGUCAUUGAGAAUGUGGGAGUUACAUCAUUUAGUCUUUAUUUGACCUCUGAGAGGAGACAAUCUUUGUUGUGGAAAAUGCGUUAACUUGCAAUCUAAGAUUACAUUGUCUCGUUGGUUGAUUGGUUUUUGGCUAGGAGCUUGAAUUGUUGCUUGAGUCUGACAUUCAAGUUGCUGGGCCCAAGGUGAGAAAAGAAUGCUGAAAUGUAGAUUGUUUUUUUUUUUUUUAUGGGGGGAGGCGUAGGUUCAAGAUAACUGAACUUUGGGUUGACUGCAGAUGUUAGAACCAAAAUUUUCCCACCCUGCUUGUGCUAAGAAUUUACAGUUCAUGUAUGCAAAGCUAGAUAGAUAGUAUACAGAUGCUCGAGACAAGUCUGUACAAACUACAGACAUUUGAUGUCCGUAUCUGAGGAAAUAAUUAGACCGGCAAGCUUCUUGACAAGUUGAUUCAAAAUCAAAUUAUGCAUCCCAAUGUUAAUACCUUGAUAUAUGACAGAGCUCACAAGUCUUGCACGUCAAAAAUAUGAUAUUUAUUUGCUUUUUUCUGCAGAGAACAACAAUCUUGGAUGUCGACUAUAGCAAUGAGUCCAAUUGACUUGCAUAAGAACGUGAGUUGAAACAUCAAACAGAAAGGUACGUUCUCCUGACUCCCAAAUUCUUUUCUUCUUGGUAAGGGCCUCACCAACACUGCAACUACAUGCACUUCACUUGUGGCCUUUAGAGACCAGCAUUACACAUCUUUUCUUGAGUACCUACUACAUGCUCAUUCUUUUCAGUUCUAUCCACAAGCCUAAGUGCUUAUUGUGGAAAACGAUUCCCUGGAGAGUUAUCAUGAUACUAAGUCAAAUAAUGAAGCUAAGUAGGUGAUGUGCGGUAUAAUUUAAGACUGCAGGACUGUCAAAAGCUUCUUCUAAUUCAGUAGCAGAUACUUCAAGAUGUUAAUGUUAAAUGGAGGGCAAAUGUUACUGAAGAGACUGAAAGUAAUUCGUCAAUUAUUAGAGAAUAAUGGGGAGAUGUUUAGCCAUUCUUUUCGAGGUUACUUAAGAUUCCACUGGACCAAAGGAUUUGGAAGUUUUUUUCUCUACUGGAGAGAAAUAGAGGGAUGUUCAUGAAAAAUGGCACUUUUACUUUUCAGACACCAAUUUUCAUUAUCAAAUUGCCACCUGUCAAACAUUGUCAUAUGGUCGUUUUAGUCUCCAAAAUAAAGUCAAAAUUGUCUUUGAGGUUAAAGCUUCUGAAUUCUUUGAAAACAUCACGAGCAUCACAGUUUUGCUUUUCUUUUUCUGGCGAGUCUCUUCGUGACUUUCUGGUCGGCCAGUGGACCUAUAUGUGUUAUUUUACACACUCUUUGCUGGUAUACAAUGGUUUUGCUCAUUUAUCCAUAUGAAGUAGGAUAAAUAGAUGCCUUGGAGACACGAGCACAGCUGCAAAGCAGAAGCUUUGUUCUAUCAUCAUAGAGUUAUCCAUAUCAAAAUGAAAAAUGUUAGUUUUUUCAUCUGUCCCAUAUGCAUGGGUACUGCUUACUAGCUAUUCUGAUGAUAAAUUUUUUUGAGUUUGUCAUUGCAGAAUGAAGAAUGGUUACAUCAUAUAGUCAGCAUUUUACCUCUUAGAGAUGACAACUCAAUCUUUGUUGCUGCAAAUACAUCAACUUGCUUCAGCAAAUAAGAUUUAUGAGGGCAGCGAAUUCUUUUGUGAUGUAUCCUGUAUGUAUCCGGAAGCUCUUGGAUCUGAGUAAUGCAAUCUAAGACUAUGUUGUCUCACUGGCUGACAGGUUUUCGUCCAGCAGCUUUAAUUGUUGCUUCAGUCAGAGAUUCAAGUUGCCCAGGCCAAGGUGAGAAAAGAACACUGAAAUAUAGAUUUCUUUUUUCGGAGGCUUUAGUUCAAUAUAACCAAAUUUUGGUUGACCGCAGAUGUUAGAACCGAACUUUUCCCAUCUUCAUGUGCUGGAAAAGAAUUUUUACAGUUCAUGAAUGGAAAGCCAUAUAGAUAGUAUGCAAAGCUUGAGACUAGUCUGUACAAACUGCACACACCUGAUAUUCAUUUUUUGAGGAAAUAAUAAGACCAGCAAGCUCCCUGACAAGCUGAUUUAUAAUCAAAUUAUGCAUCCCCAUGUAGUACUCCAACUCAUAACAUAAAGCACGUAAGUCUCAUACUCAAAAAUAUGAUAUUUAUCUGCUUUUGCUGCAGAUAACAAUAUCGGAUGAUGAGUGUUAGCAGUGAUUCCAAUUGACUUGCCUAAGAGCAUAAGUUGAAACAUCAAACAGAAAGGUGGUCUCCUGCCUCCCCAAUUCUUUUCUUCUGGAUAAGUGGCUCCCCAACUCUGCAGUUCCGUGCACUUUGUUUAGUUCAGCCAUAGUGGGGUCUUCUGGUACUUCCGUUACUUUAAAAGAAAAAAAAAAUUUGGCCUUACCACAUUUUCUGUUGAUAAUAACUUAUUGUGGAGAAUGAGUCUAUAUAUGAUGUUAAAAAAAGAAAAAAAGAACAAGGCUAUUCAUCACAUCAUAUGGCAGCAUAGUGUACCCAUUUGUUGGCUAAAGUCAUUUUAGUGAGAAAGCACUUCUGUGAUUAAAGCAUGCUGUGGGUAAAACACAUUCGAUAUGAGUAAUCAAUGCUCCAGGGCAUUCAUUGUAGACGGAAGCACCCAGAUUCAGGUCUUUUUCCCUAAAAAAUUACAAUAGUACUCACCGGCAUCAUCUUCGAUUGAAUGUAGCGUAGAGUGUGAGUUGACGGAGGUGAUGGCAAUCUUUCAUUGUUGGUGGUAACUGUGGAAGGCAAUCAUGAUUGACAUUAAGAUUACACUGGACCAAAACGCGAAAGUUGAAUGUGCAAAAUUUACCAGACACUACACGCAGGUCAGGUGAUCUAAUAUAAGAAUGAGCAUAUGCUUGUGGAGGUGAGGUUUCAAAGUAGGCCUUUUAAAAAUGCAUGGAAUGUUGAAGUCGAAGUCGCAUUUUGUGCCGAUAAAGACAGCAUCAAUGCUUUUCACGACAUGCAUCAGUGAGUGUUCGCAUCAGUGAGUGUUCCUCCCUGAUGCGGGAAGAAGUGGAUGUGCCGGGGUGAAGGGGGUGUUGCAUAACUGAGGGCAAUUCAGCACAUGAUUGAUGGAGCAGAUGAGAGCAGCCUUGCUCCAGCAGGUCAGUUGAUCUAAUACAAGAGUGAGCAUAUGCUCAUGGAGGUGAUGUUUGAAAGUGGCCGUUUUAAAAGUGCAUGGAAUGUUGAAGUCGAAGUCACAUUUUGCGCAAAGAAAGACAGCGUUAACGCUCUUCACAACUUGCAUCAGUGAGCGUUCCUUCCUGAUACGGGAAGAAGUGGAUGUGCCAGGGUGAGCGGGGUGUCGCAUAACUGAGGGCAAUUCAGCACAUGAUUUAUGGAGCAGAAAGAGCAGCUCUGCUCCAGGCAGUGAUGGGCUGUACCUUUGGACAUAUUCAUCACAGGCCUUGCACACAACAUCCUUGACCCAGCUCCAGUGGCAGCGGACGAUUGUGAAUUGGAGAAAAGAAGCGGCAAUCCAGACAAGCAUAGACCUCACCUAGUAUGCUCUACUCACAAGCUUUGCACUCGAUUCUGGCUGUAAGCUUCACGUGGAAGGACCCCAGUAGAUGCUGACGGGCAAAAUGUCAAAAAACUGAGCCUUUCUCGUCCUCAGAUCUUGUGAAAAUAGAAUUAUAGCCACACAGUCCAUGUCAAGAGUGAAAUUGCAUUCGCUGCAGCGGGAAACCAUAUGGCAGGCACUACAUUGGAGGUCUACCGAUUGAUCGAAAGCAAGAGAGAGGGUGAUCAUGGAGAGACGAGCAUUGCAUCUUUGGGGAGAAAUUCGGCGCAGCUCUCAUGGAGAAAGAAUCUACACGUGUAGAAUCAAUAGACCUCCUCACAGGCUUUGCAAUCGAUUCUACUUUUCGUCCCAAGAUGAUCGUGUGAGCGGAUGCUAAUGAGCAAAAUGUUGGAUGGUCGCAUUCUCAUAAUCCUCAUCAGGCUCAGUUGUGACUAGGCAGUUGAAUCAAUAUCGGGCUGUGCAGUAACGCUUAACCAUCCGAAUGGCAAGAAGGGAGCCUGCUCACAUGCAUGGCAACUUCGACGAUCCUUCUCAUCGUUGGACGCAAAUUGCGCAACCCCAACAUCUCCAUAACUAGAACAAUAACAUAUAUAAUUGAGAAAGAUUAAUGCACCUGUUUUGGGAUCCAUCGAACAUAAAUCGGAAGUAGAAAAGGGAUUACUCACUCAUCAAAGGGAUCCACUGUUCUUGAAGCGGAAGCGGAAACACAAUGUUCCACCCGUAAGUCAUUCUCCUUUAUUGCCCUCCGUAUCACUGACUCAAUGAGGCGACCCCCUCAAGUGUAGCGUUAGGUAAAUGCCCCUUAGGUGAUGAUACAUGUGAGAAUUAGGGUUAGAGGAGAGACUUGAGCACUAUUUAUAGAGUUUCCAGCCAGUCUCUCUCAUUACAGGUCAGGCUCAACUUAGCCCACACUAGCCUGCCUAUAUUAGACUAAUUAAGAAACCUCUAUCUCACUUUAGACCAACCCUGUUUUACGGUAAUCGUAGAAACAAUAAAUUAUAAUAUCAAUUAAUUUAGUCCACAUUAGGAAAACUCUUACAUUCUCCCACUUAGAUUAUAUUAAUUGAAAUCGUAUUGUAUGUGCGCACAUUUGGUCCAGAGAUAAUUCUUAAUAGUCAAUCAUAUCCCAUAAAGUCUUAAACACCGAAUCAUGGCGGUAACUGCAUGUAUAUACACAGAGUCUUCCAUGGUCAUGAAUGUUCUCAACUUUAUUGAUAUGGAUUUAAUAUGGUAGUAUGGCAAAUGGAUAACAUCUCUCAUAGAGAGAUCCCAUUUGUCAAUCACCAUUCCCUUAUCUUAAGCGUCACAAAAACUUGUGUCACUAAAGAAUGUUUUAUGGUUCCAAUGAAUCCACAUAUGUCUUGUCCUUAUGGUUAACCUUUCUUUAUGUAUCACAAGACAUAUGCACAAGGCUAAUAACCGGAUGCCCGGAUGCCCCUAAUCUUCACUCAAGGUUUAUACAAUCCCUUGAGAUUUUAUCAAUAUUGAAUAACAAUACAUUCAAAAAUAUUUUAUUGAAUAUAAAAGUUGAUACAUAUCAAAUCGUUUCAAAGUGUAAUGGACACAGAUGAAACCUUUAUCAGAGUAAAGUCAAAAUAACUCCCACUAAAUAACAAUAUCUCAUGAUGCUCCUAGGCCUAUACUAAUGACAUGUCGCUUAAAUACACAUAGGCGUAUGCCUUUAAUUAGUGGAUCUGCAACCAUAUCAUCUGUGAAAAUAUAUUAUAUUAUAACGUCACCUUUCUGAACCAUUUCCUUUUGGUAAAAAAUUUUGACUACCAUAUAUUUAAACCCCUUAAGACAUCUGUAGUAAAUAAAUAAUACUACAAAUUUGUUAUCUCAAUACAACCGUAUGGGUCUAUCCAUAAAGUUAAAACGAUCAACUCCAUCAUGAGAUUCUGGAACUUAAUAGCUCAAGUAACAGCCUAAAAGAAUGUUACUAACACUAUUUACAUAGUAGAAGAUAACAUAUAACUUUAUUUACUGCACUUCCUACUAACAUAAAUAUGUAUUCGGUUAUUGAUUACAUGUUAUCAGAACGGCCAGCAAAGUUUACUUCUAAAUACCCUACUAACUGCAAUAAUUGAACAUAUUUGUAAAUUAACAUAUAAUCUCAUAUCCUCUUUAAGUACCUUAAAACCUUCUUGACAACAACCCAGUAAUCAUGUCCUGGAUUUGACCGAUAUCUGCUUAGAAGUCCCGUCACAAAGACAACAUUUAGUCUAGUGCAAAUUUAAGCAUACAUUAUACUUUUAAGUGUACUGAUACAAGGUACACCAUUUAAUUAUAUUUUCUCAAUAUCUAAAUAAGGACAAUAUGAUAGAUUUAGUCAAUCAUCCUUAACAACAGGAGCAAUUCCUGGCUUGUGAAUAUUUCCAAUAUACAAUCAGCAAAUGUCCUCCGAGAAAAUCUAAUAUAAAAUGGCAAAAACAAUCCUUGCAGACCUCAGUACAUAGGAUAUAAGAUGUCUCAAUGUCACAACUUGUAAGCAAAAUAUUAUGUACAUAAAGUAUGAGAAAAAAUAAAUUUCCUUCCACUAACCUUGCAGUAUAUUGAAUUACUUUGUUCCCAAUUGAACAAAAUAACAACACUAUGAAACUUUAAUAAUAUUGUCUGGAAACUUGCUUAAGACUAUAAAUAAUACUUUUCAAUCUACACACAAGUUUACUUAAAACAUUUGUUGCAAAAUUCUCCAAUUGAACAAUAUAGAUUUUGUAUUUAUUUGGCGUAACUUUAUAUCAAAAUAAAUUAUUAAUGCCACGUUCACUCUGAAAGAAUAUUUAAAGAAAUAAUUAUUUCUUCACUAUAAACAAUCCACCCCUCUUUCAAAGUGAAAACUUUAGUUAUCAAUUUGGCUUAAAUUCCAUAAUCUUUCUUUGAAAUUCUUUUAGUUUUGUACGCCAAUUUACAACUAAUGAACUUAUGAUCUUUAGGCAAGUAAGUUAGUUUCCAAACACUAUGAUGUUUCAUAGAUUGUAUACCGCAUGUUAUGGCAUCUAAUCACAUACUUGAUUAAAAAUAAGAAACGACGUUUAUAAAUAUGCAAUUAUAUCAACCAUAUAGUGGAUAUUGUAAUCAUGCUCUCACAAAUAAACUAUAUAGUCUGAUGAUAUAACUGAUCGUCUUUCCCUAACAAAUUUCCUUAAUAAAGCUGCAACCACUUCAUUCUGUACUUGAGAAGUUUAAGAAAUUUCAUUAUAAACUAUAUCAAGAAUAGUACCUUGAACCUUAACAAGUUUAGUCUAUGGUACAGGAGAUUCCAUAAUUAUCUGUAUAGGUAAAGACAAAAACACAGUAACCUCUAUCAUACUAUCAUCUUUAAUAGUCUGAGAGCAGCUAUCCUCUAUAAUUACGUCGAUCUUAAGAAACUUUAUAGUAUGUGAUCCCAUAAUUCUUGUAUCUGUGUCCUAAUUGCAAUAUAAGACAAGACAUAAUUUCAAGAAAUAAGGCUUUCAUCAUCUUAUAACAGUGCAGUCCGCAAGCAAACCUCUUUUCAAGAGUUCCAGAAUGGAACGAUUCAUGGACAGUAAGCAAAUUCAAUUGCUCUUUUCUUAAGCAACAAAUCAUAUGUCCACAACUUAAAAUUUGAAGCAGUAAAAACCUCAAUAAUAGUGGAGUUAUUAAUUACAGAAAAGUUGACUAAAAAACAAGCAAUGUAUAUAAUUAGUAUCAUGUGAGCACUGUGUAACUUGACAUACAAGUACACAUCCAGAGAAUUACACGUAUAAUCAUAUAAUCACUUUUGGGCAGAAUGCAUGACAUGCAGUUGUACACUCCCCACAUGAUAGCGGUUAUGAGAAUAUAUUCCAAUUUUUCGUGAAUUCAUCACUUUUGGGCAUAUAAAUCACUAGAAUCAGUCACUCCUUCACCAUACCUCUAUGAACUAAUACACAAUCUUCUCCUUUGGGAGUAUGACUACGCAUUAGAUUAGGAGACAUCCCAAUCAUUAUACGAGAUCGAAAUUUUUCAAACCCAAUCAAGUGUGCCACUUUGGCGGUCACUACUCAAUUGAAUCAUUGAAAUUCUCUCAUACCAAGGAUAUAAACUUUACUUCCCACAUACACCAUAUACAUGUGAUAUUAACUUUAAUGAUAGAGACAACAUAUCACCAAAAUCACAUAUCAUGCUAAUUACAUUACUUUAUUCAUUAAUAUAAUAUUUAUAUAUAUAUAGCGAACCUGAAAGACAGAUUACAAUGAGAUCACUGAUCACAGUGACACAAGAAAAUUCUCAUAGAAGCAAGCAUCUUGUGCACCCCGAUUACUGAUUACUAAAACAAUAUUAAAAGAAUGCUGAUCCAAAGGAUCCCUCACAAGUUAACAUCAAUAGUAAUACAGGAUACUCCAGAUUGACAAGCUUGAUAACUAAUCAACUAUUGCUCAUGAGUUUCAUACGGCAAAACAUGAUUGCAAGGCCAACAACUGAUUUAUAGCCAAUUUUUAAGUAACAAAUUAUCAUUGUAAUCAACCAGUGGCCUAUUAAUUGAGUCAAACCAGAGAACAAAAUAUCUAAAAUUUAACAGUAGAUACUAUUGCUUUGCGUAAAUGUUGUCAUACUCCUUAACCAUAAAAAUAUUCAACUUGAUAGACAUUAACAAGUGACCAGAUGAGUUCAUGUACAAUAUGCAUUAACUUAAUUGACAUGCAUUACCCACAUACAGCAGAUAUGUUAAUCAGUACAAUCAGUUUGGUCACGAGUUCUUAAGACGUCCAUCAUUCAAAGAUUACCAGCGUGUCAAGGAGUAUGCUUGAGUAACAAAAAUUUCAUAACCUUUACUAUUUCUCAUCAGCUCAAUACAUAGCUCAAUUAUUAUUCCAUAAUGGUUGUAUAUCAUUAAGCCAUCUUUAGUUCACAAUAAAAUUUAAUUUUUAUUAAUGAAUCAUACCAUUAUAAUGUUUAUGUGAUAACAUACCCGUAACCCAAUACUUAUAUUUCUAAAAUCACAGAAAAUAUAAGAAAAAUACGCAAAAAUACACUAAAAAUACACGUAUUUAGGGUUUCAUAUGUAUUUUCACAUCCAUAAAAUAUCAAACAUGUAAAAUAAAUUCACCACAAGAUAGAAGACAGCCAUAUGGAUCCAACGUUGCCAGCCACGCGCCGAUCCGACGCUCCACGCGCCCUCACGCACCGCUUGAGUGCGCGGCACGUGGAGCACACGUGCGAGCCGCACCCCGCGCGUGAGGGCGCGUGACCGCGCGUGGGGCGCGUCUCCGAUGCCCUGGCAGUGCGUGGGGGCGCGUGAGGCCUCUCCCGAUGACGCGCCACCGACUGUCUUGCUCGUCUUGUCGAGCCAAGUCCGAAUUUGUGAUUUAAUUUUAUUUUUAUCGAACAAAAAAUCUCGAAAAUCACAAAUUAGGGCAAAAACUUUAUGCGUUCAAGUUCUAGGGUUAUGGUUGCUCUAAUACCACAUGUUGGACGCAAAUUGCGCAAACCCAAGAUCUCCAUAACUAGAACAAGAACAUAUAUAAUUGAGUAGAAAGAUUAAAGCACAUGUUUUGGGAUCCAUCGAACAUAAAGCAGAAGCAGAAAAUGGAUUACUCACUCAUCAAGGGGAUCCACUAUUCUUGAAGCGGAAGCGGAAACACAAUGUUCCACGCGCAAGUCUUCUCCUCUAUUGCCCUCCAUAUCACUAGCUUAAUUAGGCGGCUCCCUCACGUGUAGCGUUAGGUAAACGCCCCUUAGGUGAUGAUACAAGUGAGAAUUAGGGUUAGAUAAGAGACUUGAGCACUAUUUAUAGAAUUUAUAGAAUUUCCAGCCAGUCCCCCUCAUUACGGGCCAGGCUCAACUCGGCCCACACUAGCCAGCCUAUAUUAGACUAAUUAAGAAACCUUCUAUUUCACUUUAGACCGACUAUGUUUUACACUUGGGCUUGGGCUUCAUGUUUGGCCCUUAUUUAUUAUUUUUUGCAAGCCCAGUUAUUGAAACUUUAAUCAUGCACAUAAAUCUUUAUAGGUUAUUAUGUAUUGAUGCAAACUACGCGGAUUUAGAAUAAGGUCUUGGGUCAUCUUGCGCAGCAUCCCUAAUCCCCCUCCUCCCCUCCUCGAGCUCGCGUGUCCCGUCCGCGUUGUGGCCGCUUUAGUAGAAAUCUUAGCAGCAGCGCAAUCACCCGGUAGCUACCCGUUGGAAGACCGAAUUGCCCGAGUCGUCUUCUCACUUUCCAAUUUUCCGAUGCACAAUAUUCAGUAAUUGGUCUGGUGAUGUGACACCCGAGUUUUGCCGACCACUAGCCGUAUACUCAUCGAAUUAAAAAUUUUCAAAGGGUCUUGAGCGAAGUUUCGAUGUUCCCAUUACAAUGGUUGGAGUGCAGGGUACGGCGUUACAUGACGAUCCUAUGGCCACUCGUGGGUAGAAAUGGCGCCUUCAUGAAAGUUGGGAAUUUUUUUAAAACAAAUAAAAUUAGAGGUGGAAAUGUGAUUAAAAUUCAAAUUUGAGAUUUUUUUAGAAAAUUAGCUUAUAAAAAAUUCAUACUUCUAUCAACAAUCCAAAGUGUCUUGAACCAAAGAAAAUGCAAUCUUUUGUUAAGAUACAAACCUAUUUUCGUAAUAUUUCACUAAGAAAAAAUGUCCCUUGCUUCAAAAAUAUUUCAAUAGGAUUUCGUAUAUCCAACAAUCAUAAAAGUAGAUAAGUUCGUGCAUAAACCUGCCAUUAUGCGAUACCCUAAAAUUUCUUUACAACAUGAUUCUAGUAGCUUAAAAAAAUCUGUAGAAUCAACCUAGCAACAUAGAAUCCAUACAAAAUCUAGUUUACAAUCUGGCAUUUAUUAUUUUAAGGUGACGUCUUCGACCGUCGUUACUCGUUCGGCAUCUUUCGUGCGUAGUUUGUUUGUUUUGGGAAACAUCGUUCUGUCCUCAGGUCAUUCACCACGUCGCAUAAAAGAAGCACCAAAGAACGAUGUCGUCCCUACCUUAACCCCACUUAGCGCAAUGGAUUUUACCUCCUUUGUCUCUAUCCUCCUCAACUUCGUGCAAGUCAAAUUCCAGGCGAAGUCUUUGCCCUUCGAAGCCCACCCCAUGGCCACUGGCCUCGCCGUCCUGCAUUUCUUAUUGCUGGGUCUCACUGAUCGGGCACCGUCGCACCUCCUCAUCCUCAUCAUCAACUUGGCCGGUUCGAUAUCGCUGGCUACGCUCGGGUGGCUCCUGCUCCACGACUCCUCCCACUCCGUCCCCUACUUGUUCGUGAUACUCCUGUUGCUUUCCGUGAGUCUGUUGCGUGCCCUCAUUCGAAGACUUUGGCUGUGGUUUUACGGCCAAAUCUUUGUCAUGAUUUUCCGUGUGGCGCGUCUGUGGCAGGGUGGAAGAGUGCCGCCACAUUUGCAGCGCUCACGCCCGGUCGUCAUAGAUCUGCGUUUAUUGCUGGAAGUUUGAGCGCCGUGCCCGUCUUCCUCAACAAUUGCUACCAAGAGAAGAAAAGUCGUUUUAAAGCAUUGCUGAGUGUUGCAGAUUUCCUUCCAUUUUUGGUGCUUCUCUUUGUAGCUUUAUGUUUGGCCAGUGGAUCCAUAUGUGUCGUUUUACAUUCUUUGCUGGUUUUGGAGACCAAAAUUGCAUGUCUUUUCUUGAGUACCUCCAAUUGUGUGCUCAUUCUUUCCACUUUUUCCUACAGAAUUGCAAUAUUUUCAUCUAGUUCAGAAUAGCAGGGUCUUAAGGUACUUCCACUACUUCAGCAAUCUGUAUUAAAAAAUGUUCGGUAUUGGAGCAUUUUCUGUUGAUUAUUACUUAUUGUAGAGGAUGAGUCUAUAUAUAUGAGGGAUGUUCACGAAAAAUGGCACUUUUACUGGCAUUUUUGGACACCGACUCGUCAUUAUCAAAUUGCUAUGUGUCAAACGUUGUCGUAUGGCCGUUUCCAGUUUCCAGAAUAAAGUCAAAAUUGUUCUUGAAGUUAAAGCUUCUGAAUUCUUUGAAAACAUCAUGAGUGUCACAUUUUUGCUUUUCUUUUUCUGGUGAAUCUCUCCGUAACUUUCUGUUUGGCCAGUGGAUCUAUGUGUUAUUUUAUGGACUCUUUGCUGGUAUACAAUGGUUUUGCUCAUUUAUCCUUAUGAACUAGGAUAAAUAGAUGGCUUGGAGGCGCGAGCACAGCUGCAAUGCAGAAGCUUUGUUCUAUCAUCAUAGAGUUAUCCGAAUCAACAUGAAAAAUGUCAGUUUUUUUAUUUGUGUCCCGUAUGCACAGGUACUGCUUGCUAGCCAUUCUGAUGAUAAUUUUGUUUGAGUUUGUCAUUGCAGAAUGACAAGGAUGGCUACAUCAUAUAGUCCGCACUUUAUAUUUUAGAGGUGACAACUAGAUCUUUGUUGCUGCAAAUGCAUCAACUUGCUUCAACAAAUAAGAAUUUUAAAGACCGCGAAUUCUUUUGUGAUGUAUCCUGUAUGUAUCUGGAAGCUCUUGAAUCUGAGUGAUGCAAUCUAAGACUAUGUAGUCUCAUUAGCUGAUUGGUUUUCGUCCAGGAGCUAGAAUUGUUGCUUCAGUCAGAGAUUCAAGUUGCCAGGGCCAAGGUGAGAAAAGAAUGCUGAAACAGAGAUUUCCUUUUUGGGAGGCUUUAGUUCAAUAUGACCGAAUUUUGGUGGACCACAGAUGUUAGAACCGAACUUUUCCCAUCUUCAUGUGCUGGUAAGGAAUUUUUGCACUUCAUUAAUGGAAAGCCAUAUAGAUAGUAUGCAAAAGCCUGAGACUAGUCUGUACAAACUACACACACCUGAUAUUCAUUCUUCAAGGAAAUAAUGACCUGCAAGCUUCAUGACAAGCUGAUUUAUAUUCAAAUUAUGCAUCCUCAAGUUAGUAGUCCAACUCAUAACAUAGAGCACAUAAGUCUUAUGCUAAAAAAUAUGAUAUUUAUCGGCUUUUGCUGAGAAGAUAACAAUAUCGGAUGUCGAGUGUUAGCAGUGAUUCCAAUUGACUUGCAUAAGAGCAUAAGUUGAAACAUCAAACAGAAAGGUGGUCUCCUGCCUCCUCAAUGUUUUUCUUCUGGGUAAGUGCCUCCCCAGCUCUGCAAUUACAUGCACUUCGUUUGCAGCUUUUUGAGACCAGCAUUGCACGUCUGUUUUUUGAGUACCUUUCAAUUGUGUGCUCACUCUGUCCACUUUUUCCUGCAGAAUUGCAAUUUCUUUAUCUAGUUCAGCAAUAGUGGGGCUUCAGGUACUUCCAUUACUUUAUUUAAAGUUUUGGUAUUCUUAAUUUUUCUGUAGAUUAUAACCUAUUGUGGAGAUUGAGUCUGUCUAAGAUGAAACAAAAGAAAAAAGAACAGGGCUAUUCACCACCUUGCAUGGCAGCAUCUUGUAGCCAUUUGUUGGCUAAAGUCAGUUUAGUGAGAGAGAUCAUUUCUUUGAUGAAGCAAUGGUUAAAACGCAUUCAAUAUGAGUAAUGAAUGGGCAAAGGCAUUCAUCACAGACAAGCACCCAGUUUCAGGUCCGUUUCUCUCAAAGGUUACAUAGUACUCAAUGGCAUCAUCUUCGAUGAACAUAGCAUGGAGUGUGAGUUGAUGGAGGUGAUGGCAAUGUUUUAUUGUUGGUGGUAACUGUGGAAAGCAGUCAUGAUUGACAUUAAGAUUGCACUGCACAAGAACUUGAAAGUCAAAUGUGCAAAAUUUACCAGACACUGCAUAGGAAGCGCGGGUCAGUAGAUCUAAUAUAAGAAAGAGUAUAUGCUCGUGGAGGUGAUGUUUCAAAGUGGGUCUUUCAAAAGUGCAUGGAAUGUUGAAGUCAAACUUUCAUUCUGCACAGCACAAGACAGCGUCAAUGCUCUUCACGACCUGUGUCAGUGAGCGUGUGCCAGGGUGAACGGGGUGUUGCAUAACUGAGGGCAUUUCAGCACAUGAUUUAUGGAGCAGAAAAGAGCAGCUCUGCUCCUGGCAGGGAUGGGCUGAACCUUUGACAUAUUCAUCAUAAGCCUUGAACGCACCAUCCUUCAUGUGACCCAGCUCUAGAGCCAGCGAAUGAUCGUGAGCACAGCUGUAGAACUCUCCUAGCAUGUUCCAUUCUGUUGUUACUGAUCAAAACAGUAAACAAGAAACAGAAAACCAGAAGCUAUAUUUUUUGAAUGAGGAAGAGAAGCACAGAGAAAACAGAGCACAAACUUACGUACGUCAAUUUUCUUAAGGAAACUAUCAAGUACAGGACAACUUAAACAAGAACAAUAACUGCUUACAAACCACACACACAUGCAGCAUAUAACUGCACCUAAACGUGCUAAUUCACUUCCUAGAAAAUAGCAAAAAACACUAAAUGCACUUGGCUGUUUUUUAAUAAAAAAAAACAGAGGAAAACAGAGUAAAAAAAAAAAACAAAACAAAAAACAGCAACUAGACAUUAUAAUCCAACAAACUCCUCUUUGGAUCAGUUGCUGCUGCAUACUCCCAUUUUCUUUCUUAAUACUUCAAAUCUUCCAGCUUGAAGUGGUUUUGUGAACAUGUCUGCAAGCUGAUCUUUAGAUCUGCAAUAGACCAACUUAACUUCGCCACUUUGUUGCACCUCACGCAAAAAGAAAAAAUUGACUUUGAAAUGCUUGGUUUUGCCAUGAAAAACUGGAUUCUGUGAUAUUGCUAAAGCAGCCUGAUUAUCUACAUUAACUUCAAUGCAAUUACUGGAAUUCAACCACAAAUCCUUCAUUAUCUUCUUCAGCCACAAAGCUUGAUUUGCAGCUGCAGUAGCUGCUAUAAACUCAGCCUCUGCAGUAGACUGAGCUACAAUCUCUUGCUUUUUAGAAGACAAGGAGAAACAAGCAGAACCAAAACUGAAACAGUAUCCAGACGUACUUUUCAUGUCAUCCACUGAACCAGCCCAGUCACUAUCAGAAAAUCCUUGCAAAUUAAACUUCUGACAUUUCUUAAACUUCACACCAAAGAACAAUGUUCCUUUGAGAUAUCUCAAGACCCUUUUUGCUGCAACCAAAUGUAACUGACUAGGACUACUCAUAAACCUGGAUAAAACACUCACAGCAAAUAGAAUAUUUGGUCUAGUUGCUGUAAGAUACAUGAGACACCCAAUCAGACUUUUAUACAUAGAAGCAUCUACUGCAUCUGUUCCAUCAUUCUUCUACAGCUUCUCUUUAGCAGCCAUAGGAGUGCUUACACUUCGACAAUCUUCCAUCUGAAACUUCUUUAGAAUUUCUUUCAUGUAUUUUUUCUAACAGAUGAAGAUCUCAUAUGAAGCCUGUUUGACUUCCAGACCCAAAAAAUAAGCCAUCUUCCCCAAGUCUGACAUCUCAAAAACUGCAAAUAGAUCUUGCUUCACCUUCUCUAUCAAUUCCAUAUCAUUCCCCGUCACUAAUAGAUCAUCUACAUAAAGUGACAAAAUUACAACACUGUGAUUCACCUACUUAACAUAAAGAGUGAACUCACUUAAGCUUUUUACAAAGCCAAAAUCCUGCAAAUAUCGAUCUAUAUUCCCAUACCAAGCUCUUGGAGCCUGCUUCAGUCCAUAUAAAGCUUUCUUCAACCUAUAUACACUCUCUUCUUGCCCUUUGAUACUGAAGCCUUCAGGUUGUUCAACAAAAAUCUCCUCCUCAAGCUCUCCAUUCAGAAAUGCAGACUUGACAUCUAACUGAAAUAUAGGCCACCCCUUCUCUGCUGCAAUAGCUAACAGUAACCUUAUUGUAUCAAGUCAUGAAACAGGAGCAAAUGUUUCAGAAUAGUCUACUCCCCAUAUUUGUGCAUAGCCUUUCACCACCAGUCUAGCUUUGUGUUUAUUAACAGAACCAUCAGGAUUAAGUUUUGUUCUAAACACCCACUUAACCCCAAUCACAUUCUUAUUAGAUGGUCUGUCAACAAGCUCCCAUGUGUGGUUUUUCUGGAUCAUUGCAAUCUCCUCUUUCAUUGCUGCAAUCCACCUCUGAUCCUCCUUAGCUUCCACAAAGUUAGAUGGUUCGAGCAUUGCCACAUUGCUUCUUUCAUAGAUUUCAGCAAGUGACCUUGUGCCUCUCACUAGUAAAUCAUCCAUACUGUCUUCCAAUCCAUCUAUAACUUCAUCAACCUCUACAUCUGUUGCAGGUUGUUUUUCGAACUGUUGCCAUUCUGCACUAUUUCCUUCCAUCCAAUUCCACUCAUCUUCCUCUAGAAAAACAACAUCUCUGCUUACAGUCACCUUCCCUGUCAUAGGGUGAAAAAUUCUAUAAGCUUUUGAUUGGAGACUGUACCCAAUGAAGAUUCCAAGCUCUGCUUUUUUAUCCAGCUUGUCCCUCUGAACCUCAGGAACAUGAGUGUAACACAAACACCCAAAAAUCUUAAAAUUUUUCACAGAAGGUUUAACACCAUACCAGACUUCAAAAGGUGUUGACCUCUCUAAGGCCUUUGUGGGCAAUCUGUUCAACAGGAACACUGCAGUAUUAGCUGCUUCAGCCCAGAACUUCUUAGGCAACAUCUUCUCCUGUAUCAUACAUCUGGCCAUCUCCAUAAUACUUCUGUUUUUCCUCUCACUGACCCCAUUCUGUUGAGGUGAAUAGGGAGCAGUGAACUGCUGCACAAUUCCUGCUUGCUCACAAUUCAACUUAAACUUGUGAGCAGUAUACUCAGAGCCAUUAUCAAACCUGAGCAUUUUAAUUUUCUUCCCACUCUGAUUCUCAACUAAAGCUUUAAACUUCAGAAACACAUCAGCAACUUCAGACUGGCUCGUAGAAAAUAAAUCCAACUCAUCCUAGUCAUAUCAUUAGUGAAGGUAAUAAAAUACCUGCUACCAUUGAGAGAAGACUCAGACAUAGGUCCACAUAGAUCUAUGUGGACCAAUUGCAGCUUCUCACAUGCUCUCCAGCCUCCUCCUUUAAAAGGAAAUCUGACUUGCUUGCCAAGAAGACAAGUUCUGCACUAUGGAAAUUCCUCCUUCAAACUUAGCAAGUCAUCUGCCAAGCUAUUUCUCUGCAUAAACGACAUGCUCUUCCUAUGAACAUGCCCAAGUCUUUUAUGCCAUAUCUCUGCAUUUUCUUCUUUGCACUUUAAAGCCAUUUGUUGCAUCUCUUGUGGCUUGAACAUGAAACUCUUGUCCUUCAUUAGGAUUCUUAGUACUUCUUUGCUAUCUGCAUUAUUAAUAAGACAUUCCUUCCCUUCGAACUUCACUUUAUAGCCCUUCUCAACUAAUUGACCAACACUUAACAAAUUAUGGUCAAUAUUUGGCACAAAAAGAACAUCACUGAUCAGCUUCACCUCCUGAUUUCCUUCAAUAGCCACUAUACCCUUCCCUUGCACUUCGAUAUACUGUCCAUUGCCAAUUCUGACUCUGGACCUGAUUGACCUGUCUAGAAUCCUAAACAGCUUCGAAUUGCCAAUCAUAUGAUUGGUACAGCCACUAUCCACCAGCCAUGCAUCAUUCCUAACAAAAGAUUCAGAAAAAGAAGCUACAAACCAAUGCUCUUCCUCAGUUUCAUUCACUGCUACCUAGGCUUCUCCUGCUUGCUGGUAAUUUUUUUCUUUGCAGAUGGCUUCCAUGUGACCCAACUUGUGACAUCUUAUGCACCUAGCAUCAGGCUUUCUCCAACAUCUAAAAAACUUAUGAUUAGUUCCACCACAGUUUUGACAAGGUUUUUUGUUCUUCUUCCAUUUGCUAGACCCACCAGAAUUUCCUUCUUUUGCUACAAACUUGGAGUCACCAGCAUUUUCUCUGGACUGAAUCCAUUUCUUCCCUUUGCCUCCAUCAUUUGACUUCACUUUAGCUUGCAGUGCACCCUCUACAAACUCUUCUCUUCUCAUCAGUCUUCUAUGCUCCUGUGCCUGCAGAGCAUUUAACAAUUCUGCAAGCUUUAUAUCAGGUAAGUCUCUUGUAUUUUCCAGAGAUGCUAUGGUGGCUUCGAACUUCUCUGGAAGAGACACCAGGAUCUUCUGAACAAGCCUUUCAUCCUUCAAGUCAGUCCCUAAAACUCUGAUUUUAUCAGCUAUCCCCACUAGCCUAUCAGAGUAUUCCUUCACUGACUCAGACUCUUUCAUCUGCUGUCUCUCAAAUUCUCUCAAGAGAUUCAGCACCUUCAUACCUCUUAUCUUCUCAUCUCCUUCAUAUUCUUCCUUCAAGAAGUCCCAUAUGGCCUUUGCAAAGUCACACUUCAUAAUUCUGGUAAAGAUGGUAGGCGAGACAGCAGCAUACAGGCAAGAUUUUGCCUUGGCUUUUCUUGUGGUUCUCUCUUUAUGAAGUUCAAUUUGAUUCAUGGUCGGAUUAUCUAGAAGUGGAGCAACUUCAUAAUCAUCAUCCACAGCUUCCCACAGAUCAUGACCCUCCAAAAAUGCUGUCAUCUUAACAGCUCAUGCUUGAUAAUUCUCUCCAGUAAAUACUGGAGAAGCCAUCGCAGAGAAACCACUCGACCCUGUCUCCAUUACCCUUUAACUUCUUUACACUUCGAUACUUGCUUCACUUCACAGUCCCUCAAGAUCAUACACGCUCUGAUACCACUGUUGUUACUGAUCAAAAUAGUAAACAAGAAACAGAAAACCAGAAGCUAUAUUUUUUGAAUGAGGAAGAGAAGCACAGAGAAAACAGAGCACAAACUUGCGUACGUCAGUUUUCUUAAGGAUACUGUCAAGUACAUGACAACUUAAACAAGAACAAUAACUGCUUACAAACCACACACACGUGCAGCAUAUAACUGCACCUAAACGUGCUAAUUCACUUCCUAGAAAAUAGCAAAAAACACUAAAUGCACUUGGCUGUUUUUUAAUUAAAAAAAAAACAGAGGAAAACAGAGUAAAAAACAAAACAAAACAGAAAACAGCAACUGAGACAUUAUAAUCCAACACAUUCACGAGCUUUGCACUAAAUUCUGGUUUCAAGCUUCUCGUGGAAGGACGCCAGUAGAUGGUGAUGGCCAAAAUGGUUUUUAAAAAAAAAAAACGAGCCUUUCUCGCCCUCCAUGUCCUGUGAACAUAGAGUUAUAGCUGCGCAGUCCAUGUCAAGACUGAAAUUGCAUUCGCUGCAGUGGGAAACCAUAUGGCAGGCAUUAUAUUGGUGAUUUAUCCGAUUGAUCGAACGCAAGAGAGAGAGUGAUGGAGAGACGGGCGUUGCUUCUCCAGGGUAGGUACGGCACAGCUCUAGUGAAUUAAGAAUAUGCACCGUGUAGCAUCCAUAAACCUCCUCGCAGGCUUUGCAUUUGAUUCUACUUUUCGUUCCAAGAUGAUGGGAUGCCAGCAGAUGCUCCUGAGCAAGAUGUUGGAUGGUCACAUUCUCAGAAUCCUCAUCAGGCUUAGUGUUGUGACUAGGGAGAGACGUAGCAAUAUCGGCCAUGCAGUAGCGCUCAACCAUCAGAAUGGCAAGAAGAAAGACUGUUCACACGCAUGGCAACUCGGACGAUCCUCCUCAUUGUUGCCACCUAGGCAAACAUGUCGGGACAGCGGGUGAGACAAGUGUCCUAGUGCUAAAUUCAGCGCGACUUUUGAAAGAAGAAUCAACGCGAUUCGAGGCUGUUGGCUGAGCAGCGGAUUGGAGACCAACACGCGAGACAUUCCAAGCAAUAAUAGCCUUCUUCGCUCAGGUUUCGGAGAUUCAAUACAUGAUCACCAAAGCAAAUUAGGAAAUAAAAAAGUGUUUUGAAUGGAGUUAUAGUUAUAGUUGCUGAGUGAUAUCAACGCGAAGCAAAUGGGGUGAAAUGAAUUGUUCUCCACUCCCAUAUAUUAUUUGAUGCUAUAUUUCAGUGUUAAGUUGUACAAUUUUUUUAUUGUAUUUUAAAUAUGCUUUAAUGAAACAUUAAAGUGGCCCAUGAAAAGUUCCAUAUCUUGUUCAUUUAAGGUCAGCUGCAAUGAUAAUAUAACUUUUCAUAAAUUAACUAAUGAAUUAAACUCCAAACAUUGUAUUAGGUCAUAAAGGUGCAUUCACCUUGGGCUAGUCUAUCCAUUCAUCCGAAAGUUCUUAUCCAACUUACUAUAAAAGUAACUUACUUAGGACAAUACUAUGAGAACAAUUUUGACAUAACUUAAUUGUUUAUAAAACCAAAUUCACCUAUUUUGAAUUUUAUGAGUUAUUUUUUUAAUUUAUUAGUCAAUCGCAUUUACAUAUAAAAGUAUUGUUUACAUUUGCUAUUAAAUACUAUUUGUACAAAUGGUUAUGAGCUGGGUCUACUUUCUUCUAGUUAUCAAAUAUCUAUAAAUGUACAUGUUCGCAGCAAUCUUGAAUUCCACGAUAUCAAACAAGAGUUAUGCAUAAUAUGAUGCUUCGUAAGCUAAGUUGAUAAAGUUCACCGAAGCAGUAGUUGUAAUUAAACUUGUAAUUUUCUGUUAAAAUCUUUGAAUAGAACUAAAUUUCAUUUUCAAAAUUAAAUAAUUAUCCACAUUGAGUAACCUCAAAAACAAAAUGUAGAUCGAAGUGGUUAUAGACCCAAUUCAUAUUAUAUGACCUGUGACACAAGUCAAACUAAAUCUUGAUCCAGAGGUCAAAAGUAGGCAUUUGUAUAAACUUUGAAAACUAAGACCUAGGAGAAAAUAUCUAGAAAGAACAAAACAAAACAGAGAUGUGCUCUUCUGAGCAAUUAUAAGUAAACCCGUCCAAAUGAUCAAAUGAACUACAUUUGGAUGAAAAAAAAGAUUACGAUACACGCGCAUUUUUUAUCUAUGGUGAUCAUCUUCAUUCCACCAAUUUGUACGUUCCUUUUGCUAAAACAUUGAACUUAUUACACUAAUCAAAGUAACGAUUAGUCCAACCUUGAUUUUGAACUGGAUCACAUCCUUUUUUUAGGUAAAAUUUUAAAGAAAGGGACAAAAUUCUCUCUUUCUAUCAUACUCUCUCCUACCAGGGCGUGCACGUAUUUAUAAACAUCUCUUCAACAACUUUUCAAUCUCCUUUAUUGACAAAAGAGUUUCCAAAGGGUCUUAGGGGAAGCUUCGGUUUUCACACAGCAAUGGUUAGACUAUACCGCAUUGCAUGAUGAUCCUAUGGCCACUCAUGGGUAGAAAAGGGACCUUUAUGAAAGUUGGGAAUUUUUUAAAACAAGAAGAAAGUUAGAGGUAGAAUUAAGAUUGAAAUUAAAAUUUGAGAUUUUUCUUAGGAAAUUAGCCCAUAAGAAUUCAUGCUUCCAUCAACAAUCAAGGGCAUCUCAAACCGAAGAAAUUGCAAUCUUUUGUCAAGAUGGGAACCUAUUUUCACAAUAUUUCAUGCAAGAAAAAUGUUUAGCCACUUCGAAUUAGUAGGAUUUAAUAUAUCUAACAAUUAUAGAAAUAGGUAAAUUCAUGCUUAAAACAUGGUGACAAAGGAGUGCUCAUGUCAUAUAUAUAUAUAUAUAUCGCACUAAUAUUGAGUAUUUAUAGAAAGGGAUGAGUGAUCGUUAUUGAAGUAUGAAAUAGUAAGUGUCACAAAGCUGAUCAGAGAACCCGUAGCAAGUAGAAAGCGAGAAAGAAGGAAGAGAGAAGGAAUAGAGAGAAGGAGGAGAAUGGGAACGUAGAAGAAACAAAGACGGGGCUGUAAUUUUCUGUGUAACAGAAACCCUACACCCAUUGUGUUUAUAUUAAAUAUAAAUUGUAUAUGACCAUAAUACCCUUAUAUAAGUAAAAGAUAAAUAAAACUCUAAAAUAAAAAUAACUCAAUUAACGUAACUUAACACUCCCCCUCAACUUGGAGCAUAUAGGUCACUCAUGCCCAGAUUGGAACAACCAGCAAUAAAAGCAGGAUGAAAUAAUGCUUUGGUGAACAUAUCAUGUGACACCCCGAACCACCUAGGGUCGCCACAGGCACCUGACGUUACACCUAAUGGAAUACUAGCUACAUCUCUUAGAAGAAGCGUUGUAAAUCAUAGACACAUUUUUUUUUUUUUUGAAAACAGUCCCAAUGCGACUCAUUAGCGGAAGCAAAAUAUAAUAUCGCCAUUUCUCCCUCCUAACAACCAUGAUACAAUUGCACACCACUAAAUACCAAAGGAAAAGAUAAAGCCAUGCCACUUUUAUUUACAUAUUUUCGUGAUGGAUUUUUCGCGGGUCGAUACAACAAAAGAAAGCCAAGAUUUCCAGCUACACUUGGCCACAUGCCAAAAAGAUACUAUGACCCCUAAAGUAAUCACAUGACGUCCUCCAUCUAACAGCGGCGGCUAUUCCCAAAAAGAAACUCCAGCCCUCUACCUCUCAUGCAACCAUCACACCCAUCCUGGCGCGUCGGGUGGUGGUGGCGGUAACAUCCCCCUAAACACUCUGUCUCGACGAACAUGAAUUGAUAGGAACUCCUGGAUGAUUGGGCCCCCAGCUAGGCCCACAUCAUACAUAACCAGCACUCGCACUCACACAAAAGUCAAUCCAGGGACGGUAACGCAGUCGAUCUCCGUACAUUCUACUUCUACAUCCGAGGGGAGGCCAUAGAAGGUACCUCGCGUGAUGGUAGGAAGCGGCAUCUUUCUAAUCUGAAAUGUUGGUCCCCGAAAGGGUGAGUAUAACCACUCAGCGGGUAAAGGAUCCAAUAACCACUCAAUUCAUCAUAAAAUACAAUUGCAACAUAAUACAAGUCAUUCAUGCAUCCAAGCAUACUUACUUUGAAGCCAUGCAUAUACCAUCAUACAUCUUCAUCACAAUCAUAUCAAAUACAUGUCAUCAUGCCAUAGGUGAUCAUUAUUAUCAUAUCAUAUAUGCAUAUCAUCAUGCCAUAGGUGAUCAUCGUCAUAUCAUAUCACAUAUGCAUAUCAUCAUGCCAUGGGUGAUCAUCAUCAUAUCAUAUCACAUAUGCAUAUCAUCAUGCCAUGGGUGAUCAUCAUCAUAUCAUAUCAUAUAUGCAUGAUUCGAUUUCCACUUUUAACUUUCAAUUCGAUCACCACAUCACUCUUUCUCAAGAUCAUCCAUUUCAUCUCAUACUUUACACUCGCACCCCAUCCUGGCAUCGCGAGAAAAACCUCCGACAUUCAGCCAUUUAAGGCCACCGGGCAUUCGGCACCCCCACAUUCCAGGCAUCUCACAUUCCAACUGGCAUCACGAGGCAUCCCCUUGGGCAAAGACCUCCGAGGCUUCCGGCACCCAACCAUUCCGGGCAUCUCGAAACUCCCGAGGCCAUCCAGCCAUGUAUCUCUAUACAUUCUGGGCAUCCGGCACCCCCCAUCUCGGGCAUCCUGAUACUCCCAGGGCAUUAUCAUCCGCCACAAACAGUUUCCUCAUUUAUCAUUGUUCAUAGUUACCAAUUUAGGUCUCAACUUAGCAUGGUACAUGAUGUAAUGGCAAACAAAAUCACUUUCAUCCUUUGAUCUAUACAUGCAUCAUCAGUCAUCAUCAUACAUGUAGCAAGAUGCAAUCAUUCAUAAAAAUAAAAUUUAUGGAAUUCGUACAAUUUAGAACAGUCCAUUUAUCAUGCCUUUUUGAGAUUUAUUUAAAUUCCAGCUUGUACCAUUUUUGAAAAUAUUUAAAUUAAAUAUCCAUAUGAUUCUCAAAAAUCAUGAAAUUAAUACAUGUGAUAGACAAGACAAUAAGAUAUUGAUUUCAUGAAAAACACAUGGCCAAUAGAGUUCCACACACAAAAGAUAUAAUUCACACAAAUACAGCAUGCAAUUUCGGAUAAAAACAGAAUGUGCAGUUUUUGAAAUAAUUCGAUUAAAAUACCCGAACGACCUCUGAAAAUUAUGAAAUUUUACCAGGUUAUAUUUAAGACACUAAAGUAGAUUUUUCAUGUAGACUUAUAGGCCAGAUUCGUUUUAGAUAAUUUCCUAUAGUCGUCCGAAGCUUCUGGUUCUCAUACCGAAACGUCCAGGGUAGUCAUCUCCUAAAUACCGAGUUUUUACCCACUUAUUCUUCUUCGUUUCCUCUGAAAUUUGGAUAUGUUUUACUUCAAGAGGUCCCCUACAACUUUCAUUAAGGGAUCUAAGUCAAAUUUCCAAAGAACAGUCACCAUAUGGGUCCAUGAAGUCUCGGGUGUCCAGUACCGCGUCUCCAGAUUUACCGUCUUCAAGAGUAAGUCGAUUCACUAGGCUACACUGGUUCAUUUUACUUAAAAUUUGAGUAUGUUAGUCUUUAAGAUUUUCUCUACAGGUUUCAUGAAGACGUAGAAGAGAUAUUCUUGAUAAAAAUCAACAUGCAACCACAGAUCUACAAAAAUGUCAGCAAAAUCGUUCCAGAUCUAGUGUCUUAGUAGGAUGAGAGUUUGACCCCUUAAAUCUCCACCAUUUUGUACCAAAUUUUAGUAUGUUGUAGUUUAAGAUGUUGGAUACAACGUUCAUGAAUAAAUCAAAGUCAAAAUCGAACUUAAAACAUGCAUGCAAGCUCUCACAAGAUUCUGGUUCAGGCGGUUCAUACAAAAACAGCAAGCAUAUUCAAGAACAAGGCACAUUUUUGCUUCGGUUUCGCCUACCCUAACAUCCGAAACUCACCACUAACAAAUCAUACAUGCAAGGCACACAUGCAAGAGCGGAAAUCAGUCCCAACUUGCCUCAAAGACCAAGCGGACAGCGGCGCACGAACGGCACACCGGCGACGGACGGACGGCGUGCGGGCGGCGACGGGCGACUCCUUCUCCCUCUCGGCCUCACUUUCUCUCGCAACUCACUCUCUCUCUCUUCCUCACUUGGCCAAAUACCACCAACCGGCCACUCUCUCUCUUCCUCUUCCUUUUAUUCCCCCAAAUCUCCAUCAUUGGCAAUGAUUACUUGCCACUUCCAAUGGCCAAUGCAUGCAAGUCCCUUCUUGCCACUUGGCAAGGCCCAUGCAAUGGGCCGGCCAUUCCCCUUGGGCCUCACUUGGGCCGGCGACAGCCCCUCCGUGGGCUUCUAUUGGGCCGACCAGCUUGGCCCAUCUUAGGCCCAUCCCUCUUGGACCUAAGACCCAAGCUUAAUUAGCCUAAGAUCAACCCUUUUAAAACUACUUAAAUUCCUAUUAAAUUGAAGUACUAAAUUACAAAUUAAGAUAACUAUACACUUGAAAUUUUAAUUCCAUAAGUUCCAAUUUAUCACACACACAUGGCCAAAGAUAAAACUUCCUUUCCCAAAAUUCAUCCAUUAAAGACUUGGCCAUACAUCUCAUUGCAACUCAUGGACUAGGAGGCUACAAAAUACAAUAGCGGUACUUCUAUCGCCUAUCCAUAGCUCAUGGCAUAUUUAGGAAUUUUUAUGAAAUUCCAGGAUGCCACAUAUCAGCAAGCUAAUCUCUAGAGGCAACAUAAGGAGAAGCGACCAACUUCUUCUUCAUAGCAUCACGAACAAAGUGACAGUCAACUUCUAUAUGCUUAGUUCGCUUUUGAAAAAUAGGAUUCCCAACAAUAUAAAUAGCUGCUUAAUUAUCACACAUCAUAUCAAUAGGUUGAUUAAUAAAAAAAUCUAAGCUCCUGGAGAAGAGAUUUCAACCAUAACAAUUCAGCCACAGUAUGUGCCAUAGCACGAUAUUCAGCCUCCGCACUAGACCUAGCAAUAGUAGUAUGUUUCUUGCUUCUCCAAGUAACCAAAUUACCACCAAUAAAGGUGCAAUACCCAGUUGUAGACCAUCGAUCAUUUGUUGACCCAGCCCAAUCAGCAUCAGAAUAGCCAAUAAGAGUGGAAGAACCGUUAGGUUUAUAAAUUAGUCCCUUACCGGAAGAGCUUUUAAGAUAUCGAAGAAUGCGAUAGACAGCAUCCCAAUGAGCCUUCUUAGGUGACUCCAUAAACUGACUCACCACACCAACAACAAAAGAAAUAUCAGGACAUGUAACAGUAAGAUAAAUUAUUUUCCCAACCAAACGUCGAUAUUGUUGCUUGUCUUCAAUUUCAUUUCCAUCACCAAUUCCAAACUUUUGAUUUGGAUCCAUAGGAGUAUCAACUGGCUUGGAAGUUAGUGUACCAGUCUCAGACAAAAGAUCAAGAACAUACUUUCGUUGAGACAGAUUAAUACCUUUUUUACUUCGUAAAACUUCAAUACCUAGAAAAUAUCUAAGGGUUCCUAAGUCUUGAAUCUGAAAUUGCUGCUGAAGAAAGGACUUAACCUCAGAAAUGCCGGUCACAUCACUACCAGAGACAAUUAUAUCAUUCACAUAUACCAUAAGAAUGACCACCCCCGAUUCCUUCUUACGAACAAACACAGAAUGAUCUGAAUAACAUUGGUGGAAACCACAUCUGGAAAUCACUGAACUGAAUUUUUCAAACCAUGCUCUUGGAGAUUGUUUCAACCCAUAAAUGGCCUUAUGUAGCCGACAUACUUUACUACAAUUCUCCCCCUGAGCAACGUACCCAGGAGGUUGCUCCGUAUAUACUUCUUCAGACAAAUCGCCAUAAAGAAAAGCAUUCUUGACAUCUAAUUGAUAUAAUGGCCAAUCGAAAUUCACAGCAAGAGAAAUAAUAACACGAACAUAAUUGAGACGUGCCACAGGGGAAAAAGUCUCAAAGUAAUCCACUCCAUAAGUUUGAGUAAAAUCUUUAGCAACGAGCCGAGCUUUAAGACGUUCAAUUGAGCCAUCCGGAUUGUACUUGAUAGUGUACACCCAACGACACUUCACCACAUCUUUCCCAAGAGGAAGAUCAACUAAUGACCACGUUUGGCGAGACACCAGAGCUUCCAUUUUCAUAUCCAUAGCUUUCUUCCACUAAAGGCGAGACAAAGCCUCAGUGGUAGAAGUAGGAAUUGUGUGAGUUUGUAAUGAUAGAGCAAAGUCAUGUAAUAGAGAAGGAAGAUGUGAAAGAGACACAUAAUGCUCAAUAGGGUAAGCUAAAGAAAAAUUUUGCGUGCAUGAUCGAGUACCUUUGCGAAGGGCAAGCAGAAGAUCGUCCGGACCAGGAGACAAGGAGGAAGAUUGAACGGAGGGCAUGGAAGAGCUGGAAACUGGUGAUGUCGUAGACUGCUUUCGCUGCUGAUACACCUACAAGGGAGGAGGUACUGGAGAAGAACUAUCAGAAUCUAAGGGGAUAAGAUGUGGGAUAGGAGGAUCAGCUACAAUGUCAGUUGAAAACUCUUUACCAAAAUAGUAUGGUGUACCCUCGAAAAAAGUAACUUCAGCACUAACAUAUUGGGUACAAGUUAUUGGAUCAUAACAUCGAUAUCCCUUUUGCGUACGUGAAUACCUGAGAAAAAUACAUUUAGUGGCAUGAGGAGAUAGUUUAUUAGAACCGGAAUGUAGGUUAUGAACAAAACAAACACACCCAAAGACGUGCGGGAUAAGAGGGAAUAACGGCUUGUCAGUAAAUAUAACACUAAUUGGUGACUGAUGAUUGAGGACAAUGGAAGGCAUACGAUUUAUGAGAUAACAUGCAGUAAGGACAGCAUCACUCCAAAAUGAUUUUGGUACACGCAUAUGAAAUAAGAGUGAAUGAGCAACUUCUAGAAGGUGAUAGUACUUUCUCUCAGUCACACCAUUCUGCUGAGGGGUAUAAGCACAACUUGUUUGAUGUAUAAUGCCAAGAUUAGAACAAAACAAAGAAAUUGAUUUCUAUGUAUAUUCUAGAGCAUUAUCUAUUCGCAAAAUUUUAAGGGAUGUAUUAAAUUGAUUAGUAACUUCACGAUGAAAUAAUUGGAAAACAUGUAAAAAUUCAAAACAGUCAUGAAGCAUAUAAAGUCAUGUUAAACGACAAUAAUCAUCCACAAAAGUAACAAAGUACUUAAAACCAUUUCUACUAACAAUAUGGGAAGGUCCCUAGAUGUCCGAAUGAACAAGUUCAAGUAAAGUAGAUGCAUGAGAAUCAUUACUACUAGGAAAAGAACUACGAUGAUGUUUCCCAAGUUCACAAGCUUCACACUCAAGAGUAGAAAUUGAUUUACACUCGGGAAUUAUUUGUUGUAACUUAAAUAAAGAUAAAUGCCCUAAACGAGAAUGCUAUAAUAGGGGAUUAAUAGAACUAGCAGCUAGACCAUUGGUGUCAGCAGUAGAGACACCAUUUAGAUAGUAGAGUCCAUCACGUUCAUGCCCUCCACCAAUCAUCUUCUUUGUCUAAAGGUCCUGAAAAACACAAUAAGAUGGGUAAAAUAUAACUUAGCAACUAAUUUAGAGGAAGUUGGGGAACAUGUAAAACAAAGGACUAAGAUAAGGAAGGUGUGAGUGAAACAGUUCCCGAUCCAACCACUUGAGUUGAGGAACCAUUAGCUAAAAUAACUUAUGAUGAAGGACUAGAGUUAUGGUGGGAAGAAAAUAGUUCUUGCUUACCCGUCAUAUGACUAGAAGCUCCCGAGUCAAUGAUCCAAGGGGUGUUAGGAGACAAAGUAGAGAAAGAUGCCAUGUUACCUGUACAUGCAAGAGUAGCAGUGGAUGAGAAAUUGGAAGCCUCUAGUUGUUGGACACGCUUGAUGAGUUGUGCAACCACAUCAUCUCGAGUCGUAGACUCAGAAGAACUACCCCCGGGUGGGAUAGAUGGGUUCAUGUCACUAUAAGACACAAUUCCAGCACUCCCUUCAGACACAACAGCAUUUGCAGUAAUUAAUCGUUGAGCCCACUCAGGCUUGCCAUGCUUGGCCCAACAAAUGUCAAUAAUAUGACUAGAUUUGCCGCAGUAUAUACACUGACGGCUAUCUCAAUCAUAAAUUUGUCCACUACGUCCACCACCACGACUACGACCUCCCCUGACACCACGACCUCUAUUGGAAAAACCACCAUGACCAUGACCACCACUACUAGCCAUAAAUGCUGAAUUGUCUUUAGAUGACGUAGAAGAUGAAGGGACAAUGCGCUGAAUUCGACAAAAUGCUUCAUUCAUAGAAGGAAAUCUCUCUUCAACAAGAAGCUAACUCUCCACAAGCUGUAAGUCAGCAUUCAAGCCAAAUAAAAAAUUGGCCACUUGAAAUUCAGCUCGUUGUGUCUUAAGUCUCUCAAGAUCAGUAGUGAUGUGCUGAUAAAGAUUGAGUUUUUCCCACAUACCUUUCAAAGCACUAUAAAACUCUCCAAGAGACUUGUCUCCCUAUUUAAAAUUAAAGAUCUUCUCAUAUAAUUCAUAAACUCUAGACAUAUUUUUGUCUUAUGAGUAACUCUCCAUAAGAUCAUCCCACACUCCCUCAGCAAUUGUGUGGAACAUGAUAUUAGCAGCGAUGGAUGGUCCCAUGCUAUUCCAUAACCACACCAAAUGCGUAUCAUUCUCUCUCAUCCAAUCACUAUAGUCUUUAGAAUUUUCAGCAAGAGGGUCUGUAGUAAGAUAAUGGAGUUUCCCUUUGGCAUUAAUAUAGACCUUCACAGCUUGGGCCCAUAACAAGUAAUUGGAAGAUCCAUUUUAUUUAAUAGUGGUAAUUUGAACAUUGACACUAUCUGUAGAAGCCUUAGUAUCACUCAUGAUGAUAGUUUCAAUAUAAAUAUAUCUACCACUUAAUCAAGAAGGCUGAAACUUUAAUGCAAGAAACAAAACAACAGCACUAAUGUAUAAUCAGAUGUAAUUGGCUCCAUCAGUUAACCAAAGGGAACCUAGCAAAAUCAGUCAACCAUAAUCAAUGAAAUACUCGGAUUCUUGAAUUCGCUGAUCAGUAAGUAUUGUAAUCCAUGUUCAGAAUUUGAACCUGAUGAAUCUGAUAUCUUCUGAUCUCAUACAUAUCGAGAAACAAAGAGAAAACCAAUAAAAAUUGCAACUUUAGGUGGCUGCGCACCAAAGAAGAAGUAGGGUUACUAGGGGACUCUCAAACCAGCAAUAGGAUUAAGUAAUCAAGUAGUUAGAUUUGCUCUGAUACCAUGUCACAAAGCUGAUCAGAGAACCCGCAGCAAGUAGAAAGAGAGAAAGAAUGAAGAGAGAAGGAAUAGAGAGAAGGAGGAGAAGGAGAACAUAAAAGAAACAAAGAGAGGGAUGUAGUUUUCUGUGUAACAGAAACCCUACACCCAUUGUGUUUAUAUUAAAUAUAAAUUGUAUAUGACCAUAAUACCCUUAUGUAAGUAAAAGAUAAAUAAAACUCUAAAAUAAAAAUAACUCAAUUAAAGUAACUUAACAGUAAGAUUAUACUUAAAUAGAGAAACAAUAACAAUAUAUUCUUGUACGUUUUCAUUUUCUUGAUUUUGUGAAUAAGAAUAGGGAAAACGACAACUCCAUCCUCUUACUCAAAAGACGCAGUCUCAAACACAAACCAACAUAAACAUUUUAUCAAAAUAUAUAUUCUUCUAGAUUUUAAAUAAAACGGUGAGUUGAUUACAGAAUCAGAGUUUUGAAAUUCAAAAAAAGGCAUACAUACAUAUGCAAACUCAAUUAACCCCCCCCCCAUAUUAUUUUCUCAAAAAUACAAUGGAAUCUAAACUCAUAUCCAAAAUCCAAUUGAAAUUUUUUUUCCAUUGAUGUUGCACAUGUCCCACAUUAGAUGAAGGAUCCAAAAAAUAUUUAGAAUGAAUAGUAUGAACAAUCACAAUUUAGUGAGUAAUGUAAAUCUCUUCUAAAUAGAUCAAGCGCUAUGCAUAUUUAUAAAGUAAUACUAAAGAUGCAUUUGUCCAAAUCCAGUAUAUAAUGUACAGUAAAAUCCACAAAUGUGCGAUAUCACUUAAACCCAACUUAUUGAAAAUAUUCAUUCGUAGAUCAAAUACCAAAAGGAUAGUAUACACUUCAUCCUGCUGUACACAAUAAGUAUGUUUUAAACAUUACUUUUUUGUUUUACCAAAAUCAUAUUGUACAUUUUUUUCACAAUUUAUGACAUAUCAAAUCCCUUUCACUUUCAAGAUAUGAAUUUACAAAUUUGUAUAAGAUCAUAACUCACUGCUAACCAAAAUCCAAAUAAGAAGUUAUGCCACUUGGAAAGUUUAAAAUAUCCUAUCGAAGAUUAACUAAAUGUCAAACUUCCACGUCAACGAACCUCUAGUAAAACUUUAGUAGGCAACGCCAUAUUUUUCAGUCAAAUCAUCCACUUCAUAAAAGACUUUUGAACAAAUAUUUUGCAAAUAGAGUCAACCUCGUCUCAAAAAUCUAAUUCAAGCGAGCUUAUCGGGAAAAAGAAAAGAAAAGAACUCUUUCAAACUACUAAGGGUGCGUUUGUUUGCGUUUUUGUUCAAAAAUUGUUCUGGUGAACAAUUUUUUACCAGAAAAACGCAUUUGAUAAACUUGUUCCGGGAAUAAAAAAAGAACAGAAACAUGUUUGGUAAAAUUGUGUUAUUUUUUUGUUUCUAUUAAUUUUUUAAUAUUUUUAUUUUAUUUUUCCUUUUUUUAUUUUUUAUUUUUUUCUUCUUUUGGCCGGUCGGUGACCUUGGCCAUGGCCGGCGACCGGCCGACGCGGGCCGGCAGCCUCGCCCAGCCACGUCAAGGCUCGUCGGCCCCCGGCGAGGCCGAGCCUCGCCGUGAUUGGGUGAGGCUCGGCCUCGCCUUGGCUGGGCGAGCUUGAGCUCAUCGAGCCUUGCCUCGCUAGGGGCCGGCGACGCUUGGCCUCGCCGGGGGUCGGUGACACUCUGGUGAAGUUGCCAGCCCUCGACGGCCGAUCAACGGUCAUGGUUGAGGCCGGCGACCAGCCAAAGAAAAAAGAAGAAGAAAAAAAAAAAAAAAAAAGAGAAGAAAAUAAAGAAGAGAAAGAAAAUUUGUUUCUCAAAAUUGUUCCAAAAACAAGAAACAAUUUUUUUUUUGUUUCUGUUCCAAAUUUGUUCCUGGGAACAAAAAAAAACAGAUUUGGAACAAAAACGCAAACAAAAGCGUUUUUUGUUCUUUUUUUAUUCCCGGGAACAAAAAAAAAAUCUGUUCAUGAACAAAAAAAAAAGAAAUAUAAACAAACAGCCCCUAAAAGACUAUGAAACCAAAAGAGAGUUGGAGAUGGGCGAAAACUAUUGCCAAACACGGUAAUCUAAAAACUAUUUUUAACAACAUGGGAAACUUUAAAAAUUUAUUGCGACCAAACAAAAACCCUAAAUCGACUCGUAAAAUCCUACUCCAGGACAUGCUAAAAUUUUAGGAAAAGUGUUAAAAAAGUCUUAAACAUUUUAGAUAUAUGUCAAUUUAAUCAUAAACCUUUUUUUGUGCCAAUUUAGUCCUAAACAUUUUUACGUUAUGUCAAUUUAGUACUUUCCGGCCAAUUUUGGCCGGAUUUUGCUGAUUGGACACUGGCUGGCUGACGUGGCCUGAUCGUCGCUAACGUUGACAACUUUUAAUAAUAUUUUAAUUUUUUUGAAUUUUUUCUUUUUCUUUUUCUUUUUCUUUUUCUUGUUUCCUUCUCCUCCUCCUUCCUCUAGCCGAUCGCCAGACCUCGGCGACCAGCUAGAGGCAACAGCCGGCGACACCAGUAGCCGCAAGGGCGGCCUCGCGCUGGGCGGCUACCGCCCGCCCAGCACUACCAUGGGCGAGGCUUGACCCUCCCCAGAUUCGAUGAGGGCGAGCCUUGCCACCCCAACCUCAAGGGCGGCCUCGAGUUCCAAUAUUAGGUGUCCCAAUAAUAAAACACCAGACCAGUCUCAAAUGAUGUAAUAUUUUUAGCAAUUGACCUCAAACCCCUCUCACUACUCAAAACCAAAAACUCGUUUACCUAACAUUAGCAUGAUCNNNNNNNNNNNNNNNNNNNNNNNNNNNNNNNNNNNNNNNNNNNNNNNNNNNNNNNNNNNNNNNNNNNNNNNNNNNNNNNNNNNNNNNNNNNNNNNNNNNNUAUGAUUCAAGUUAAUAUAGAAUCUAAUUCCAACUUCGAUUUAUAACGACCCAUUUAUUCAGGUAGUCCUCAACCAAUGAAGUCCAUCAGGUUGCCUACUACACCCUUCACCAUGCCCAUGUGAAUGGUCUAUAGCAUUCAUAAUCACUCCUCUUACCACAGGAUACUUACCUAGCCAACAUUUAGAUUCGACAUUUUCCGGUUCAUUUCAACAUUCCUCACUUGUUCGACUGUUGCUAAGUAGUUUUUGGAUAUCAUAGGAAGCCCCCCCCCCCCCCCUAAGGGAAUUCUAAUGGGGCCAAUUUCUCUUUGUCCACUUCUCAUUCUUGUUAAAAUGUUUGCCCGUGGGCAUCUUCCGGCUACUAGUGAUUUACUAUGCCUUGUAUCCAUGGCUUGUAGCGUGCAGAUAGAUAUUUGCCGAGGGAGAUUGGUGCUUGUUGAGGUAUGCCCGAAAUGUUUUGCUCUCACAUUCCUUAUAGGGAAGUCCCAAUGAAAUGGCCCUUUCAAUACUAUCAAAUAAAAAGCCCCAAAGGCGCCAUAUGCGAACAAUGGAACCUGUGAAUAUGUAAGAUUCUUCAUGUCCGAAUAAAGUAAAAAUAACAUAAAGGGUGUAAAUAAGUCAUCUGAAAUUUGAUUUAUGGAUUUGACGGAUUCUUCUUUGACCACAAAAAAAAAAAAAAGACUUUGUUGAUAGAACUUGUACAAUCAGAAAUCAAAUAGAAAAAAUUACAAAAGAUAAGAAGAAAUGAUUUUUAACUUCAAAAAUAAAAUUGAAUAAGUAAACAAAUGGAAUUGGAUUUGGUUGGAUGCUACGAAUUAAAUCAAUGAAUCUUUUUAUCGAAGGAUAAAAAAAUUAUGUAUUUGGUGAAUCAAAUAUCAUGGUAUAAAAUAAAAAAACCAUUAUGAUAAGUUGAUAAUAUAAAAAAAGUGCAUACAAUCCUUUUGCCUUUACGAGCAAAAGUUUUGACACAAGAAGAUCGAAGUAUAUAUUUUACUCGAUAUAAGCUCUCUCUUUUUUUCUUUUUUCUUUUUUUCAGGAUCCUCUAUGAUAAUGAGAAAGAUUUUUGCAUAUACGCAAAAAAAUCAUCACUAAUAUUGAGAGAUAUGUGAAUAGAAAUCCUAAUGCACAUAGAUACAAAUGAUCCAAUUGGAGCAAGAAUUUCUAGGAACAUUUGAAACAUUUCAAUGACAAAUCAUAGAUCAAAUUGUUGAAUCGACAAAGAUAGGUGCCUCGCCCACAAUCGUGCCAAAAGGGGAAGGACUUUUCCCUAUUGGGAUAGGAAAAUCAUGAUUGGGAUAGGGACCCAAGGCUAUGUAACUUGGGUGUGGAUCUUUGACCAAUUCUUCUACCCACGUCUUACCCCUCUUGGAAUAGGGGGGACAUGUCAAGUAUCCCCUUGGGAUCAUGUCUUCUUAGGCCUAUUCUAGAUGUACCACGCAAUUUCAGUAUUGGAACAAGCUUUGAGACUAAUCGGUGGGUAGAAAUUUCUGAGUUAAGAGGAAUGCAAUUGAAGUUUUUUUAAUACCUAUCUGUAUUAAUUGGAUGAAGAAAUCAAGGACAAUUGUGUUUGCUCGAUUCAGCGACCCUUGUUAUCAAAAAUGAGAUAUCCAUUUCCCAUGACACCCAAAUGGCCAUCUUACAACCCAAGACCCUUUCAAAAUUAGAGUGGACAUUGUCCACAUGUAAUCCCAUGUUAAUCAGCAAGAACCAUCUUGCAAGGAUAAAUACUCUUUAGUGACCUAUAAUGAAGUAGUACCGUGAGAAAAUGGUCAAAAGAAAUCCUAUCGGGGAGUGAAAUAAAGAAUGAAAUUAUAAGCUCCCAAGCAGUGGGAGGAAAUUAUGAGGACUCUAAUCGCGUCUUACGGAGUUCCCUUCUUAUCAUAGAAAUGUUCCAUUCAUCCACUUAUGGGUUUCCCCACGCACAUUUCAGAUAUAAAUUAUGACGCCGUCAUUGUCCAUCCUUUUAAACUUUCAGUAAAUAGUGUCCUGCACUAAAUUUUAAGCAUAAGCCAACAUGUGUCAUCUUAUUGCAAAAACGAAAUGGUCCUUUUGUCAUAUAGGAGAGGAAUGGUGCAAUGAUUAUAUCUCCUCAUAUUUUCGGCAAUUCUCAAAUAGAAAAUCUUAGUUGUCCAAACUUAGUUAUUCACAAAGUUUCAUAUGAACAUUAAGAUUCUGGUCGUUUCACGAAAAAUAACUUUCGAAAAAAAAUAUUUUUUGGAUAUUUCAGCAUUCAAUUCACAAAAAAUAAACUAAUUAAGUUGCCAAUGAAAAAAAAAUGCUUUAAAAAAUGAGAAAAAUAUUUUUCAUUUUUCAGAAAGCGAAAGACAUUUUCCAUCGUCUUAUUUUCACUUUUACACAAGCACUUUUUUUCACCAAAUACCUUUUCCUCUUUUUUGAUUUUUUGAAAAAGUCAAGUUUUCAAUUAUUCUUAAAUCUUAUUUUAAAUGUUUUCUUUUGUUUCUUCUUCUUUGGCUGGUCGUAGACCAUGGCAUGGGUUGGCAACUAGCUACAAGUUAGUUCAAACCUCACCAAAUCUGGACGAGGCCUAAGCUCUCACUCAAGGCCUGUUAGGCGAGCUUGAACCUCGCUAGAUCCACCAUUUGAGAGGGGUUCAAGCCUCGCCUGAGGUUGCCAGAAGCUAUGAAGUAUGGACACGUUGCCCGUGCUUCCGUGUCAUGUUCGACACAUGUCGAAGCGUGUCGACGUGCUUGGACACGCAGUCAACGCGUGUCGGAUUUUCCGACACAUGAUCAACUUUUUUCAACACGUGUCGACACGCGUGUCCAGAAGACAAUGGAGGGUGGAGGCGAGGGUGAGGGAGCAGAGAUGAGGCUGUGUGCGAUGGCGAGCCCGCAACGGCGACAGCUUGCCCGCAAUGGCGAGAGACGGCCAAAGAAAGAGCAUAGACUGAGAAAAGAUCGUUGAAGAAGACGAUGUAGGGUGAAGACAAGAGACGAGGGCGAAGGAGCGGAGGCAACGCCAUGACAGUGAGGGAGGGCCUGCCACGAUGGAGGGCUAGCGACGAGGCUGAGGUUGCGACUACGAAAGAGGAAGGGUUGGAGGAGAGGCGGUAAGGCGACUGAAAAAGAGAUCGUGUGAGAAGGAGGAGGAUGUCGUGGGUAGCAGGUGAAUGGGGGCGGGGCGGGGUGGGAGCGGGAAGAAAGGGAAAGAACUGGACUGGAAGCGAAGAGAAAGGAGGGGGGUCAUUUGGGGGGAGAAAGGAGGAAAAGAAACUGAGAGGGGGAGGGGUGGGUUUGAGGUGGCGUUGGAAAGAUGGCAGAGGAAGACAAGCGAAGCUAGGCAGAGACCGUUGAAUGUCGAUUUUUCUCUCGUUUGUUUGAUCAAGAUCAUUCGAUGGACAAACUUCCUCCCCUGUAACUGAAUAUAGUUCUUUCUCUGUUGCAGACAACGAAAAGGACUCUUAGCUGAGUCGGAUCAAAAUAUUCAACGAAGAAAUUCUGAGUAUUCAAAUCAACAUGGGUGGCACUAAACUGAAACUCGAAUUCAUAUUCAAUUCAAGAUCUCGCAGAAUCACGUUGGAGAAAAGAAAGGACUGAUGAAGAAGGCCGAGGCAUUCAAAAUCCUGUGGCAUCGACACGUGUGUGAUCAUCUACCCAAUGUGGAUGUCUGGCGAUGGCCUGGUCCAGCCAAAGAUCUGGCCGCCUACUAGUAAGGAGGUAGAGCGCAUCAUCCCCCGCUAUUGAAGUGAGGCUGUGGAUCGCCGUGCCAAGCACGCAACUGGACUCCGUGAGUUCUUUGCAAGCCAGAAGAAGAAGAUUGACAUGAAGCUCGCCGAGGCCCACAAGGCCAACUGGGAGGCCAAGUAUCCCGUCUCGGAUGAGUUCCUCAGAGAUCUCUCAGAGCCUCAACUGAGGUCGUUCCCGAGCGCUGUGGGCAAUAGACUCAGGCGAAGACGAGGCUUGCCACAAUGAUGGAGAAGAGAGUGGUCGAGACGGUGGCGCCAAGUGAUGGGAUUGUACCACGCGGCGGAGUAGACCUCCAUGCAAGCAAUGCAGGCUUCAUGCAAGACGGGGUGGUCGAAGCUGGACCGCGUUUGGAGUUCCUGUAUCAACAGUUGGAUCAAUCCAUGAGUAUCCCUCACCAUUGACUUACUUACCGCCUUGGUAUUCAACGCAGUUCGGACCCCCAAGAGGUGACGAUUCCUGGUGCGGCAUUGUCAAUGAAACUCGGAGCAUGAUGUAUGGUCCCCUACAGCAAAUUUUUAUCACGAGAAUGAUCAUUAUGAUCAGGCUCAAUUCUUCAGUGACCCAACCUAUCCCUAAGCAAUCCAUUGCUACGAAAACCCGCUUAAAGGGCCAGAAGGAGUCAUCCGUCGCUUUAGUUCUCUUUCAACUGUUUAUUUUUUUCCUGUCCAAUGAAGCUUCGAAAAGAUAAGUUUGGGCUUAACGGUGAUUUUGCACUGCUUGUACAGAAAAUUCUUAAUAAUGUUAGUAUCGUUAUGAUUCAGCUACUUGUGUUUCUGAUGUUUAGUGGAUCCAUGAAUUGGAUUUAGUCACUCUGAUGAUGUUAGUAGGUUUCUUACGUGUCUUGGAGAACCUGUUUUCUCACGUUUGAUGUUAACUCGAAAGUUGGAAACAGCGUGCUGUUUUGUUGAAUAUGAAUACGCAUGCAACUAAAGAUCGUCGUUCAGAGGGUAACUUCAAAACCCCUAAAGGCCGAUGCAGUGAGGCAUAACAAUAGAGCCAUCCCAAGAAACGCAACUGAAGAUAGCAACACAACACAAUUUCAUUAAGGAUAUCGAGUUAAUAAAGAAACUAAAACCCCACGCAGACCGAAAAGAGAGUACAGGAAGAGCUUAUCUUUCUCUGUCGCUAAGCUUUAAACACAUUGAAGAUUUCACUUUAACUAAAACCACAUCUUCUUGCACCAUUAACGUUGGACGAUGAAAUCAUAUCAUGAUGAACUUUAGUAUCUAAUAUUGUGCAAGGAAUUUACUAAGGUCGAUUAUCAAUUGGAACUAAUUGGACAAUAGUAUGCAUAGGAAGCAAGAAAAUUAUGAUUUACUAAACAAAAGGGGAGAAUUUAUGUCAAACAAAAUGGUUACAUUAUUAGAAUUGUAAAUUCUAUAGAAUCAUUGAUCGUUAACCAUUGUCUCAAUUAUUUUUUUAAGGGUUAAUAGAAUUAAAAAUUUUCAAAUUAUGCCAACAGUGACACAAAUAUCCAAUUUUUUGCUUGUCCCUAAAUUCUUGCCCAUCGGGACAGAAUUACCUCAAACUUUUUGUGUCAUAAGAAACCGAACUUAUACUAGCAUAACUAAUAUACCUUGAAUGAAACUCAAAUAGAUAAUAUAUAUGGCACAUGUAUAUAAGUUUGGGUUUUUUCAUAAUUCAACAAAAAGUUGAGGAUAUUUAUGUCAUAAUGAGCAAAUUUAGAAUUUUUUGUGACAUAAAAAAUGAGAUAUUUGUAUUGUAAUAAGCAUAAUUUAAACUUUUUCUAUGGCAGUUUUUUUUUUUAAUGGUCUGCAUCCAAACAAUCAACUACCGACCAGAAAAAAAAAAGAAAAAAAAAAAACAACCGUCUGGGGUUGCGAAUGUACAUCCCCGCACCCAGCCCCCUUCGCGGGCAUUGCCGCAUUAGUGCGACGUGGGUUCACCCCUAAUCACUUCUUCUUCUUCUUUUGGCAGUCUUUUAAUCACCUUUGUUUGCGCCCAAUUGUCUACUUUUUUUAAAAAAAUAUUUUAUAUAAUCAAUGUAAGAUUAAAAUCAUGAAAAAGCUCAAACUAAUAUAUUUGCGAUAAAUGCCCAAUUGUCUACUUUUUUCAUCUUUUAUAUAAUCAAUGUAAAGUUAAUGUCAUAAAAAAUCUCAAAUAGGUAUAUUUGUACUAAACUUAUACUCUAUUUUUUUAUUAAAUUAAAUUAAUAUUACAAAAAAUUAAUUUUUUGGCUUCCAAAAAUCUUGAUCCUAUACACCUUUGACAACCGUUAGUUUUCAUUAAAUUUUAUUUUUUAAAUGGUUGAGUUUGAUAAUACAUGACAAUUAACGAAUAUACCAGGGUAUCGAGAUCGAACCAAUGACCAUUUCGGUUCAUGGUCAAAACUUUGAUUUUUUUUUUUCAAAAUCAUUUUUGGCCAAAAUGAAAUUGAGACUAUAUGGGAACUUUUUGUGCAAAAAAUCAAAUUUUGACUCGAGGUUGAAUUUUUGUUCAAAGGGUUAACCAAAAAAGUCAGCUCCAAAGUUAACUUUUGACUUUUUAAUAAAAAUGAGUAAGAAAUUACCCAUAAAUGACGGGCCAGUAAAAAGAAUUAAAAACGACAAUUUUCGUUCGAGAAAAUGGUUUGUCAAUGAGAUUUAUUUAACCAAUACCUACGUAUGAAAAGAAAUUCUCACAACAAAUGGCAACUUAUGGACCUAAAACUUAGGGGUAGGAACAAUACAAGUGCUAAUACUUUUGUAUAGUGCUCAUUUGAGUGCCAAAACUUUUUUUUCACUUACUUGAGAACCACAAAUUUGAAAAAUCAAUCACUGAAAUGCCACUUACGAUUUGCCCCGCCGAAAAAGCUAACAUGACCGCCGGAAAAAAUUAUAUUAAUAUUUUUAAUAUUUCUAUUAUUAUUUUGAAUUUGUUAUUUUAUUUUAUUUUUUCUUUUCUUUUCUUUUUGUUUUUAUCUUUACGGUCGGUGAGGGUCAUUGGCAACCUUUGCCCUCGGCAUCAAAGGCAUUGAGCAAGGCCGUCGAGGCCUCGCUGAUGGUUGGCAAGGGCCUUCACCGCCUCACUCUCGCCGCGAAGGCCUUAGGCAACUGCAUCAGUUCCUCAUCAAUAGUGGACAAGGCCACAAGCACCCUCGCCAAUGGCUACCCAAAGCAGGCGAGGCCUUGAUAGCCUUGCCCAAAUUUAGAUGAGGGUUUCAUGGCCCCGGCGAGGGCCCUCACAGCAUGGCCUACAACCAGUGAGGCCUUGACGACUUUGCCUACAGCCUUCGCAACCAAGGGUGAAGUGGCCCUCACCCAAUUUAGGCAAGGAUUUCAUGGCCAAUGAGGGUCACCGAUGACCCUUGCUUGCCCUAAACGAAAAAAGCAAAAAAAAAAAAACUCAAAACUCAAAAAACAAUUUUAAAAAAUCCAUGUAGGACUUGUGGCUAAAAGUGGCACUUAAGUGUGUGAUUUUACUUCGAUAUGGCAUUUAAGUGAACGAAAAAAAAAAUAUCGGCACUUAGGUGAGUGCUAUACAAAAGUUUUGGCACUCUUAUUGUUUUUGUCCUUGAAAUUUAAUAUGAGAAAAAAAUCUCAUCAACUAAUAAUUAUGUAUCAUUUGGACUAGAUAAUAUGUCGAGUGUAUCCUUAUUAAAUGGAAAGUGUAAUAUUUCUCUUCUAUAUAUCUUUUUAGUUAUCAACUCAUUCAGCAACUUGAAUGAAUCUCUGAGUAUGUAAAGGUGCUAUACUGGAUCUACUCAGUACAUAACUACACCAAGUCAUAAAUCCUUAUAUACUCUUUGAGAGGGGCUAAGAAUAUCUUAGAUGGGAAUGGCCAAGGUGGUAACAACAUCCAAAAGAAUGGGGUCAAUGAUACUCGUGGCAACUCUAAUGCUGUGGUCAUCCGCCAGUGUGGACUCGAAGUUGUCACCCAUUAGUGCCUAUGCCAAACUUAAUUUGGGGCAUAAUUGAAGUGUUUAGCAUUUUAUGCUUUGAGUCAUGUGAAACCUCUAUGCAUUUUGAAUUGCCUCCUUAAUCAUUCUAGAGAGUUAUUGACCUUCAUGGCAUUAGAUCACUGUGAUGUCGGUUGUUUAUUGUCUACUUGCCUUGACCACCAUCCAAAUAAUAUUCUUUGCAGUGAGAUCGAAGAUAUGACCUAGCUUCUUAAAACCAAGAAAAUUAUUGUAUAAUCUUGUUUUCUUUCUGAUAUGAAUCGUUGCAGAAGGAUCGUUCUACGAAGGCCCAGAUUGUGCAAAUUGCAAACCUCGACCUCUCAUUUUCCUUGCGUCUCAGACACACCACACAAGCCCUCAAAUUUCUCACAUUUUCUCUCUCUCUCAGCUUCUCAUUGUAACUUUAACUGAUCUAACCUCACUAGGUGUCACUGGUACCAAGGUAUAAGUCUUUUGAUUCAUCAUCAAUGAAUAACAAUUAGUAUACCCAUCAUGAUAUACCUUUCAAUCAUAUUGGCAUGUUCUUCCAAGUAAGAUAUGACCCGCUUGCAUAGGUACAACAUCACACUCUACCUCGUCCUUGUAUCUCCCUAUCUCAAAUGGAAUUUGAACUUGCUUCGAUACUUUCACCUCACCACUAUCAUUUAACCAUUGAAGUCUAUAAGGCCUAGGGUGCUUUGUCAUUUUCAAACCCAACUUAUCCACCAUAGUACAACUUGUCACAUUCGCACAACUACCAACAUCAAUUAUCAUACUACAGAUCUUACCAUUCACCACACAUCUUGUAUGAAACAAGUUAUCUAUUUGUUGGUGAUGCUCCUCCUCUUUUACUUGCACACUCAGAGAACGCCUAACCACCAAUAAGUCUCAUUUUAUAGCCACUUCUCCAUCACUACAAUCCUCCAAUAGUGGCAUCUCAGCAUCCUCUUCUUCCCUUUCACUUUCAGACUCAAUAAUACCAUGUCCAGUCAUGAUCAUCACCCUCCUAUUAAGGCAUUGAUUCGCCAUAUGACCCUUUCCCAAACACUUAAAACAUUUAAUCUCACGAGUUCUAGGGUUUUCAGUUUUACCUGAAGCAGGAUUCGUUCCAACUUUAUCGUCCCUCUCCUUCUCCUUUGAAGUUUCGGUUUUGGUGUUAUUUCCUCUCCAAUUUGGCUUUUCAUCUCUCUUCCAAUUGGAUCUUCAAUUUUGAUUUGAACCUCCUCCACUCUUGUGAUUUCGGUCCAACUUCAAUUGCCGCUCAACUUUAAUGGCUUUGUCCACCAAUUCCUCCAAUUCAACAUAGUGUUGCAACUCCAUCACCCUUGCUAUGUCUCAGCUCAAACCGCUCAAAAAUCUUGACAUUGUGACCUCACUGUCCUCCACCACAUUAGCACGGAUCAUGACAAUCUCCAUCUCCUUGUGAUACUCUUCCACACUCUUAUUCCAUUGUAUGAGAUUUUGUAACUUUUGAAACAAAUCUCGGUGAUAAUGACUAGGUACAAAACGCCUCCUCAUCACCGCUUUCAUCUCAUCCCAUGUCUCUAUCGGUCUUUUACCAUUGCGCCUCCUACUAGUCACAAGUUAAUCCCACCAAAUUAUAGCAUAAUCAGUAAAUUCAACAACUGCAAUUUUUACCUUUUUGAGCUCGGAAUAUCGUUGGCAAUCAAAUACCAUCCCCAUGCGUUUCUCCCAUUCUAGAUACGCAUCAAGAUCAUUCUUCCCUUGGAAAGAAGGAAUCUUUAUCUUGAUAUUGCCACGUUCAUUAUCUUCUCGGUGUCUAAAUCCUUGGGCUCCAUUCCACCUUCCAAAUCGAGCAUCUCGAUCAUCCUCCAUGUCGGCCUCAUCAUCAUCAUAAUGCUGUUGCCUUCUAUGUCGUGUUCUAGAGGUGUCUCGCUAAUGUUGCGACCUUCUCCGGGGUAGCUCUUGGUCACCAUCAACCCUCAUAUCAUUCCCCAUCAUUCGGCCACUAAGCUCCUCCACUACGGCCCUCAAUUGCUGGAUGCUUUCCACGAGCGCUUCAUCCCUUCAUAUGGAGUCAAUCUCCUUUUGAUUCACACUUUCUUCAUGCAACAUAUUUUAGACCUACAAGUAAACGUUAGUCACAAAAAUCCUCACCAAUCACUCCUUUACGUGUUUCUCUCAAGGUGUUUGUCACUCCCCUCGUGUUUAACUUAAGUCUAGGCUUUUUCCAACCUCAAUUAAGCUUACACUCUUGCCUUUUUCCUCUCGUAUUCUCUUUUCACAAGCUCUUUAUUGGACUCAAAACCUAUCUCUCAACCCCCUCACGACAAUCAAUCAAACUAAUCAAACAAGAUUAGAUCACUAUUGAUUUUGUUUCAGCAAGUAACAAUUUCAAACCAACAAGUACAACUUUCGAAAUUCCAAUUGCAACGCAAAUCACUACUGAUUUUGUUUCAAUUCAGUCUACUAACAAACGAGUCGCCUUCUUGAUUUUUUUUUGUAUGGCUAAUUUUAUUUUAUUUUUGCCGAAUCUGUUUUUUUUUUCUUGCGCACUUUUUUUGUGUGAGUUUUCUUUCUCUUUUUUUUUGUCGAACUUUCUUUUUUUUUUUGACGAACUCAGAUACAAUUUAAGAUGCUAGAAAAAAAAAAUUAAAACUAACAGUAAACAACUACGUAUGGAAGAGCAAAAGCAAUCAGAUCCCUAAAUUAGCUAGAACCGAAACCCUAGCUUAAUAAAUUUCAAAUUGCUGAAUGUAAACAGAAAAUUAAAGAUAAAUAGACAUUGUAGAAACAAGCUCUGACACCAACUGAUGUGAAUCGUUGCGGAAGGAUCGUUCUACGAAGGCCCAAAUGAUGCGAAUUGCAAACCUUGACCUCCAAUCAAACCUGUGAUUGGCAACCUCGGUAUGAACGUGACCCGUUGACGAACAUGUGUCAACCAACCAACGUUAUAAACGCCACGAGCGAAAGAAUUCGCUAUCUCGCUCGAUAAGUCGAAUCAACCGUCACAAGGGAAUCUUGAUUAGGUCAAGUUCUCAAAAGAACAAUAGAAGAGAAUCUCUCAACUUUUUCCUCAAAAAUAAAAUAUCUGUCCCCAAAGAAAUUUGACAAAUCCUUUACAUAGGCUUUCUAGCCGCCACACAAACCCUAAAAAAUCUAAUGCGUCAUAUUCUAGAAUAUUUCUAAACAAGAAGAAUAUUCCUAUUUGACUUGGUCAAAUAUUUGGUGACCAGAUAAUCAAAUUGCGCCAAAAUUUCCAAGAUUCUUCAAGAUCUGAUCCAAGGUCAUCUCCACAGCAAAGAUCACGAACCAUAACACCAACAGCUUGCCUAAAUUGCUUGGCCCGCACUCGAGUGAUCAAACCAGUAGGAAUAGAUAAUGGGUCCUUAGCACCUCCUCCUUGAUAUGGCUCGAUGUCCACAUCAUUUUUAUGCAAAAUCAAGUGAAGUGAGAAGAGCUUUAGUUCUAGAUCGACCAAUGCUUGUACUUGUGUAUAAGGAGGUUUUGUUUUCUACUAACGAUCUUGACCCAAGUUUGCCUAGUCCUAUUGUGUCUUUAUUGCAGAAAUUUGAAGAUAUCUUUCCUGAUGAACUUCCUGGAGGAAUACCACCGAUUCGAGGCAUAGAACAUCAAAUUGACUUGAUUCCUGGUGCGCCAUUACCUAACCGACCCUCAUAUCGAAGCAAUCCCGAGGAGAUAAAGGAACUUCAACGGCAAGUUAGCGAACUAUUAGAGCGAGGGUAUGUGAGAGGGAGUCUUAGCCCGUGUGCUGUCCUUGUUUUGUUGGUGACAAAGAUUGAUGGAACUUGGCAAAUGUGUGUCGAUUGCCGAGCAAUCAAUAACAUUACGGUAAAGUAUCAACAUCCUAUUCCUAGGUGAGAUGACAUGUUGGAUGAGUUGCAUGGUUCUUGCAUUUUCACUAAGAUCGAUUUGAAAAGUGGCUAUCAUCAAAUUAGAAUGAAAGAAGGUGAUGAAUGAAAAACUGCAUUUAAGACCAAGUAUGGAUUAUAUGAGUGGUUAGUCAUGCCAUUUGGAUUAACUAAUGCACCGAGCACGUUUAUGCGACUUAUGAAUCGUGUUUUGCGUGUUUUUAUUGGUCGAUUUGUGGUUGUCUAUUUCGAUGACAUCUUGAUUUAUACACAAAGUCCUUAUGACCAUAUUGAGCAUGUGCGAGCUGUGUUGCAAGUUUUAAUGGCCGAGCAAUUAUACGAUAAUCUAAAGAAGUGCUCUUUUGUUACUAACAAAUUAGUAUUUCUAGGAUUUAUUGUUAGUGAUGAUGGUAUACAGGUUGAUGAAGAAAAGGUCAAAGCAAUCCGUGAAUGGCCAACGCCUAAGACCAUAGCAGACGCGCGUAGCUUUCAUGGAUUUGCGAGUUUUUAUCGGCGAUUUGUAACAAAUUUCAGCACCGUCGCCGCACCUUUAACUGAGGUUAUCAAGAAGCACGUGGGUUUCACGUGGGGAGAAGAGCAAGAGAAAGCAUUUAAUCUGCUAAAAGAUAAGUUGACUAAUGCUCCUUUGUUAUCUUUACCGAAUUUCGGUGCUACUUUUGAGAUAGAGUGCAAUGCUUCUGGUACAGGAAUUGGAGCCGUGUUGAUGCAAGGAGGGCGUCCCAUUGCUUAUUUCAAUGAGAAAUUGAGUGGAGCAAUAUUGAAUUAUCUUACCUAUGAUAAGGAGAUGUAUGCUUUAAUGCGAGCCUUGGAGACUUGGCAACAUUAUCUAUGGCCAAAGGAGUUUGUUAUCCACACCGAUCAUGAGACCUUGAAGUACUUGAAAGGGCAGCAAAAGUUAAAUAAAAGACAUGCCAAAUGGAUGGAGUUCAUCGAGACUUUUUCAUAUGUAAUCAAGUAUAAGAAAGGUAAGGAGAAUGUGGUAGUCGAUGCACUUUCUCGAAGGUAUGCGAUUCUAACUAUUUUAGAAGCAAAGUGUCUAGGUUUUGAGCAUAUCAAGAGCUUAUAUACUGAUGAUGAUGACUUUGGGAGAGUGUAUGAAGCAUGUAAACAUGCUGCAUUUGAUAAAUUCUAUAGGCAUGAAGGUUAUCUUUUUCAUGAAAACAAACUAUGUUUGCCUAAGUGUUCUUUGCGUGAAUUGUUGGUGUGAGAAGCGCAUAGUGGUGGUUUAAUGGGGCAUUUUGGUAUUAAUAAGACUUAUGAAGUGCUGCAUGAACAUUUUAUUGACCACAUAUGAAGAGAGAUGUCACACGUGUUUGUGAGAGAUGCAUUGCUUGUAAGCAAUCAAAGUCUACAACUAAACCGCAUGGCUUGUAUACACCAUUAUCUAUUCCAACGCAUCCUUGGAUUGAUAUUUCUAUGGAUUUUGUGUUAGGAUUGCCUAGGUCUAAGAAUGGUAGAGAUUCUAUUUAUGUGGUUGUUGAUCGGUUUUCAAAGAUGGCUCAUUUUAUACCUUGUCAUAAAACUGAUGAUGCAUCUCAUGUUGCUGAUUUGUUCUUUAGGGAGGUUGUACGUUUGCAUGGCAUGUCUAGAUUGAUUGUUUCAGAUUGAGAUUCUAAAUUUCUUAGCUACUUUUGGAAAACAUUGUGGAAAAAACUAGGAACACGGUUGUUAUUUUCUACUACUUGUCAUCCACAAACUGAUGGUCAAACCAAGAUAGUUAAUAGAACUUUAAAGGUAUUGUUGCGUGCUAUUAUUAAAAAGAACAUAAAAUCUUGGGAAGAUUGUCUGCCACAUGUUGAGUUUGCAUAUAAUAGGAGCAUGCAUUCUGCUACUAAAUUUACAUCAUUUGAGGUUGUCUAUGGUUUUAAUUCGUUAACUCCAUUAGAUUUAACCCAUUUACCUGUUAAUGAGCGUGUGGAUUUAUAUGGAGCAAAGAAAGCUGAAUUUAUCAAGGCGUUGCAUGAGAAGACGCACGCAAAUAUUGAGCGCAAGACUGAGCAAUAUGCAAGGCAAGCCAACAAAGGGCGCAAGGAAGUGGUGUUUGAACCCGGCGAUUGGGUUUGGGUUCAUAUGCGCAAAGAGAGAUUUCCUGAGCAGCAACAUUCUAAGUUAUUACCGCGAGGGAAUGAACUAUUCAUGGUUUUGGAAAGAGUUAACAAUAAUGCCUACAAGCUUGAUCUUCCAAGUAAGUAUGACGUUAGUGCCACAUUUAAUGUUUCUGAUUUGACUCUUUUUGAUGCCAGUGAUGAUUUGAGGGCAAAUCCUUUGCACGGGGGAGGGAAUGAUGUGGACAUCGAGCCAUAUCGAGGAGGAGGUGCUAAGAACCAAUUAUCUAUUCCUACUAGUUCGAUCACUCGAGCGCAGGCCAACCAAUUUAGACAAGCUGUUGGUGUCAUGGUUCGUGAUCUUUGGCAUGAAGAUGAUCUUGGAUUAGAUCUUGAAGAAUCUUGGAAAUUUUGGCGCAAUUUGAUUAUCUGGUCACUAAAUAUUUGACCGAGUCAAAUAGGAAUAUUCUUCUUGUUUAGGAAUAUUCUGGAAUAGGAAUAUUCUAGAAUAUGACGCAUUAGAUUUUUAGGGUUUGUGUGGUGGCUAGAAAGCCUAUAUAAAAGAUUUGUCAAAUUUCUUUGGGGACAAAUAUUUUAUUUUUGAGGAAGAAGUUGAGAAAUUCUCUUCUAUUGUUCUUUUGAGGACUUGACCUAAUCAAGAUUCCCUUGUGAUGGUCGAUUCGACUUAUCGAGCGAGAUAGUGAAUUCUUUCGCUCGUGGCGUCUAUAACGUUGGUUGGUUGACACAUGUUCAUCAACAUGUCACGUUCAUACCGAGGUUGCCAAUCACAGAUUUGAUUGGAGGUCGAGGUUUGCAAUUCGCACCAUCUAGGCCUUCAUAGAACGAUCCUUCCGUAACGAUUCACAUCACUUUCUCAGUGUUUCAUUGAUAUAUUUUAAAAGUGAGAGGGGUUCUGUACUAAUUUGUUUCAUUUCCUUGGAUUUUGAUAUAUGUACUCUUGUUAAAAAAAAGUCGAUUUUAAUUUUGAUGUGAAUAAGUUUUUUAAUCUCUUCUUUCAUAUUUGAAUUCAUUUAGACACCAAGAAAGCUAAAGUUGAUGUGAAGAAGGUUACAACCUGUGUGGAUUCAUGCUCUCAGGGUUGCCAAAAUACCUAUUAUUGAAAUAAACUUUGAAAAUUUUCCUUUUUUAUGUUUAAACAAAGGCAACUGAAUUAUGUAAUGCCUUUAUGGUUUCACAUAACAACUAAUAAAAAGUACAUUUUUCAUUAUCUGCUUGACUAUUAUUGCGACCCGACCUCCCCCUCGUAAGAAAGAGAAGAAAUGUUGAGUUUAGGGAUGCUUGACCAUGGGAGUUCCCUCACGGCUCGCACCCCAAAAGGCGUCAUCACCUCGUCUUUUGGAAUGAACCUUUGUGAGUUCGCUCGAUCAAAGUCGUGAGCUCUCCCGAGAUCAUACCUCGUGUGACAACGGAAGGUAUUGUGAUUCGUACCUACAUGGGCAACACACCUUGAAAGAGGAGAUCGGGUGUGCAAAUCAAAUUUUGGGGUAUUUUUACCACGAUAACCCUCUCAACCAUACUCUUCACCCCUAAUGAUGUCAUCACUUCAUCCUUUGGGCUACUACCACUUUAAGUAUGCUAAAUCAUAGUGAAUCUCGUCGAGACCCAUACCCCUCACAAUAGAUUUACUUAUUAUCUAGUUGUUUAGAACAACAUAAAAAGAUAAGAGUCGCCACUAGCCUUGUUUUUUGGAGUCAACUAGGAAACCCAAUCCAAAGUUGGGAGUGGUCCCACGAUUUCUAUGUAGCUAGAUAUCCUAGAUUCAAGGACUUGAGUUAUGCUAAUAUUUAUAUUAGCAUCAUUUUGGUACCUAACGAUUUGUCAUGUUUCUUAAGGUGAUCAUGCAUGUCUUUUAUAUUUUAGGGUCGAUUACACUAACUAAAUGAUCAUGCGCAGAUUGUUGCUUUCAUGCAAUUCUAUUUUCUAUGAAAAGGAAAAGAAAGCACACAAUUGAAAUUUAAAGACAAGGCAAUAAGUAAACACUCAAAGGAACAGUUUAGGGAAAGUGAUAAAUCUAAUAUGUGACCUAAGCAAUGAAACGAAAAUAAAAUGAAAGAAAUAAACCCGCAACUCAUCAGGUGUUUAUACAAUGCAAAAUAAACCGAAACAUAUAUUCGGGACAAAUGUAUACAAAAUAGGAUCAGAUUGGACAUCGACCAUCCAUUGUUUUCAUUUCUUGAAGGGCCUCCACUUCCAAGGACCUAUUCUAAUCCUAAUCUAAAACUAAGACUAAGUACAUAUAAUAGGAAAGAAACAGUCGUUCAUGGAAAAAACAAUCACAACCACAAGAUGAUCAAGAACAACCAAGUAAUUCAAACCAUAUGCAAAAUUGAACAAAUUGGGCCUCAAGGUUGGCCUUUGCAAUUCAUGCAAUGAUACCUCUAGAAAGUCUACCCAAAUUUAUUUUUAUACCUUACAGCCAUUGGCCACCAUUUGUGUUUUCACUUGGCAACCAACGCUUAUAAACCCCUAAGACAUAUUUUAAGUGAAUCCCAAGGUUAUCUCAUGAAAUUAUGCAUCAUACAUAGGCAUACAUCUAAAAAAGCACAUGAAUAGUGGGAAAUAAACAUGCAGGUAGGCCUUUAAGCCUUGCUUCUCAAAUGAUCAAACAGUUUUAGAGAGCUAACAUUGGAUCACAUAUUCGGUCUGUGACAUCCUGAAUUUCAGGUUCUAUUUUCGAUUGAAUGAAUCGAGCCUUUCAUCGACGCAACUAUAGUGUUUUCCUCUGAGAUGGCCACUCACGAAAUAACUAGCCUAUCAGGUGAAGCCGUUAAGGAAUAUAAACGCAAUAGACUUGAGAAUUCGACUAGGAAUCGACUGCUCGACCAUUCUAGUCUACAAGGGUCAUUAUGGCACAAUUAAAAACCAAUCACAAAUCAGAGAUAGGUCGGUUCGACUGAGAUGUGUGACUAAACGUGGGUGAUUCCACUAAUUUGUAAAAUUCUCAUCGAUCGGCACUAGACUGAUUUUUCUGCCAUUUUGGUGCCCUAUGUCCGUAUUUGAAACCUUGAGAUUUUCACAAUAAUCGAAAGCCGCCAAUGUGUCGAAGAGGUACAUGUGGCUCGAAGAAAAUCGACCACGGGUCAAUUGCACUUAAAAUUUCUAAAAGCUACCAUGUAGGUUAGGUCACGCUAAAAUCGCGUCCAAUUGAAAUUAACCGCGAAUUUGAACCCGAUUUCAGAAAUUGAAAGUUCAGUUAUGUCACGAGUUAUUUUAGAAAUAUCGACUCAUCUUUCAAGGAAAUUUCAACGAGUUCAAGAUUUUUACGGAAAAUUGAUUCGGACGAUUCGGAAAAUGAACGGACAUUCGGAUGGGCCAAUUUGAAGGGGUUUUUGGCCUCCUGUGUGAGCUACUUGGUGAAAGGAAAUUAUGUGGGUUUUUUCUUCAACAAAAUUAGACAUCAAUCGGAGAGUUUUUUUUUUUUUUUUUUUGUAAAGGGUAAUGAUAUAUUGAGCUUUAACCAACAAAUAUACAAGAUCCGGCACCACAAAACUUGCACUCAACAAGACACAGACGUCUCAUCGAGUGAAAGGGCGCCGGACACAAAACACCGCAAAGCGGUCAUCUCAAGCAAGGGCCGAAACAGGAAGCCCAAGAAAACAGCUACGCAGGGCCGAGAACAAACUAAAAAGACAAACUAACCAAAAGGCCACGCAGGGCCAAGAAGAACAACCCGCAAGGUUAGACUAUGGCGACCUAGGCGGUCGGCAUAGGAGAGCUGAAGAUAGACGGGUCAAGGCCCUAGUUUCUUUGUAACCUCCUAUUUCUCGGGCAAUCUUCCACGCUUUUGAAAGUUAAGGCUUUAUCCUUCACCACUUUAAUAAGAUGCUUCUUGAUAGCCGCAACCACAACCGGAUGCUCUCUAAAGAGGAUGUCGUUUCUAUACUUCCAAAUGAGAUGACACAGAGCUCCAAAAGAGAAACGACCAAUGGCGUGAUAGAAAUCCUUACAUGAGAGGAAUCUCAUCGCCCACUGAAGAUUUUCUUUCUAAGUCCCAUUUCUCCAUGGGAGGUUGCACCUGGCCACCCAAAAGUAAGCCAUACUAGCCGUGAUGCAGCAACCAAAGAAGAGGUGGUCAAUAGAAUCCGGUGUGAGCUUGCAAAAGGCACAUACUUCACUCUCAAUUCUCCCAUAAGACAUAAAAAAAGCUUGGGUAGGAAGCCGGUUCUUAGUGAUCAGCCAGAGGUUGAAUUGGUAUCUCAGAGUGAUAGCCUUGUUCCAAAUAGAGGAUGACCACACAACCCUGUCUUUCCUUCUUCUGAGUAUAUGCCAAGCUGAGGCGACCGAGAAGACACCGGAAGGAUUAUCCCUCCAUAUAAAUCUAUCCGGAACACCUGUGAGAACCGGAAGGGGCUGGUUCCAAGAAUCCAUCAAUGACCUGAAGUCUUGACCCGCCGAAGAAAAAAGGUCUGCAACAACUGCAUACCAAGGCAGCCCCGAAUUAUAGAUAGUCUGCUCUGAACAAAUAAGAUCCAGCGGACCUCUCUGAUGCCAAUGGUCAAACCAAAGUGAUGUCCCCUGGCCAUCUCCAAUCUUCCAGUGGAAGUUGAGGCGGAAUUUGGAUCUCAGGUGGAGGAUCCUCUUCCAAGCUCACGAGCAGCUGGCCGGCGUCUUAGCCACCCAGAAGUUCGUCUUUCCCAGAAAAGUAGAGUGAAUCCAUUUGUACCAAAGAGACUCCUUAUCCGUGAAGAGGAUCCAGAUGUGCUGAUUUUUAGAGGGAGGAUCCCUCUCACUCUCCUCUACAUCUCCACCGAAGGAAUUUCCAAGAGCUGGUCUAGAUCAAAAGAUAUCCGCAACCAUAGCCCUGGUUCGUUUUCCGGUUUCUGCACUGGUUUGUUUCUGUUUUAUGGAUCCCUCGAGAGUUCUACUGGUUGGAAUGGGAUGAUUUUUGGAGGAUAGCUUCCUCUUAACCUCAUCUUCCAUCCCACCAAAGGAUUUUUGAUUGGAUGAUCUCUAUCAAAAGAUAUCUGCAACCCUAGCACUGGUUCGUUUUUACCGGUUUCUGCACUGCUUUUCUUCUGGUUUUCUUCAUCCCACGAGAGCUCCUCUGGUCGGAAUGGGUUGAUUUUUGGAGGACAUCAAUCGGAGAGAUUUAUUUUUUAUUUUUUAAGAAAUCUGAUUCCGGGAAAAAGGAAAUAAAAUUCGAAAUUAAGGGAAAUGACCAAUUUUGCUAUCCAAAGUUAGCUAUUUGUGGAAGUUCAUGUGCUUGAAAGCUUGUGGAACCAUUUCUUGUUGAAUUAGAAUAUUUAUUUUUUAUUGUCAAUUCCCCUUUCUCUUAUUCUUUCUUUCCGCACGUUUAUUUUUUCCCUGUCGUGCACGUUCGCAAGUUCAUCUCCCCUCCCCCUCUUCGGUCUCUCCCCCCAUCCGACAACCACCCCCACCCAACCGACAUCCUCAUCCCUUUUGCUUUUCUCUCCCUUAUCCCCUCUUUUUCCUUCGGUCCUUCUUCCUCAUCCCUUCUCUUUUGUUUUCUUUUUGGUCGAAGACUUCAGCCUACACAUUCUCUGCCCCCUCCACUUCGUGCGCCUCCACCGAAGCUGCCACGUUCGCCCAUUCCCCUGCAGUUUUCUUUCUUUUGUUUUCGGUUCUGUUAGAAAUUCCUACAACGUCAACACCCUCGUCUCCACCGAAGCCGCCACUUGUCCGCAGCUCAGCCUCCUCAGGUCAACCCUAGCAGUUCUUCAACGCAGCAGCUCCCACCGAAGCAGCCGCAUGCCCUCUCCACAUCCACGAGUCCACGAAUAGCUCGCGUCUCUCUGAGCUUCAGCCGCCAGCAGCCCGCGAAUCAGUCCAGCCAGCCUCGCCAUUCAGCCACGUGUUUAGCCACGUUCAAUCCAGAACGAGAAGCCCAACCGAGGGCUUUGUGGCCGAUUUUGACCCGGCCUGGGCUCCCAUUGGCGUUGCCGCUUUGGAGUUGAUCUACCACCAUCGCGUCGCCAUCACCGUGAACCGAUUUUCGCGUUAAUCCAGUAAGUUUAACUCACUAAUCCCUUCUUUGUAAGUUAAUGACGCUUAAGGGUUUAUUAGUUUAAAUUAAGCUUGGAUUAUGUGAUUAGUUAGACUAGGUUAGUGAAUUAAUUGAUCGUUAAUGCAUGUUAGGUGAUUAUAAUAGUGCAAUUAGCGAGUAGACAAGUUGUAGUAUUUAUCUAGAGUGGUUUGGAAAUUUUCCGGGCCCAUUUUGGUAUUUAAUUAGGCUUUUCCGGCCUAAGUUGAAUUUUUGGUAUUUAUUAAUUAAUUUUCGAAAUUAUUUAAUUAAUUAUUAUUUUUCAGAAAUUAGACCAAGAUGGUAGGUGACCGAAAUUUUAUACUGAUUGCAGUGGUAUGAUCUGUUUAUUUAAUUGAGUGUAAUUUGCAAUUUUGGAUAUUUAUCCCAAAAUUUAUUAAUUUCAGUAUUUAAUUAGAAAAUUACCAAGCGUCGGUUUACAACGCUGAAAAUGUUUUUAUUGAUUGUAUAAUUAAUGGGAUUUUACAAAAUAAAGAAAUUAUAUUUUUUGCUAAAACCUACCGUGUACCCAUACACGAUUAUUUUACUGGAACUAUGAAAGCAAUGAAAAGGGUGGUGGGUGAGUAUAAUAUCUAUGAAUCAGCUUUGGUGAGCAUAAAUCAGCUUCGGUGAGCAUAAACCGGCUUCAGUGAGCACAAAUCAGCUUAGGCGAGCUAUUCUAUAUAUAUAUCAACUUCGAUGAACUAUACUAUCUAGCUAUAUCAACUUCGAUGAGCUAUAUUAUCUAUCCUUAUCAGCUUUGGCAAGCAUUCUUUUGUAUCAGCUUAGGUGAGCAGUGAUCAUUUCAAUAAAACAACUAGAUAGAUAGUAUUGGGUGAUAGAUAGUAUUAAAAUGGUUGACCUAAAGAUGGUCUUGAUGAUAUGGAAUCAACUAGGUCGACUGAUCGAUGAUUCGAUCUGAUUGGAUGAAUUGAUUUGUUGAAAUGAGUGAUCGAAAUGAUUGAAUUGUGCUUACUUGCAGGAAGGGACUGCGGCCAAGAUAAGUCCUCCGACUUGUACUUGUGCUUAAACAGCCUUAAGGCAUAUUUUCUUCAUAAUCGGGUCUUAGGGGGUGAACUUGCUGAGACAUUGUCUCGCCCCAUUGUGGGAUAACAUUUUCAGGUCCCUAGGGUGAAGAACCUGGAACUUGAGGCGAAAGGGUCGGGAGCAUGGAUGGCUCAUAAGUCAUUUUUGGAGAUAGGCCUCCUAUACUUGAACCCUAGAGUUGGCCUCUGGUUGUAAGCCAAAUUGUGAUUUUUAAUAAUGUGUUGAUUUAAAAUUUGUGUCCUACUUUUUUAUCACACGUUUGUUGUAGUCAGGGGAUUAGUAAUUCUCUUUACGUAUGUGCAUUAAAAUGAAUGGGUCAGUGACGCAUCCUAGGACAUCGCAAAUUUUAUCAACCACCGAAGGAUGGGCACGUGCUCGGAGAAUCGGGGCGUGACACAAUCAACAAGCGCCAAAUGCAAUCACAGGCAUUUAAGAAAGGUAAACAAGUCAAGAGUUAUGAAAGUUCAAAUGAUGAUCAAAAGUCAUUUGAAAAGCAAUUGAUAGUGAAUUGUGAGAAAAUAUGCUAAUGGUAUUGUAAAGAUGUGUCACAACUAGCAAUGAUGGCCACUCUAAUCGAGCUUCGUAAGCGCCCUAAAUAUGGUCCAAACUUUAGACAACAUCAAUAAUAAGUUCAGAGUACAGUUUGAAAAUUUGGAACUCAAAUGAUGACAUAAAAAUUUGUGCAUGAGCAUCACUUGAACUAAAGUCAAAUUCAAAACAACAAAAACAAGAAAAUUGAGACAAGUUCAUGACAUUCAAAGGGUUUGAAAAGCAUGAAAAGUGCUUUUUUUAUUUUUGGAGAAUAUUUUGUGUGUGAAGUUCAAAAAGUUAGGAUCAAGUCCAUGAAGACAUGUGAAUCCAAUUCAACAUGCAAGUUGAACUAAAAAAAUUCUUCCAGAAGGUUUUCUUAUUCCAAAGCCACCUUCUAAACAUUUAUUGCUCGUUUACAUGAAAAUAAUAGAUUACCUCGUGGAAUUUGUUCAAGUCUUCAUUUAUUUCGUGGAAAAUGAAUAAUGUGAAAAAUAUUUUCCUAAAAAUGAUGGCUUAUAUCACUUGAAAUAAUUAGUCAAUGGAAAAUAUUUUCAUUAUACAUACCAAUUUAAGCCCAAAUAUGUUCAUGGAUGAUGAAGAUGGUUUUCAUUCAUUUAUUUUUUUGUAAGUGAUAUGUGCAAUUAUUUUUUUGGAAAAUACUUUCCAAAUUAUUCAUUUUCUACGAAAUAAACGGAGCCAAAGAUUGGAAUUUUUAAUAUGAAGAAAUGGCGUGAAGGCAAUAGAAAGAAUUACCAAAUGACCUAAAUUGCUGCUCAAGCUAUCACGUAUUAAUAUGUUCUGGACAAAAUUAGAUUAGGGUUAAUAAUCUCACAGAAUAAUGUGCUUUCAUGCCGUGAUGGAUCUUUAGUGUGAUUUGAUGUUGUCAAUUUGAUGUAAUGUACGCAAUUUACUUUUUCCUCACAUACGAACUUCUGUCUAAAUCCACUUUUGAUAAAAUAAAAUCACUUCUUAUGGCACUUAUAUUGGUAUUGUAGGGGAAAAAAUGGACAUCAUAUGUAUUUAAGGAACGUGACAUUUAUAAUUUACCGAAUCAAAUAACGCUAAAUACAAUUUAACUAAUGCUUUGCGGUCAUAAAGAUACACUUCGGCUCAUUAAUUUGACUUAAGAAAUAGUAAAAUCCAUAUUGUAGAUGGAUAGUACGGGUAGUUUAUAAUUUUCAAAAGUUGUGAUAUCUACAUAUGCAUAGUCUCACAAAGAUAAAAAAUAUAAAAAUUGAGCAAAAAACUAAGAGCUUUCCAAGCUUGACGGAGCAAUUAAAAUACGUAAUGCAAAUAUUUGCCCAAAAAUAAAAAAUCGAUAGAAUAACGAACCAAAAGUGUAAAAUUUAAUAGGGCGGACGACCAUUGUUCCAAUAUGACAAUCUCAAACAAGAAAAUCUCUAAUUUUCAAAAGAGAAACUCUUUUCUGCGCGUGGGCAGUAUAUAUUUAGUCUUAAUUUUUUUUCGGUGGCUACGGUUUUCAUAUAUGAUGGCUCGACAGCGAGAUGACGGUAUAAUAACUUCGAUAAAAAAAUAAAUAAAUAAAAUAAAAUAACAAAAAACAACAACAACUUCGAUACAAUGUAUUAUGGAUUUAGGCCUCAGUCGAUUUUUGACCGCUGCCGGCCCGAACCAAAUUAAAAAGCCCAAGAUUUUUGGCAAUAAGCCCGACUGCACGUUCGGCCCGAAAAGCAAUGUUAUCCGAUUCGUUAGCCCAACGGGGAACUCCUUUUCGGGCCAACUUGUCUCUAAGGGGUACGAGGAAGUUGCCUUUUUUUUUUUUUUUUGGGCCGUGUCGAGACAGAAAUUGAAGGAGAUAAAUUUUGGGGAAUGAGGUUUUGGGGAAAAAAUGGAGGAAAAUAAAUUUUGGACGAUGAUAUUAUAUUUGUUAAAAAAAUAAAUUAAUUAGUUAAAAAUAAAUUUCAAAACGAAAAUACUAAAAGUUAAAUAAUGAUAAAUUUUAAUUAUUAUAGAAGAUCAUAGAUUUUUUUUAAAAUAAGUUAAUUAUAAUUUUUAAUUAGUCAUUCGUUUCAUCUAUAUUUUUUGUUAAAGUUAGAAAUAUGUUCUCAAAUAUAGAUAUGCAUUAACUAUUAAUAUGUCUUUCAAAUUUCCUAUGAAUACAUUUAUAAAUAUUAUUAGUGCAAAUUCAUUGUAAGCACUUUUUUAUAAAUUAUUUAUUUGUGAAUUUGAAGCAAAUUAAUUAAAAAUAAAAAAAUUCAUUUAAUUUAUAACAUGUCCUAACAUGCCGGAAUUCUUUCUUUUUGAAAAAUGACAUAUCGGCGUAUCGUGUCAUGUCGUAUCGCGUGUCCAUGCUACUUAGAUCAUAAGUCAUCAAGGCUCUAGCAACCUUAGGCAAGGCUUGAGCGUUGCCAAACUCGCCAAGAGGGUUGAGAUUGCCUAUGACUUGUCGUUAUGGCCAGGCCUAAAAAAAAAAAAAAAAAGGAGAAAAGGGAAGAAAACUAAUUUAAAAAAUUCAAAAUUUUUUUUGAAAAAUAUCAUCAUUUUUAUGGAAAAUAGCCUCCUGAAAAUAUUUUAUAAAAACAUCACAUUUUCCGCAUAAUUGAUGGAGCCAAAACCGGAACGAUGAUAUGUCAUUUCAUAGAGUUCAUCUUGCGCGUGCAGAAGUCAAAAAGAAUUGAAGUGUAUGGGAGGGGACCACCCCCCUAUUGAAGAAACUUCGGAACUAAACCCCAAUCCAUUCGUUGAAAUUGUCGUCCUCACCGAGCUUACCGUACAACUUUUCUCUCUCUUGGGGGCGUGGCUUCCUUCAGAAGCUGAGGACCGACUUUAUUUUGAAGUAGUCGUCCAACACGCUGCUCAUCAGCGGAUACAAGGGCUCGGCGAAUCCAGACAGCCGGUCUCAUCAUUUCGCGCCCUCUGCAACUGCUACCUCGAAAGCGACAAGCACAUACCUCGCAAUUCUUUGUCUCGGUUGUGUGUCUUCUUCCUUUGCGUUGCACAUGUUCUCAAAGCUUGAUUACCAUAUGGUUUCACCUAUGAAGUAAUUAUUUUAGAUUGAGCUUCAUGAGAGGAACUGAUCAGAUCUUUUUCAGGUGGGAAAACGACCAAGCCGGGGUUUAAGUUUUCGAUUGAGCAUAUGAAUGUAGGAAAAACAUUUCCCACUUUGCCCGAUGAGAUUGAAAUAAUUAUUAAUGUAUUCUUGCGGUUGAUCAGUAGGUGACAUUAAAAGGUUAUGUCCAUUCUUACUUUUCCUAUGCAAAUGAGUUAUUUAUUGGCUUUUCUCGUGAAAAUUUAAAAUUACCCUUAAAAGUUAUGAAAACAAUAUAUAGAUAUCAUCACAUAUGACCUUAAUAUGAUGUAAUAUCAGGAGAAUUCGAUGUGUUCAAUAGCCAAUGAAAGUCAAGAUUACUUACAUAAUUUGAAAAUAUAUUUUACAUGCAUAAUAUAUCUCUUUAUUAAUCACACAUUCCUAAACGCAAAAACUAAUUGUCCUCUUUUUUAUAUAUGAUUUGUCAAUCAAGCCAAUCUCCUUUGUUGCCAAACAUUUCCAAACGAUGAGCUCUAAUGCCAAUCUGGGGGGUCUCAUCCUCAAAAGACUUCUUAAGAGGAAAGUUGGGCUGCAGUGGUUAUAAAGCACGUCAGAGGGCUUCUCCCAAGCUGAUGUGGGACAGCUGAGAUCCCCUUAGCAUACACCCGGAUCCCUUAGCAUUGUAGCUCUAGCGGCACUACAUCGUCUCCGCCAUACCACUGAAAUCUCUCUCUCUCCCCCUCUCUCAACAGCAUGCAAACAAGUUCGUCGACGGCACCCUUGAGCUCUACACAAAACAUUCAAAGUCAUCUCAAAUGUUUUCCAAAUUUUGAAAUACCGAUCACUUUUUAUUUUGUCCCAAGAUGGAAUUGCUUGGGUUAUGGAUCAAAAUAAGCCCAUCUGAACAUGCCGGUUGUUCCAAGCGAAGCUCGUGGUCGUAUUCACUAUCGUUGGUUCGUAGGUUUCAUGUAUCUAUACUUAACUUCAAGGGCAUUUUUGAUUAGGACUCUGCAUCCACUAUAUCCUCUCUCUCUCUCUCUCUCUCUCUCUCUCUCUCUCAUAUUAAGAUCAUUCUCUUUCAACUUUCUUGUCUUUUAUCUGGCUUUUCCACGAAUAUGUAUCUCAUAUUAACAUCAUUCUCUUUCAACUUUCUUGUCUUUUAUCUGGCUUUUCCACGAAUAUGUACGAGUCAACAAAAAGUCUCAUUUAACAUCCUUCUCUUUCAACUUUCUUGCCUUUUAUCUGGCUUUCCACGAAUAUGUACGAGUCAACAAAAAGUAAUAAAAAGGGUCCACGUUCGUAUUAAAAAAAAAAAAUUAAUCAAGGGAUUGGAUUCUUGUCAGCUACGGCGGAGGCGCGCUGUGUGUACAAGAGAAUUAGGCUCCGUUUGUUUUAGUUGGUGCGGUGGACCAAAGAAUUCGAGGACGACAAAAUGGAGUUCUUUUCAUAUUCUUUUUAUUUAACCCAAUUAGUGCAGUCCUUUUAUUCAAAGUGGCAUUUGGAACCACCAAUAACGUCUCUGCCUUCACCCUCACCACGCCAUGGAUCUUACCUCCAUCGUCUCUAUCCUCGUCAACUUCAUCCAAGUGAAAUUCCAAGGGAAGUCGAUUUCACCCUUUGAAACCCACCCCGUCGCCAUUGGUGUUGCCAUCUGCAGCUUGCUUCUGCAUUUCUGGUUGUCGUGUCUCGCUAACCGGGCACCCCCGUCUAGCAGCCAUGCUUCUCCUUGGGAUGGAGUAUCAUCGCACCUCCUCAUUGACUUCACUGGUUCGAUAUUGGUGGCUUCGCUCGUGUGGUUGCUGCUCCACGACUCCUCCCACUCUACCCUCUGGUUGUUCGUGUUGCUCCUGUUGCUUUCCGUGAGUCUGUUGCGUGGCCUCUUUCAAAAACUUCCGCUUUGGUUUUGGCUUUGGUUUCGGCUUUGGUUUUACGACAAUAUCUUUGCCAUGAUUAUCCGUGCGACGAACUCUGGUGUAUGGCAUGGUGGAAGAGCGCAGCCACAUCUGCCGGCCCGAGAUCUGGGUUUAUUGCAGGAAGUCUUAGUCGAGUGAGAUAAUUUGAUGCCGAAGGCUUGCAAUUUCUUAUGGAUUCAGAUAUAGUCGCAACAAGCCCCAAGCGCCUCCUAAACAAAACUAGCUAGCUCCCUAAAUUACUUAUUCUUUCGUUUAAAGUGGUUAGAUUACUUUAUCCAAGCAGGGAACAAGUAAAAACUACCUGUGUAUCUUACCUAUUUCUAGCCAUGAAUGGUCAUGCACCCUGGGGCAACUAAAUCAGAUUAAGAUAGGCUAUGCCCUCAAAGGAAAUUGCGAUCUAUUGUUAUCAAAGAGAUCAAAGACGACCUCUGCAAUUAUUACCAAGAGAAGAAUAGUCAUUUCUAGUAGCCAUAUAAGGGGUUGUAACUGUUAUUGCGGUAAAAGCUUCUGACCUCUUUGAAAGCAUUGCUGAGUGUUGCAGAUUUCCUUCUUUUUUUGGUGAAUCUCCCUGUACCUUUUUGUUUGGCCAGUGGAUCCGUAUGUGUCAUUUUACAUUCUUUGCUGGUGUACUAUGGUUCUGCUUAUAUAUCCAUAUGAAUAGGGACAAAUAGAUGCCUUGGCGUUGAUACCUAAUUUUGGCAAACUUAAGAAAAUAAAAAUAAAAAUCACAAAUAAAAAGAAAAAACACGGAAAAAUCAAUUUGAUUGAUUAUGCAUAAAAGUUGGGAAUUCUGAUGAAUAUCUAAAUUUUGUUAAAUGUUUAAGUAAUUAGAAAAUCAGGUGAAUAAAAGGCAAGGCAAGGAUUUUGAUAAAUAGAAUGAAUCGAGGUAAAAUCGAGUUGAUUGCAAAAUCACGCUUCGAUAUGCAGUCAUAAAUUAAUACAAUAGAAGAAUGGAAACUCGAAAAAUAUAAUAAGAAAACGGUCGUCCGGAAUCGCUAUAAAAGAGUCACAAUUUUCGUGACCGAGAGGAGAGCGAAUUCGAAGAAAAAAAUGUGUGUAAGAAGGCCUCGUCAGAUGCAGAACAGAGAAAGGGGAGAGAGAAGGCUACUGCCCACCGCACCUCCACCGCUGCCGCUUCGCCAGCCACAGCCGCCGGACGCCACUGCUCCUGCACCACCGCGCCGCCCGCUGCCGGCCUCUAUCAGCAAGCACCUGCGCCAACCAUCACCCACGCCACCGCAGCUCAUCCCCGGACGCCGCAGAGGCUCGCGAGCUCGCCCUACAGCACCGCUGCCCACCGGUCGCCACGCCUCCGUCUCGCUGCAACCCGCUAGUUCGCCUACCCGCGAGCACCCGAGCAUCUCUGUCGCCGUAAUCGCUCGCCCGCAGCAGCUGCCAAAACCCCUCGCCGGUGACCUCCACCGGCGACGACCCAACGCCGCGCCUCUGCAACCCGCGACCCCGACGACAACAGGUGCAGAUCCCGCAAGUGCCGCAGACCGCCUCGGCCACUGCCUGCUUUGCUCCGCUGCUGCGACCGACACCCAGCACCUGACGCCACUGCGGCACCCCCGCACGCGACACCCCUCACUGUCGCCGCCUGGCAACCUUCGCCAGAGCUCCAACGCCGGCCACCGCCCGGCCGUCGCCGACCAACCUGCUGCCCCCCUUUCCUUAGGUUGCUUACAUUUCUUUUUAUUUUUAUCUUUCAUUUAUUUUAUGUUAUGUUAUUUUAUUUUAUUUACUUUUUUUAAAGUUUUGCUAUUAUUAUACCAAUUGGAACAUCGGGAGUUGAUUUUCAUUUUAUUGCAGUCAUUAUCUGCAAGGGUUUUACCCAAAAUUAUUGUAAUUAUUUAAUUUGAUUCCUAAGACGUUGGAUUUUUUUUAAUUAUAUUAAUUUUUGGGUAUUUUGAUAGUAUUUUAAUUAUUAAAUCAUUAUAGUUAUUAAUUUAUAUUUUUAAUUAUUUUGAACUUUUUGUCGUAACGUUUAGAGUUAGAGUAAUCGUUAAUUUAACCCGUAAGACAACAUGUUAUUUUUUCGAUUAUUUUAAUCAUUUAUUUUGUGGAUAUCUUGAUUAGUUUAGAUGUAAUUUCAAUUGCUUGUCUUGGAAAAAAAAACACUAAAAAAAUCAAAAGAUUAAAUCUUGCAUGGGAAUGUGUAGGUUUAGUAAAUUAGGGUUGCAUUCUAAAUUUGCACGUUUAGAUGAUUUUUGAAAUAAAUUAGGGUCGGAUCAAAAUAACCUUUUAAAAUAAGAUCUUAGAUAAUGUUUGCACAUUUUAGUAAUUUCAUUUUCCCAAAGAAUAUUUUUCUAAGAUAGGAUAGGGUUUAAGUCAAAUUAAUCCCUAAAAUAAAUUAGAAAAUUAUUCAUAGUUUAAUAAUGGUUUUUAUUAAUUCUGAAUUUUAAAUAAAAAUACAAAAAUAUUAGGUGCAUGUCAAAUAGUUUGCAUAAUGGGUUCAUUUAAUUAGAAUUUGUUUGUUAGUAAAAUCAAGUCACAUAAUUAGAGUUCAUAUUUUAUGAUAAACUUCUAAUUUCAAGAUAAAAGAAAACUCUAAAAAAUUUGUUUGCUUGGUGCAUUUAUUUCUUUUAAUGCAAUUUGUUUGAUUUAUUGAGUGUUAAUUAAUGAUUGAGCACUGCCAUUUCCGGAUUCGCGGGUUACUGUUCAUAUUCUCUCUCAACUGGGCGAUUGCUUCACUGUAGCUCAGUUUCUGGUUCUUGAGCUACUGCGAUCCAUUCGACCAUCCUUUGGACGCGAUUUUCGGAGGGAAGACUCAUCUCUACCCUCCUCAAAUCCUGUCCGAAGCGAUUCAUCCGAUUUGGCCCCAAUCAUUGGAUCUCAUUGUUCGUGGUUAGGGUUCUAGUGCAACUCUGUUCCGCUUCUGGUGUCUGAGCUGGUUUGAACUCCUCAGCCGGCCAUUAAUAGCGAUUCUUGGAGGUAAGCCUUCGCCUCUUCCCUCCUUGAAAUCCCCCGAAACUUUGCUCCUGCUAUGGCAUGUAUAUUGAGCUUUCGUUGAGCUGUUCCGGUGCUUGUGCGAGUGCUCUGUUUCGAUCGGCAUUAAAUCUAUGGCCUCGUCUAGUAAUCCAAUGGGGCGGGGGAAAGACAGAAUGCAGGCUACCACUGGGCGUAGUCGUAGCCGUGCUAGGUAUGCCUCUCGAGGCCGUGAGGGAAGGCGUUUGAAUGACUUGAACAGGGAUCAGUCCAAAGCCCCUCAGACCCGUUCAUGGGUAAAUGUUGCUAGUUUGUCUGCCAAGGGCUAUGAAUUAGGCUUUGCACCCCCUGUAUCUGUGGGAAAGAAGUCUGUUGUGCGGUUAUCGGAUAAUGCAAGGUAUGCAGGGGAUCCCAAAUGGAACAAUUGUCUGGUCGGCUACUUUGUGGGAAAAAAUGUGCCAUUUAAAAUCACUGAAACAGCCUUGAAACAAGCUUGGGGCUCUCAUCUUUCAGAAGUCUUAGCAAAUGAUGAUGGAUUUUACUUCUUUAUCAUCCCAGACAACGAAUUUAGGAGGAAAAUUCUGGAUGAAGGCCACCUAACAGUGGCUAGAGUCCCUCUGGUUCUGAAGCAGUGGCACAAGGAUAUGGAAUUGAAGAAAGAUCUCCAAUCAUCGGUCCCGGUCUGGAUACGCUUGAAAAAUAUUCCAUUUGCAUAUUGGUCGGCCCCAGGCAUUAGUGAGAUUGCUAGUGCAGUAGGGAGGCCUCUUUAUGUUGAUCCUUUGACCGAAAAAAUGAAGCGCCUAUCAUUUGCCAAAGUUUGUGUAGAGAUCUCGGCAAAGCUGGAAAGGUGCGAGGAAGUUGAAGUAUGGGUGGAUGAGAAGGUUUUCUCUAUUCAGGUCCUUUAUGAAUGGAGACCAAAUUCGUGUAUGAAGUGUUGUGCAUUUGGCCAUAACUGCUUGGAUAAGGUCAGCCCCAAGCAAACCCCUGUAACCGUGGAACGCUCUACUGUUGCUGCAGGGCCUGUUAUACCUCCUGUGAAUGAGAAUUCGGAUGAUCAACUUAAUGGUUGGAAACAAGUAACGAACAGGAAGAACAAACAUCAGCCGAGACAAAAGGUGGACUCCACUCCUCCAAUCUCGGCUCUGAAAGCUAAGUUAUCUACUGAUCUUCCCCCAUCCUCCUCAGCAAAUGAUGAUCAGAAUGAGCAAAACAGGUUGGAUGCGGCAAAUGCAGCUCCGUCAAUGGCCCUAGUGGUGCCGAAUUCUGUAGAUGCCACGGCAAUAAUUCCAUCUUCUGAGGAAGAUUCGGAGGACGAAGUGAAUGCGGUUAGUAGUAGCAGCAAUGAGGAAGAAAACCUGAAUCCUGCUGAGCCGAGUCAAGACUCUGACUUGAAUGCUCCCUCUAGCCAGCAAAAUGUCCUUAAAUUUGCAGUGGUUACUCCCUCAAUUGUUGGCCAAAAAGGAACCGCAAUGGGCACGCCUUCUAACGCCUCUCGCAAAGGGACGAAUAGGAGGAAGCCACCUAGACGUCGGUAACGUUCCUAUCUGUCUACUGUUUUUUGUUUCUAUGUUUAUCGGUAUAUGGAAUAUUAGGGGCCUAGGGAACCCCAUUAAACAAGCGGAAAUCAGGAAUUUUGUUAGGACUAACAAUCUCUGCUGUGUGGGAAUUGUUGAGACGAAGAUCUCCCAUGAUGCUUUUAACUCUAUUACUUCGGUUCUUCUUCUGGGUUGGAGUUGGUCUAAGAACUAUAAUCACUCUCAUAAGGGGAGAAUCUGGGUGGGUUGGAACCCCUGAGAGGUUACUUUUUUGGUUAAUGUCUCCUCGGUUCAAGCUAUUCAUGGUAGCCUUAUAUGGCUUGCCUCUAGAAAAUCCUUAUUUCUUUCGGUUAUCUAUGCGGAGCACAGCUUUGUGUUGAGACGGCUAUUAUGGGAGGAUCUUGUCCAUACCGGUGGCCUUCUUUCUUCUUCGCCGUGGAUCAUUGCUGGUGACUUCAAUGCUAUUCGGGAUCCCUUGGAUAGGAUCGGUAGUUCUAAUGCUUGGAUUCCCGCUUUUGAUGAGUUUAGAGAUUGCCUUGUUCAGGCUGGUUUGGAUGAUCUUUGGUACACUGGUUAUAGGUAUACUUGGGCUACUUCUUCAGGGUCCAACCGAAAGCAAAGAAAAAUUGAUAGGGUAUUGGUUAAUGCCCAAUGGAAUGCUGAAUUCUCCUUCUCGGAAGCCUCUUUUUUAGCUCCGGGCAUUUCGGAUCACACUCCGAUGGUUGUUAAAAUAUGCCUGUCCCCAAGUCUUCUAAGCCGUUCAAGUUCUUUAACUACUGGAUGACUCAUCCGGAUUUUACCAGGCUGGUUUCGGAAGUGUGGGCCUUUUCUUUCUAUGGAUCGCCAAUGUUUAUUCUUUGUGCUAAGCUCCGCCUCCUCAAAAGCAGACUCAAGCAGCUUAAUAGGGAAUCGUUUUCGGAGAUAUCUUUAAGAACUACGGAGGCUAGACGAGCUCUUCAAAGUACUCAAGAUGCUAUUCAAGCCAAUCCUAUGAAUCCUUUCCUUGUUGAGACGGAAAAGCAACAGAUUCAAGCCUUCUCAGUUUUAAGGCUCCUAGAGGAAUCGUUUUAUAGACAAAAGUCUAGAGUUCGUUGGUUGAAAGACGGGGACCUAAAUACUAAAUUUUUUCACCAAGUCAUGAACAGGAGGCACCUCCAAAAUAGAAUCAUCUCCUUAACCAAUGGGGAUGUCACCACCUCGGACCCAGCGGAAGUUCAAAAGAUGUUCGUCGAUCACUUUCGUGAUCUUUUGGCUGCUUCCCCUUCUUCGUCUUGUCUAGUGAAGGAGGAGAUUCAGGCUAUUCUUAAUCAUUCCCUGGAUGCGGAACAGGUUUGUUUUCUAUCUAGGCCUAUUACGGAUAUGGAAAUCAAGGAAACUCUUUUCUCUCUUGCGGUAGGAAAAGCCCCUGGUCCUGAUGGAUUUAAUGUUGAAUUUUUCAAGCAUUCUUGGGAUAUUGUUGGUGCUUCGGUAAUAUCGGCAGUUAGAGAUUUCUUUGAAACGGGCGAGCUAUUGAAACAAAUUAAUGCUACCAUUCUUGCUUUAGUGCCCAAAAUCCCUAAUGCUUCAACUGUCCAUGACUUUUGGCCAAUUGCUUGUUGCAACACUAUAUAUAAAUGCAUCACUAAGCUCAUUGCAAACCAGAUGACUCAUGUGCUACCUAGCAUCAUUAGUUUGCCCCAAAAUGCUUUCGUCAAGGGGAGGCACAUUAGUGAUAAUAUUUUGCUAGCCCAAGAGCUUUUCAGUGGCUUCCACCAUGACCCCUAUCGGGCCAAAUGUGCUAUUAAAGUGGACUUUCGGAAAACGUAUGACACGGUGAGAUGGGACUUCAUUGAAGUUUGCAUGCAGGCUUUCGGUUUGCCUCAGAGUUUUAUUGAUCGAAUUAUGGCUUGCAUAAGAUCCCCUAAAUUUUCCAUAUCCUUGAAUGGUGACCUUCAUGGAUUUUUCGCAAGUGGGAGAUGUAUUCGUCAAGGAGAUCCAAUGUCGCCUUAUAUAUUUACUUUAGUAAUGGAAGUUUUUACCGGUUUGCUGGAUAUCCAAACCAGCCACCCCUCGUUUCGGUUCUUUUGGCGGUGUAAAUCUUCCAGGCUUUCCCAUCUAUUUUUUGCCGAUGAUGUGCUCUUAUUCUCGGAAGCAAGCAUUGCCUCUGUGGAUCUUUUGAAGGCUGGGAUUGACUCCUUUUCUAAUUGGAGCGGUUUGGCGCCGAACGUGAGCAAGAGUGAGGUAUAUCUAUCCGGUGGAUCGUCUACUUUGCGUAAUGACAUCUUGAACAAGCUAGGCUUCCAGGUUGGUACCCUUCCCUUUCGGUAUCUUGGAAUCCCUGUUAUUUCCUCGAGAUUAGCAAAGGCGGAUUGUGUGGCUUUGGUAAAUGCAAUUACAGCUCGAGUCCAAUCUUGGACGCACUGAUUUUUGUCGUUUGCCGGUAGAAUCCAGCUUAUAAAAUCGGUUCUCCACUCUAUUCAAGUAUAUUGGGCGAGUGUAUUCUUUUUGCCGUGUGCUGUGCUAGAUCGUAUUGAAAGAAUUUUUCGCCAAUUUCUUUGGAAAGGACCAAUAAUGGGUCUUAGGGGGGCCAAAGUCUCCUGGAGUGAUGUAUGUUUGCCGAGGAAGGAAGGUGGGCUUGGAAUUCGGUCGUUAAAGGAGAACAACAUGGCCUCGAUGCUUAAACACAUUUGGAUUCUCUUCUCAGAUAAAGAAUCACUUUGGUGCAAGUGGAUUCACUCCACUUUCUUAAACCGCAAGAACUUUUGGGUGGUCCCUAUUCCGACUCAUUGUUCUUGGGCCUGGAAAAAGCUCCUCCGUCUUCGGGACUUAUCAACAACAUUUUAGAUGGAAAAUUGGCAAUGGUCGAACUGCUUCGUUCUGGUUUGAUCCAUGGCACAUCAAUGGUCCGCUUUAUAAGGUAUUUUCCAACCAAGAUAUAUAUCGUUCAGGCAUAUCUCGGGUUGCUUCCGUAGCUGACGCCUUCUCAUCUCCGAUGGGCUGGUAUGUUAUUAACAUCUUGGCUGGUUGGUGGGAUCCCCUUCCUAUCUUCAACCAGAGUGAAGACCGAAUCCAGUGGAUUCAUCAUCCCUCGGGCCGCUUCUCUACAUCCUCUGCUUGGGAUCUUUUGAGACCUAGAGGCAACAUUGUUCCCUGGUCUUCUUUCGUUUGGAGUUCUACUAUGCCGCCUAGAUACUAGACACAUUUGUGGCUUAUCACCCGCAACAGGUUGCCGACUCAGGUUCUGCUUGCUUCGGUUGGUAGGCUCUCUUCAAUUACUUGUCCCUUCUGUUCAUGCAGGCCGGAUUCAGUAAAUCAUUUAUUUUUUGCUUGUCAUGUCCCUGGCAAUCUCGCCGCCUAUUGGGCGGCUAAAUUUAAUAUAUCUUGGCGCAACAAAUCAUGGCUUGAGAACUUGGACUGGGUGGCUAGACGCUUCUCGAACAAAAACUUCUAUGAUGUGUUGGCCUGGUUUAGUUAUGGAGCUCUUUGUUAUAUUAUUUGGAAGGAGCGUAACAAUAUCAUCUUCCCAAAUCAGACUCUUUUCAUCCCGGCGAUGAAGAUGCAUCUCCAGAAGGCCGUUAAGGAUAAAUCGUCGACCCUGAAGAAUGUUGUGGAUAAUCCUAAGAACAGAAGGCUGCAACGAAGCUGGGGCUUGAGUCCGUCUAUCUUUCAUUGAUGGAGGGUUUUUAGUUUUGGCUUGGUCUUUUGUUUCUUAGGUUUGUUUGUCUUUUGCUCCUUGGCACCCUUACACUCUCCCGCGACUUAGGUCCUUUUGAGUGUUCAUUUUGUUGGUGCUAGGCUUUUCUUGUAUUUUGUGCAAAAUCUUAUCAAUACAAAUCUUACCUUUACCAAAAAAAUUAAUGAUUGAGCACUCGUGCGAUCACCUUAUUACAUAAUAGAAAUCUAGCUUAAAAUAAAUAUAAGAUGCCUAAGAUAAAAAAAAAAGAAUGGUAUCGAAAGAGUAUUAGAGAAAUUUAGUGUAAUCAAGUCUCCGUACCCAAAGUCUCUGGUUCGUAAGCCUUAGAUGUCUAAUUGACCUAUCGUAAACUGAUUAGUGGCGACUCCUAGUUAAUAGUCUUUGCAUGCUAAAACUUGAAUAUUAAGUCGCGAAUUGGUAUGUGCUUGGAAGCUCUCGAGCUAAGUUUAAAGACUUAGUAGUCCAUUAGCCUAAACCUAGGUGGUACACCUAAAAAUUUAGGUCGCGACAGUUGGCAAGGUGGGCACCGCUACAAUUUCAAAAGCUUUGAUCUAACACUAACAUCAUUAAGCGAUCAAACCAAAAUGAAAGAUGUCAGCUUUUUCAUCUCUGUUCCAUAUACACCAUUACUGCUUACUAGUUAUUCCGAUAAUAAUAUAGUUGUAGUUUGUCAUUGCAGAAUUUGGGAAUCGUUACAUCAUAGUCUCUAUUUGACCUCCAAGAGGUGACAACUAGAUCUUUGCGGUGGUAAAUGCGUUAACUUGCAAUCUAAGACUACGUUGUCUCGCUGGCUUUUUGGUUUUUGGCCGUGAGCUUGAAUUGUUGCUUCAGUUGGACAUUCAAGUUUCUGGGGCCAAGGUGAGAAAAAAAUGCUGAAAUGUAGAUAUUAUUUGGCAGGCUUUAGCUCAAGAUUACUGAAUUCUGGUUGACUGUAGAUGUUCGAACCGAACUUUUCCCACUCUUCAUGUGCUAAAGACUAUACAGUUCAUGUAUGCAAAGCUAGAUAGAUAGUAUACAGAUGCACAAGACAAGUCUGUAUAAAUUACACCCAUCUGAUGUUGGUAUCUGAGGAAAUAAUUAGACUGGCAAGCUUCCUGCCAAGUUGAUUCACAAUCAAAUUAUGCAUCCCGGUGUCAACACUUCAUUUCAUUACGUAGAGCACUCAAGUCUUGCACUUAAAAUCUGCUUUUACUGCAGAGACGCUACAAUCUUGGAUGUCGACUGUGGCAGUGAGUCCAAUUGACUUGCAUGGGAGCGUAAGUUGAAACAUCAAACAGAAAGGAAAUUCUUUUUGUCUUGGUAAGUGCCUCCCAAACUCUGCAACUAAAUGCACUUACAUUUGCGGCUUUUCGAGACCAACAUUGCCCGUCUUUUCUUGAGUACCUCCAAUUGCAUGUUCAUUCUUUCAAAUUUUUCAUACAGAAAUGCAAUAUUUUCAUGGAGUUCAGAGUAGCAGGGUCUUCAGGUACUUACUAUUCCAGCAACCUGUAUUAAAAAAAAUGUUUGGUAUUGGAGCAUUUUCUCUUGAUUUUUACUUAUUGUGGAGGACGAGUCUAUACAUAUGAUGUUAAAAAGGAACAUGGCUAUUCACCACAUCACAUGGUAUUGUAUCCGUUUGUUGCCUAAAGUCUGUUUAGUAAAAUAGCACUUGUGACGAAAGUGCAUGGUGGGCAAUAAACAUUUGACAUGAAUAAUCAAUGGACAGGGGCGUUCAUUGCAGACAUAGGCACCCAUAUUCAGGUUCCUUAUCUUCUCACAAAGGUCACAAUAGUACUCACUGGUAUCAUCUUUGAUGAACGAAGAGUAAAGUGUGAGUUGAUGAAAGUUAAUGGCAAUCUUUUACUGUAGUGGAAGGCAAUCUGUGAUGACUAAGAUUGUGCUGCACACAACCAUAAAAGUCGAACCUGCAAAUUUUACCAGAGACACUGCAUAGGAAGCACAGUUCUGUAGACUAAAAUAAAAAAGAGUAUACGCUCGUGUAGGUGAUUUUUCAAAGUGGGCCUUACAAAAGUCCAUGAAAUGUUGAAGUCGUAGUCAAAUUCCAUGCAGAGAAAGACAGAGCGUCAACACUCUUCAUGACGUAUGUCAACAACGCUCCUUCCUAAUAUGAGAAGAAAAAGGAUGUGUGGCAUGAACAGGUUGUUGCUAACUGAGGGCAAUUCAGCACAUGAUUUAUAGAGCAGAAAAGAGCAGCUCUGCUCCAGCCAGCGAUAGGUUGAACAUCUGACGGAUUCAUCACAAGCCUUGCAUGGACCAUCCUUCAUAUGACAGUUCCAGCAGCAGAAAAUGAUUCGUGCAGGGAAGAAGGAAGAGGCAAUCAAGACAACCAUAGACCUAGCCCGGUAUGUUCUCUUCACAAGCUUUGCACCUGAUUCUGCUUUCAACUUUCAUGUAGAAGACCAGUGAAUGCUGAUGGUCAAAAUUGUAAAAAACCAAGUCCUUCUUGCCCUCUAGGUCUUGUGAACAUAGAGUUAAAGCUGUGCAGUCCAUGUUGAGGUUGAAUUUGCAUUCACUGCAGUAGGAAACCAUGGCAGGUGUUACAUUUAGCUCCUCCAAUUGAUUGAAAGCAAAAGAGAGAGAGAGGGUGAUCAUGGAGAGACAGGAGUUGCAUCUCCGGGGGAGAUUUGGUGCAGCUUUUGUGGAGAAAAAAUAUGCAUGCAUAGCAUCCAUAGGCCUCCCCCAAGAUUGCUUGCUCGCAGGCUUUGCAUUUGAUUCUAUUUUUCAUCCCGAGAUGAUGGGAUGUGAGUGGAUGCUCAUGAGCAUUUUUUGGAUGGCCACAUUCUGAGAGUCCUCAUUGGGAGGACAAGCAAUCUUGGGCCAUGCGCUAAGAAUUGACGGAUCCAACUGGUUAGAGAAGGUUGUAAUAUAUAAAUGCAAAAUAUUGAUUGAAAUAUAUAAAUCACAAGACUAGUGAGGUCACGUAUUUCCUUGUGACCAAGUUUGUUAGGAAUAUGGACAAGCCUUGAUAAGCCAUUCCCUCUUGGGUCCAUUCAUCGAUCAUGUCUUACUUCUACCAUGUUAGACUUAGUGUUCCAGACAAUGAGUGACUAAGUUUGUCAGGAAAUAAUAUGAUAGCGCAGCUUCAAGAUGAGUAUUUAUAUAUACCUCUUAGUGAUUUUACAGUGCUCAAAACGAGCAAUUUCUCAAGAAUAGAUCAGAUAAAGCAUAUAACCUUGGAGCAUAAUCACAUAUGUCAUUAUUUGAAGAGCUAAAGAGAAAUAUGCGAUGUGAUUUGAGGACUGAACUGAUGAUUUAGAUGCAGAUGGUAAUAAAUUCUUCUCUGGACUCUGAAGGUUAGCCAUUUUGUAUGAGAUAUGCAGGAUUGCAGGUAUCAUAAAGCAAAUCAAAUUAUGUUAGCAAAAAAUUUGGUACCAUCAUCUCCAAUGAAAGCAAAAAUGUGUGAUAAAUGUUGUUGACCAUGGAAACUGGAAGGAGCAAUAGAUGAUUCAUCUUCAGUCAAAGCAUGUGUCACAGACAACAGCAUCUUUAUCUUCUUGGUUGGCCAUUCUUCCUUGUCGGGCAAUUGUUUCUAUCUACUUCAUCAAUUAUGAAUGCUAUCCUUUAAUCCAUAGGAACUUCUCAUCGGUUGCAGGGUUUGGUUGCCCAAAAUCGGCUUGGCUUCACCAAAACUCCUCUUCUCUAGAAGCCUGGCUGGCAUGGCAUCCCACUGGCAGUAGGGUGGUCAACCUUGCCUCGGUUUCAUGACAUGCUAUCUUUCUGCAUUCCAUAGUCAAGGGUGAGUCCCAUGUGUCAGUUUGUGGAUAGCGGUCUCACACACAAAUCCCUACAAAUUCCUGUAGGUGGUCCAAAUUAUAUCUAAUUUAUUUUGGUGUGGUUCGUUCAUCAUUUGAUUUGACCUUGGAAGUUGGUUUUCUUCUUAUUUAUUUACAAGCCUAAAUGCUUAUUGUAAAAAACGAUUCCCAGGAGAGUAUCAUGAUAAUAAGUCAAAUAAAAGCUAAGUAGGUGAUCGACUUGAUAUCUUAAGAUGGCAGCACUGUCAAAUGCUUCUGCUAAUUUGGUGGCAGAUACUUAAAAUUGUUACCGUCAAUGGAAGGGCAAAUGUUAUUGAAAAGACCAAAAAUACUUUGACAAUUAUUACGAGUAGAAUGGGGAGAUGUUUCAUUGGUUGUUUCAAGGUUACCUAAGAUCCUACUAGACCAAAAGAUUUGGAAGUUUUUUCUUUACUGAAGAGAGAAAAAGAGGGAUGUUCAUGAAAAAUGGCACUUUUACUAGCACUACAGCACCUUAUUAUCACAUUGCCACAUGUCAAACGUUGUCAUAUGGUCGUUACUAGUUGCCAAAAUAAAGUCAAAAUUGUUCUCGAGGUUAAAGCUUCUGAAUUCUUUGAAAAUAUCGCGAGUGUCACAGUUUUGCUUUUCUUUUUGAGAUAAGUGUUCCAGAAAUCCUACAACUUGUCACAAAAAUGCAUUUCAGUCCUAAAACUUGCAAAAAGUGCAUUUAAGUCAUAAAACUUGUCAAAUUGUUUCAAACGAGUUCUAAGAUUGACGCCGUUAGCUUUUUCCGUUAAAAAUGCUGACGUGGCAUUUUAAAUAAUUUUUUAUUUUCCACGUGAAUUUUUUAAUUAUUUUUAAAAAAAAUUAGAUUUAAAAACUAAAAAAAUCAAAUUUAUUCAUUUUAUCUUAUUUUCACCAAAAAAUUAAAAAAAGUUAAAAUAUUUAUUAAAAAAAAUUAGUUAUAAUAUUUAUAAAAAAAACAUAUUUAAAAAGUUAAAAUUAUUUUUUAAUUUAUUUUUAAAAAUUUUAAAAAUAAAAUUUUUAACUUUUCUUUUUAGUUUUUGUUGAAAAUAAGAUAAGAAUAAAUUUAAUUUUUUAGUUUUUAAAUCUAAUAUUUUUUAAAAAUGGAUAAAAAUUAAUUAAAAAAUAAACCUGGAAAAUAAAAAAAAAUUAUUUAAAAUGCCACGUCAGCAUUUUUAACGGAAAAGGCUAACGGCGUCGAUCUUAGGACUCAUUUGAAACAAUUUAUCAAGUUUUAGGACUUAAAUGCACUUUUUAUAAGUUUUAGGACUGAAAUGCAUUUUCGUGACAAGUCAUAGGACUUCUAGAAUACUUAUGCCUUUCUUUUUCUGGCAAAUCUCUUCGUGACUUUCUGCUUGGCCAGUGGAUCUAUAUGUGUUCUUUUACAGACUCUUUGUUGUUAUACGAUGGUUUUGCUCAUUUAUCCAUAUGAACUAGGAUAAAUAGAUGCCUUGGAGACAAGAGCACUGCUACAAUAUUAGCGCUUUCUUCUAUCGUCAUAGAGUUAGCAAAAUCAAAAUGAACAGUGUCAGUUUUUUCAUCUCAGUCCUGUAUGCACGGGUAAUGCUUACUAACUAUUCUGAUGAUAACAAUUUUUGAGUAUGUGAUUGCAGAACGACACGGUGGUUACAUCAUUUAGUCAGCAUUUUACCUCUAAGAGGUGACAACUAGAUCUUUGUCACAGCAAAUGCAUCAACUUGCUUUGGCAAAUAAGAUUUAUAAAGACAAACUUCUUCAGUGGUGUAUCCCACAUGUAUCCGGAAGCUCUUGGAUCUGAAUAAUGCAAUGACUACGUUGUCUCCCUGGCUAAAUUGGUUUUCGGCCAGGAGCAUGAAUUGUUGCUUCAGUGGGAGGUUCAAUUUAGGGCCAAGGUGCGAAAAGAACGCUCGAUUUCUUUUUUUGGGAGGCUUUAGUUCAACAUAGCUGAAUUUUGGUAGACUGCAGAUGUUAGAACCAAACAUUUCCCAUCUUCAUGUGCUAGAAAAGAAUUUACAGUUCAUGAAUGCAAAGCUCGAUAGAUAGUAUGCAAAAGCUUGUGGCUAGUCUGCACAAACUACAUAAACCUUAUAUUCAUUUUCAAGGAAUUAACAAGACCAGCGAGCUUCCUAACAAGUUUAUUCAUAAUUAAAUUAUGCAUCCCAAUGUUAAUACUCCUAUUCAUAACACAGAGCACACAAGUCUUACACUCAAAAAUAUGAUAUUUAUCUGCUUUUGCUCAGAAGAUAACAAUAUCGGAUGUCAAGUGCUGGCAGGGAUUCCAAUUGACUUGCGUAAGAGGUAAGUUGAAACAUCAAACAAAAAGGCGGUCUUCUGCCUCCCCAAUUCUUUCCUUCUGGAUAAGAGCCUCCCCAACU